rnacentral:lncRNA from 1 species
UUAAAAAUUAACAGACAACUGAGAGAGAAGAGAAAACAGAAAGAUGAUGAUGAUGAUGAUGAUGAUGGAGUGGAAAUGGUUAUGGUUUAUUAGGAUGGCAGUAAUGUUGUUGGUGUUCGAAGGAUGCAGGUGGUGUACUAUUGAUGCUUGUUUGGAGCACGAGAGGAUUGCUCUCUUGCAUCUCAAACCUUUCUUCAAUUCUCGUGAUGAAUUGAAAAGUUGGGUUGAGGUGAAGGGUUCAGAUUGCUGUAAAUGGGAAAGAGUUGAGUGCAACACCACCACUAGGAGACUCAUACAACUUUCCCUUAAUUAUACACAAUGGGAAUUCAACGUGGAAUAUUGGUAUCUCAAUGCCUCUAUGUUUCUUCCCUUCGAGGAAUUGAGGAGUCUUUAUUUGUCAGAUAAUGCCAUAGCUGGUUGCAUUGAAAAUGAAGGUCGUGCCUUUAAUUUUCCCUCAGUUACAUCUUUUAUUAUUACACUAUUCUCACCCUUGUUAAUUUGCAAUUACUUAUAAUUUAUUUUAUUUUAUUGAAGAAAGGUCACUAAAUGUUUGUGUAUAUAUUUAAAAGAACACUCUUACAGGUUUUGGAAAGCUAUCAUCCACAUUGAGUAAUUUGGAGAUUCUUGACUUAAGUUACAAUUACUUGAAUGAUAGCAUUUUGUUAUCUUUGAGUGAGCUUUCAUCUCUCCGAUAUUUGGAUCUAUCAUACAACCGAUUUGAAAGAUCAAGUCAUCCAAGAGGUAAAUUAAGUUUAGUCUGGUGUUAGUUUUUAUUUGUAUUGGGGAGUUUGACAGUGGUUUUCCAUUGUUUUAUUCCCUCUAACUUAGUUUUUGCUUUUAUGGUUGAGAGGAAAAAGAAACAAACAAGUACUUACUCAAAUUAACUAAACAAUGGAUUAUUUUUUUUAUGUUUUGCAGUAACUAAUUCUAUGGUAUAUAAAUCAGGUUUUCAGUGGCUUUCAAGGCUCACUAAAUUGGAAACUCUUCAUCUAAGUGGGAAUUCUUUGAAGAAUAGCAUUUUUUUACAGAUGAGAAAUCUUUCAUCUUUGAAGACUUUAAGUUUGGGUGACAAUCAGUUGGGAGGAAAACUGCUUCAUAUUCAAGGUAGACUGAUUUUACACUUUUCUUGUUAACUUUAAAAUAAAUUCAGUAUGUGAUUUGAUUUUAUCAUAUCAUGAAUAUAACUGAUCAAUAUUUGAGAUUGAAUUUCAGAAUUGAAUCAUUUGGCAAACUUGAAGUACUUGGAUUUAAGUAGGAACAGAAUUGAAAGCAUCUCAAACAAAGGUAUAAGUAAUAAUUUGUGCAUGACUUUCCUGACAGACUUCAAAUGUAUUUUCUUUGUUUUUUUCCUUUUCAUAUGGUUGAGAGGAAAAAAGAUCCUUAUAAUCUUAAAGAGUUGAUAUUGAGAGUUGGUCAUGAGAGAAUGGGUCCUUAAAAUCCUUAAGACCAGGGAGUUUGUGUCCACAGUUGAGUAUUCCAUUUGAAAACUGAAAAUUAAAUAUUCUAUUGCUUUAUUUCUUUUAAAAGAAAGAUUGAGUUUGGAUCUCCGACUGCUUUAUUUUUUUCAAAGAAAGAAAUAUGUUUAUACUUUUGCGCAGAAGAUAUGAAGAAGUCUUAUUUUGUUCUCGCUUUUGUGCAAGUGAAACUUAGUUAUCUCAAAUAUAUAUAUAUAUAUAUAUAUUGUAGUUAUCAGUUCACUACACAAUAGCAUGUAAACCAGUUCCCCCUUUUCAAAUUUAUGAGUGGGAGUUGUCCAUGAUUUUCUUUGUGAUUUUCUUUUCACGUUUUAGGAUUUUCAUCUUCACUUCAAGUUUUAGAUUUACUUUUUUUCAUUUUUAUUUCAUUAACUUAAAAAAGGAAUGCUGGAUCAUAUUCAAGGUAGAUUGAUUUUACAUGUUUCUUUUUAACUUAAAAAAUCAAUAUAUGUUCAAGUUUAAGUGACAACAACAUUGAAAGCAUCUCAAACCAAGGUAUAAGUAUUUGUGCGUAGUAACUUUCUUGACUGACUAUUAUUCCAAAAGGCAAUGACAGACUUCAAAUGUAUUUUCUUUAGUGAAUUUUUAUUGCAAAAAUGGAGUAUUAUUAUUUAUUUAAGUUUUGUAGUAACUAAUUAUAUAAUAUAUAAAUGAGGUUUUCAAUGGCUCAUUAAAUUGGAAAUUAUUGAUAUAAGUUGGAAUUAUUUGAAGAAUAGCAUUCUUUAAAAUAAAUUCAUGUUGAAGGAAAAGUUGUUGCAAUAAGUCAUUUGAUUUUAUCAUAUCAUGAAUAUAUAUAACUAAUCAAUAUUUGGGAUUGAAUUUCAAAAUUGAGUAAUUUAAGUAGGAAGGUAUCUCAAACAAAGUAUUUAUAUAUUGAAUCAAUUCAUCGGAAAGCUUGUAAAUUGGCUCUUCCUUCUCAAACAAACAUUUUUCCUAACUAUUUAUAUAUUGAAUGAUGUUAACUAUACUAAUUACUUUCUUCCAAUGAUAGAUGGAACACAAUUGAGGCUAACAAACUUAGAGGAACUUGAUUUGAGUGGUAAUCUCUUUCGGAACAACACAAUUUCCUUUCCUCAAGGGCUUUCAAGCCUAAAGUCUUUGACUUUGUACAACAACCAUUUGCAAGGCUCAUUAGAUACUAAAGGUACUAAAGCUAUAACUUUGUUUUUCUUGAUAAUUCUUUCUAGAACCUUUUAAAAUUAAUUGUUUCAAUUUUGAACAUUCACAUUUCACGUUUGAGGAUUUUCAUCUUCACUUCAAGUUUUAGAUUUACUUUUUUUUUCAUUUUUAUUUCAUUAAAAUAUUAAGUAGAAAUUAAAAUUAUUAACAUAAUGAUUUUUUGAAUUGGACGUGGAUAUGUAUAGGAUUGAGCAAUUUAACAAAUUUGAAGAAACUCGAUUUAAGUGUGAAUCAGAUUGAAAGCUUUCAAUCCUUUAAAGGUAUGCAUUUAUAUUUAACCAAUUACCUAAAUUCUUACAUAUAAUUAAAUUUUAUGCCAAUUCAUUUCAGUGAUGAAAUUAUAUAAAUCUUUUGUAGAUGGUGGUAGAAAAUUGGAGUUGACCCACUUGGAAGAGCUUUAUUUAGAUUACAAUCAGUUCAAUACUAGUGUAUUUGCAUCCCUUAACAAGCUUUCAAAUUUGAAAUCUUUGAGCAUAUGGGACAAUGGAUUGAAAGGAUCAAUAGAUAUGAAAGGUAAAUAUAUUAGUUUUUUUAACUAGAAUAUAAUCAUGUUUGAAGAGAAUAUAAUGAAGUUGAUUUGUUGUUUUUGUUUUCCUAGAUUUGGAAGCAUUUAUCAACUUAAGGGAACUAGAUAUGAACUAUAAUGAAUUGAAAGAUUUGGUGAUCCACCAAGGUAUCAUUUAAUUAAACUUCCUUUUUUUUUUAAUUUAGAAAUUUAGUUUUGAUCUCAUAUAUUAUAAUAACGGUUAUUGUCAUAAAUAUUAAUAAAGUUAUAUCAUAUCAUACUUGAAAGUAAAAGUUUGGUGAAACAUUUUCUAAAUCAUCCAUUAUAAUGUGUUUGGACUUUGGUUUGAAACUAAAAUUCUUUAAAAUUUUCAUCAUUUUAAAAUAUUAAUGUUUAUAAUUAUUUUGUUUGUAUAAAUAUAUUUUUUAAAAUAAUUUAUUGAAUUUUUAUGAGAUAAAAAAUAAUUAUAACAAUAAAAAAUGAUAUUAUAAAUAAAUAAAAACAUAUAUUUAUGAGAAAAUAUGUAAUAUAACUAUAUUUUAAUUUCAUAUAUUUUUAAUAGUAUAAAACAUAAAAAUACAUAUUAGCGUUAAAUAAAUGGCAUUUUUUGGCAAAAAUAAAUAAAUGUCAAUUUUGAAUAAUUUAAAAAAAAUCUUUAAUUUUGUGAAAUUUAAACAUACAUUGAGAGGUGCUUAAACUUCCAUUGCAAUCUUUUUAUAAAUUUCAAAGUGCAUAUGUUUUUAACUUUUUGGUUUAAAAAAAUAUGAUAGGUCUACGUACUCUUUACUAAUUUGUAAUUUAAUUCUUAUACUUUUAUUUUCAAGAAUUUAAUCCCUGUUUUUUUAUAAAAAAAUCAAAAUCCUAGUUCAAUUGUUAAAAUUGUUAAAAUUUUAAAAUAGUUUGUUGGUGUGACAUUUUGAAAUAAAAAAAAACUUAGUAGUAAUGUAACUAAAAAAUGACGUAAUGAACAUGGAUUUAAUAAAAUAAUUUUAACAAUAUUAAUAAAAUAAUUUUGAAUUUUGAAUUUUAACUUAACUCUAUUUUUGGGCCAAGAUUUAAUGCUUUAAAAUUUUCAUUUAAUCCGCUGAGUUUACUUAUAAUUCUUUUGAGUUUUAUUUAUUGGUGAGUAAAAUACCUAUUUGAUUUUUUUAUAUACUAUUGGCAUCUUUAAAGGUAAUAUAAUAAUUUUAGUGUAGACGUGUUUUAUUUUAUAAAUAUUAUUUAUAGUGUAGACAUGUGAAUUUUGAAUAAUUUAAAAAUAUCUUCAAUUUUAUGAAAUUUAAACAUACAUUUAGUGUAGACAUGUUUUAUUUUAUAAAUAUUAUUUAUAGUGUUGUUGAUUGGAGUUUGAAAAUUAUACAACUUAGCUAUAUCAGUUAAUUACUUAUAUUAAAAAAUAAUAUAAGAAAAUACUAAAAAGAAAAAAAAUAGUAUAAUUAAUAAAAUGGAUGAAGAGUUAUAUUAAAGUUUCAACAUCUUCUCUCUAUCAAAAUUUAUCUCGGAUAAAUCAUGAAUAAUCUAACUCAUAAAAAAAUAUAUAUAUAUUUAUAUACUUCAUUUCAUUCACAGAAAAUAAAGCAUUCCACUUAAUAGAGGCUUUCUAUAAUGCCGUUAUCUAAUACCUCUUGACAUUGCUUAGAUUCAAAUGUGUCGAGCAGUUUGGAGGAAAUAUAUCUUGACUAUUCUACUCUCAACACCAACAUUUUGCAAAGCAUUGGAGUAUUCGCUUCUCUUAAAAUAUUGUCUUUAUCUAAUUGUGGACUUAUUGGUCCCUUACCUAAUCAAGGUAAACAAUUUUAUGGCUCAAUUUGAUUUCUUUAUGAACUUUCUGUAAUAUAUUAUCUCCUAUUCUGUUUUAUAAAGCAAAAUUUAAUUGAAACUUCUUCCAUGAAUUUAUUUAUAAAAUUUUCAGGAUGGUGUGAUCUAAGGAACCUUGAAGUGUUGGAUGUGAGUAGAAAUGCACUUGAGGGGAUGCUUCCUCAUUGUUUUAGUAACUUGACAUCUCUUCGUGAGUUAGAUAUUUCAAGAAACCAUUUUCAAAUUCCGCUGUCAUUUGCACCAUUUGCAAACCUUUCAAACCUCAAAGCCCUUUUGAUUAAUGAAAACAAGAUGGUAAUGGAACCUUCCUUUUAUACCUCAAUCCCAAAGUUCCAAUUGGAAGUCAUCAGUUUGUCAAAGUGCAUAACAUCUCAACAACUCAGUCUUAAACUUUGUACCUUCCUUUACUACCAAUAUGACUUGAGAUAUGUGGAUCUUUCGCAUAACAAUCUCAGUGGAACUGUACCAACUUGGUUGCUAGAAAACAACACAAAGUUAGAAGAUCUCAUCUUGAAGGGUAAUUCAUUUACAGGUCCUCUCUCACUUUCGUCGGCUCUUAUUUCUAAUGUAUCUACAAUUGACAUAUCUGAAAACAAAUUACAAGGUCAAAUUCCAACUGGUAUAUGUUCAACUUUUCCACAUUUGAGGCAGUUAUUCUUAUCCAAGAAUGCUUUUGAAGGUAAUAUCCCACUUUGUUUAAGUGGCAUGAAGGACUUAUCAUUUUUAGAUCUAUCAGACAAUCAUUUGUAUGGAAAAGUACCAGAAGAGUUGAUCACGAAAGGCUUACUAAUCAUUUUGAGACUAUCAAAUAACAACCUCAGUGGAAAUGUAGUUCCUGUGAUUCUCAGCGCAAAUGGGGUGCAGCAUUUAUAUUUGGAUGGAAAUAAUUUUUCAGGAGAGAUGACAAAUGUUGAUGUGUCUACUUUUGAGUUUCCAAAUUCACUAAGCGAAAUUGAUCUCAGUAACAACACUUUGCAUGGAAAGCUCCCAAGAUGGAUAGGGAAUGCAUCAUUUUUGGGGAGAUUAGAUUUGUCCAACAAUGGUUUUGAAGGUUCUAUUCCAAUGGAAUUUUGCAAGUUGAAUAGGUUGGAAUUUUUGGAUCUUUCUCAAAAUAAUUUAUCUGGCUCUAUACCGUCAUGUUUUAAUCCACCAUACAUACAGCAUGUCCACCUCCACGGGAAUAGACUGAGAGGCCCACUAUCACUUGCUUUUUAUAAUAGCUCUUCAAUAGUGACUUUAGAUCUUGGAGGAAACAAUUUGACGGGUAGUAUUCCAAAAUGGAUUUACACGCUUUCUUCUUUGAGUUUUUUUCUCUUGAAAGAUAAUCAUUUUCAUGGUAAAGUUCCUAUUGAGUUAUGCAAGUUGCAUUCUUUAAGCAUCAUAGAUCUUUCUCAAAAUAUGUUUUCUGGUCCUAUACCUUCUUGUUUGGGAAAUUUAUCUCUUCCAAUGCAAAGGAAGAAGAUUCUAGAACCUGGUUUCUAUGGGCCACCUAUAGAAGAGGAUGAAACAACACGCAGUACGAAACUAAAUUUGGGAAUGUAUUCUUACUAUCCUAAUAGCUACUUCGAAGAAGUAAUAGAGUUCACAACAAAGAGUGGGUUCUAUUCAUACAAGGGCUACAUCCUUUCAUAUAUGAAUGGGAUUGAUUUAUCUUGCAACAACUUAACUGGUCAUAUCCCACCAGAAUUAGGGAACUUGAGUGAAAUCCAUUCUUUAAACCUUUCACACAAUAAGUUGACCGGAGUUAUACCCUCGUCACUCUCAAAACUACAUCAAAUUGAGAGUUUGGACCUUUCUUACAACAACUUAAGUGGUGAAAUCCCCAAUCAAUUGGUAGAGUUAAACUCUUUGGAGGUUUUCAGCGUGGCAUUUAACAACUUGUCAGGUAGUAUUCCCGAACCAAAAGCUCAAUUUGGGACCUUUAUUGAAAAUAGUUAUCAGGGAAAUCCGUUUCUUUGUGGAGUUAUAUUGCAUAAAAGUUGUUCCAAAACCGAUUCACCAUCAACGAUAUCAAUUGUAUCAGAAGAUAAAGGAGAAGAUGGUUUGAUAGAUACUUAUGAUUUUUGUGUGAGCUUUUUGGUUUCUUAUGUAGUUGUGUUGUUGACAAUUUUUGUUGUCCUCUACAUAAAUCCAUACUGGCGAAGAGCUUGGUUUUCUCUUGUUGGGAAAUGCAUUACCACCUGUCGCUACUCAAAUGUGGGCAAUUUUCUUACUUAUCACAUUUUCAAGCGAUGUGUUUAGCUACUCAAAUUGUGAUUUGAUUUCCACACCUAAAUGUUUAAUUAUGCUAAGUUGAGCGAUAAUGAAUAUUUUGUUGAUUUUUGCAUUUUGAAUAAAAGCUCUUUUAUCUUAUGGUUUUAUCAUUUUCAACCAUCUAUUUCUUUUUUCUUCUAUGAAAUUUAAUAUAAAAUCAUAAUCCAUUAUUAUGUAUAUGCAAUAUCUCUUUAAAUUAAAUUAAAUUAAAUUAACUGCCAAGCGUUCACUAGUGCAUACUAAAAAGGAAAUCUAAUGUAAAAUUAAAUCAAACAUACUACAGAAUUGAAUCUAAAACUGGAAUAUUUUAAAACCUCACAAACAAUGCAAUUCUUUAUUCCUCUUUUCCUCUCAAGUUAUUUUGUAUCAUGUUAUAUUUUACAUAAUUAAUCGUAUCAUCAAAUUUUAAAAAAAUUUUAAUAUUUUGAUAUCAUGUUCAUAUUAUGCUUUAAUUCACAAUGUAUUUUGUAUAAUAUGUUAUAACAAUUCAAUUUAAAAAACAAACAAUUAUCUUAUUUUUGCAUACCGUAAUAUACAUUUACAUGUUAAUAAUUCUUUGUACAUAAAUUUUGACAUGUUCGUAUAUUCGAGUCAUUAUAAUUUUAUUAUUUGUAAUAUGACAUGUUUUACUUACCCUUAAUAUUGUGUCAUGAUAAUUAUAACUCGAUUGGCAGUGUACCAAAUAUUUUUCUAAUAAAAAAUAGUAUUUUAUUCUAUUUACCAAAUCUUUAUCAACUUUAUUUUCUCACCAACAAAACAUACAUUCAAAGUUCAAAUAAGUUCCACACCCAUUUUUUUACUGCAAUACUCAAGAAUAUGCUCAUCAUCAGAAAUCUGAAAUAUUCCACUCUAAUUAACAUUAUGAUUCUGUAAACAACAAAAAAGUGUGAUACUUUUUUAAAGCUCUUUUUUUUUCUUUAAUGAAAUGGGAUUGGUAAAAAAUCCGCACAUGUGUCGUGUGUGAAGGUGGUCAGGUUGUCUAUUCAUACUGUAAUAAGUAGCUAAUUAUAGUUGAUCCUACAAAAUCAAAAUUAAUUCAGGUAUCUAUAUAUUCUGAAGACUGGACAGACCUUAGAAGCUCCUUCAAAUUUGCAAGAACAUGUCGUGGUCCUAAACUCUUUACACCGAUGAAAUUCAAAAGUUGCUCUAUAUCCUGCAAUCACAGUAAAGAUUAUGCAAGCUUUUCAGAACGAAUAACAUAACAAGCAAAAGGCAAUCAAAAUACUGUGAUCUCGAUAAUGUUCUUUGCCGAAAAGGAACAUAAACAUAACCUGAAAACAUCAGUGAAGGCUCAUCAGAUUUGCUUAGCAACCUUACAUACACAUGUAAAAAGCUUUGCUUUUGGAUGUAUGGUGUGACUAUCAUCACAGUCUUUCCUAAUUAGCUGAUAACCCUAUAUCUAACAUUUAUCAGGGCUAAGCAAAUUAACAUACAUAAUGUAAAGGAAUUUGACCAUAAGAUCCAACAGAAAACUUAAUAAAAGAUAAUCAACAUAGAAAGUUAAAAGGCAAUGCAAACUUAUUACAAUGAUGCAAGUGGAUCAAAAGAAAGCACUCUAUAAGGAAUUUGUAUUUAAGGCAUUGUAAACAGAAAAAAAAUAAUAAAACUUUUCGGAAAGUAUUUUCAAAGAGGAGACAAAAACAGGGUAGAAAAAAUGUUUGGUCCUUCCUUUUUCUAUUUCUACUGUGGUGAAAAAGCCUUUUUGGGUUAAAAGUGUUUUUACACUGCAGAAGUGUUUUUCCACUGCAGAAGUGAUGAAGAACACAUAGCUUUGUAGUCAAAAACCUACUGCUUUUGGCUUUUGCAUUUCGAAGUGAAAAUUAUAAAAAUACUCUUAGAUUAAUUUAUAUUUUAUAUAUUAUUAUAUUAAAUUGUUAAAUCUUAUUUAUUAUUAUAUUUAAUUUUUUUCAAAAUAUUUUAUACAUCAUCAAUUUUACAAAUAAUUUAUAUUAAUUACUUUUAAAAGUUAUAUUUCAUGUAUCAUUAUAUUAAAUUAUUUAAAUAUCAUAUAACAUCACUAAUUUUCUACUUUCUACCAUCAUGUCUAAAAUAGACAUUUUAACUUUCAACCGCAAUUUUUGGCAGCAAUGAACAACACUAAAAACUAACAAACACACUUUUCCGCACCACAUUUCAAAAACACUUUUUUCUAAACGCACUUUUGAACUAGUCCUUAGUCUAUCAUGCAUCAACUCUUCAUUUUUCUUUAACUACCCAUGUCCGACUUCGAACAUGGAUAUGGAGAUAUGACCAAGUCACAGUGACAUAGUUUUUAGUUAUGGGGAAUGGGAUUCGAGUGCUGGACCUCCUUCUAGAUGCAUGGUGGGACUUCAUCACAUUUUUCAAAUUUGUUGAUAAUCCUUCACCUAAUCUGCCGGUGAAGUUUAUAGAUAGUUGUUGACACCAUUUUUUUGAUGAAAACGGGAUCGACUUGGAUUUUGAAAAAAGAAUGAAAACGGGAGUCGCCACCAAUCCUUUUUGACGAGGUGUGAUCGGGUCACCUCAAAAUGUGGUUGUUUUUAAUAAAUGAUUUAAUUUUAUUAAAACAACGAUUUUGGUCUACGAAAUUCAGAAAAAUGAGUUCGGGAGUCGGUUACACACGAGGAAGGAUUAGCACCCUCGAUACGCCCAAAAUUGGUACCUAGUUGAUUAAUUAGUGUCUUAGUGUCGAAAAUUGAAAAUUUGAAGAGUUUUAAAAAUACGAUCCUUAAAAGAAAUUCUGAUAACGUGAAUUGAAAUAUAAGAUUCUCUUGUUCCGAAGGAAUAUCACAUCCAGCACGUUAGGACACGAUACUCUAAACCAUCGAAACCAAGAUCAUCUUAUAGUUUAAUGAAACCACACUUUGAAGCUUUAAGAGGAUAUUUGGCUAUUUAGUCGAACGAGAAAUCGAAACCCAGCACGUUAGGGCACGUUUUCUCGAUUUUCCAAACGCGAAAUAUCGCCUUAUUUAGAAAAAUUUUCCUUUUGAUGUUUGGUGUUAAUGCUUGACAAAACAAUAACGAAUACGACAAGGUGAGCAAAGUAAAGUGAGUAACAACAAUACAAUAGGCAAAAUGAAAUGACGAGGCGAUUACAUAAACAAAGCAUACAAAUAAAUAAAUAGAACUAACAUUUAAAAAAAAGCAUAAGUGUACACGAAUAAAUAAACAAACACCAAAUAACAAUGAUGACAAUAAAUACAAUUAUGUAAAAAUGUAUAUACAUGUAUAAUUUUAAGCCAUGAAAUAAGAAACGCAUAUAAAUUAUAGAAUAUGAAAACAUAGAUAAAUAUAUACAUAUGUGUAAAAAAUAAUAUUAUAAAAAGGGUACGUAUAUAUGUAUAAAAAAAUAAAUGUAUUAACAAUGAAUAUAAUAAGGGUAAGAAAACAAGUAUAUACACAAUAUAUAUGUAACGUGGUACUAAGGAUAUAUAUAUACAAUACAGUAUUUAAAAUAAUAUUUACGUAAUAUAAAAUAUAAUAUUAAAAGGUAUAUGUACAUACGUAAUAUAUAAAUACAUAUAUAAUAUAAUGUUAAAAUAUUUACAUAAUACUAAAAUAUUUAGGUAAUAUAUGCGUAUAUUGAAAACUAGUAAUAAUAUUAUCGAGGUAUAUACAAAUAUAUCAAGUAUAUACACGUAUUAUAAAUAUAUAAAUAUAUGACAAAGCAUAAACUAAUAAAAAUAAUAAGAAUAAUAAUAAUGAUAACAUUGGAAUAUAAAAGAAACAAACAUAACAUUAAUAAAAUAUUAAAAUAAAGUGAAAUAAAAAUAUUAAAUAUGAGAAUAUAUAUAGGUAUACACGUACAUAAUAAAAAUAUAUACUAAUACAUAAUAAUAAUAAUGGUAAUACUAAUAAUACUAAUAAUAUAAAAAUAACAAGGAUAUUUAAUAAAGAUAUAAAAAUCAACAAAAAAGGACUAAAAUUGAAUUGAAAGCAAAGUUGUGGGGCCAAUUUGAAAUGAAAACAAAGAAAAAGGACUUAAUUGUAACACGCAUGCAACUUGGAGGGUCAAAAGCGCAAUAAACCCAAGUAUUAAAAACGCUGCGCAGCGUGGGGGACCAGAAUGAAUUCGGGGCAACACCAUGGAGCCAAAUUAAAAAUAAAAAAACCUUGAUUGUAAACUCCCAGAAAGGCGGAAGGGCUAAAAGUGCAAUUAGCCCUUCCAAAGAAAAAAACACGCGGAUCUUCCUUGGUGCAGGUCGGGUCGACCCGACCCGUGUUCAAAACGACGUCGUUUCAUUUAUUUAAACCGGGGGUCCAAAACGGUGCGUUUUGACCCCCUAUAAAAGUCAAAAAAACUUCAAAAAAAAAUCAUUUGUAACGCUGAGGGAAAAAAAAGAAAAGGGAGAGAGGAGAGGGGAGCCCGGAGCGAUUUCCGGCCAAGGGAGGGGUCACCGGACGGCCACCGGAGGCUCGCCGGCGUCAGCGCCGGCCACCGCACGCGGUGGCCGGAAAGGUAAAAUUUUUUAUAUUUUUUUUAUAUUUUUUUUGUUAUUUAUUCUUGGUCUUAGAAUGUAUAGAUUUUAGGUUUAUAUUAAUAAAAAAGGUAUAGAUAUGUAUAUAGAAAUCGAAAGAAAAUGGAUGAAAACAAAAAGGUAACCUUUUCCGUUUGCCUUUCCUUUUUCCCGAAUGCUUGCUAUCUCAGUACUGAGAUCUAUGUAUUUUUUUUAAAAUUUUAGCUUCUGUUUUUUUGUAUUAAAAUGCCAAAAAACAAACAAAAAGAAGAAAGAAAAAAAACCCCCUGAUACAAUUUUUGAUUCGGGUUUUUAUAACCCAUUUUCAUCUAAUUUCCUAUUGUUUCUGUUUUGUCUCUUUGCAUGGGAUGGGCACGAUGGAGGUGACAGAGGCAUGGUGGUACAGAGGAGCAGGUGGCCGACAUGGUGGCAUGGAGAGCUGGGCGUGGCAGACAAGGAGGCCACGCGAGGCAUGCGGCGCUAGGGUUUGGGGGGCAUCUUUCUUCCGAAAAUGUUAAUGUUGUCUGGGCUGGGUUUUUAAUUUUUGUUUCGGGCCAUGGGCUACAUUGGGCUUGUUAUUUUCCUUUGUAAUUGGACUGUUGUUUAUCUUGUUUUAAUAUUCGGGCCUGGGCAUAAAAUUGGGCCUUACAGCUGCCCCUCUUUGCUUGUUAUCGUGUAACGAGAACAGAGCAAAGACUAAAAAAGGCCAAUUUGGCCCGGGCUCACCGAGUUUUGACUUCUUUUGGUGCUUCCUUUCUUCAAGCCUCAUUCUAGUCCACUGCGUCUUAUGAUUCUUCGAUCUGCUCUACUGCAACUUCAGAUACGCCUUAUAGCUUCAAUCUACUCUGCUACGACUCCAUGGGGAUGAGAUUUGUGUUUUUAGUCUGCUUCACUACUACUUAGGGAGAUAAGACUGUGGUUUCGUCUGCUCCGCUACUGCUUAGGGAGAUAAGACUGUAAUCUCCGAUCUAUUCCACUGUCAAAUACAGGGAGAUAGAGUUAUCAGCUUCAAUGUACUCCACUGUAGUCACAGGGAGGUAAAAUCUGCCAUCUUUGAUCUUCAAUCUAUUCCACUGCCAAAUACAGGGAGAUAGAGUUAUCGGCUUCAAUGUACUCCACUGUAGUCAGGGAGGUAAAAUCUGCCAUCUUCGAUCUGUUUCGCUGCCAAAUACAGGAAGGCAAGAUCUGCAAUCUUCGAUCUACUUCACGCCAAUACAUGAAGAUAAGAUCUGCUUUCUUCGAUCUACUUUGCCACCAGUAUGGGAAGACAAGAUCUGCAUCGUCGAUCCACUUCCUACCAAUAUAGGAAGACAGGACCUGCUAUCUUCGAUCUACUUCACGCCAAUACAUGAAGACAAGAUCUGCUUUCUGCGAUCUACUUCGCCACCAAUAUGGGAAGACAAGAUCUGUAUCUUCGAUCCACUUUCUACCAAUAUAGGAAGAUAGGAUCUGCUACCUUCGAUCUACUUCACGCCAAUACAUGAAGACAAGAUCUGCUUUCUGCGAUCUACUUCGCCACCAAUAUAGGAAGACAAGAUCUGCAUCUUCGAUCCACUUCCUACCAAUAUAGGAAGAUAGGAUCUGUUAUCUUUGAUUUACUUCACGCCUAUACAUGAAGACAAGAUCUGCUCUCUGCGAUCUACUUCGCCACCAAUAUGGGAAGACAAGAUCUGCAUCUUUGAUCCACUUCCUACCAAUAUAGGAAGAUAGGACCUAUUUACGCCUAGUGUUUAGGAUGACAUGAUCAGAAUGAAUCAAAUGCUCCUAACUAGAUGCGUAUGUAUUAUAUUUGUAGAAUGUCAUGAGAAUGAUCCAUUUUUAAUGCUUAGGUUGUCAUUCUUCAUUGUUCAUCAAGGUUCUAUCACUGAUGCCUUCUUGUUCAGCCAGUACCUUUGACAGAAAACCUAAAGAAAUAGACGCUAUUUAGACUAUCAUUUCUCAAAUGUUUCCAACCCUUAGGUUUGGUUAGUUCUAAACAAUAGUCCUGUUUCAGGUCAUCGUAUUAUUUAGAAACUUUCAGAGUAAUAUGCAGAACUCCUUCUGCAUGUGUAUUGUCAGUCCAUUAAUCGUUAUUUCAAUGAAAAAUGCUUGAAAAAGAUUAUCAAAAUGGACAAAAUGGAAUUUUGUUGAGAGCAAAGCUCUAAACAAACAAAUCAAGAUAGCAAAUUUGCUGAGAUACGAGAUGAAUAAGAUGAAAAAGAUUAUCACAACGGAUAAGAUGAAAAUUUGCUGAGAGCAAAGCUCUGAAUGAACAAAUUAAUCAAGAUAGCAAAUGUUGCUAGAAUACAAAACGAGAAUAAAUUAAUCAAGAUGAUGUAUUUUGUCAAAAAUACAGAAAAUGAAUAAAAUGGAAAUAAGUGCCCCAGAUAUCGUAGCAUGAGCUUCUCUGCCCCAAACUUCUUAAGGACCCUUUUGAACUUGAUAUGUGUUUAGAAGUCCUAGAAGGCUUUGUUGAUGCCCCAUCUUUGAUCGAAAACUACUUUAUGCCUCAUCCUUGAUCGAAAAUUUGAAUUGCCCGUUCCUGGGUUUUCAAUUCAAAACCCCUUUGGUCUCAAGGUGCCCUUUGCGGGUUUUCGCCUUGGCCUCUCCUCUUUUUUUUUUUUAGGCAAAGUACCUCUUCACUGAAUCCGAAUUCACAGGAUUGGGCAAGCUUUUGCCAUCCAUCCUAGUUAAAAUUAAUGCCCCUCCUGAAAAGGCCUUUUUUACUACAUAAGGUCCCUCCCAGUUUGACAUCCACUUUCCUCUGAAGUCUUUUUGUAUGGGAAGGAUCUUCUUCAGUACCAAGUCCCCUUCAUGGAAGUUUCUAGGACGAACUUUCUUAUUGUAAGCUCGCAUCAUUCGUUUCUGGUAUAUUUGACCAUGACGGAUAGCUCUUAACCUCCUUUCCUCAAUCAAGUUCAGCUGAUCAUAUCGGGAUUAGACCCAUUCUGCUUCGUCUAACUUUAGUUCUGAAAAAACUCAGAGGGAGGGAAUUUCAACCUCAAUUGGUAGCACUGCCUCCAUUCCAUAAACCAAAGAGAAUGGUGUUGCCCCGGUAGAAGUCUUGACGGACGUUCGAUAAGCAUAGAGGGCGAAUGGCAACUUCUCGUGCCAAUCUCUAUAGGUCUCAGUCAUUUUCCCCACAAUCAUUUUGAUAUUUUUAUUGGCUGCCUCCACCGCACCAUUCAUCUUUGGACGGUAUGGCGAUGAGUUGUGGUGCUUGAUAUUGAAUUGACUACAAACUUCUGCUAUCGUGCUAUUAUUCAAAUUUAAUGCGUUGUCAGAUAUAAUCCUUUCGGGCAUUCCAUACCGACAUAUGAUUUCCUUCUUUAAAAACUUGCUGACAGCUGCCUUUGUGACGUUGGUGUAAGAAGUAGCCCCUACCCACUUAGUAAAGUAGUCAAUCACUACAAAAAUGAAACGAUGUUCGUUUGAAGCCUUUGGCGAUAUCGGCCCAAUGACGUCCAUGCCCCACAUGGAGAAAGGCCAUGGGGAAGUCAUGACGUGAAGAGGUGAUAGAGGCAUAUGGAUUUUGUCUCCGUAAAUCUGGCAUUUAUGGCACUUCUUAGCAUAUUUGAUGCAGUCUCCUUCCAUGGUAGACCAAUAAUAUCCAAAUCUCAUGAUUUGUCUGGCCAUUGUGAAACCGUUAGCGUGUGUUCCACAAAUACCAUCAUGGACUUCUUCCAAGAUCUGUUUGGCCUCCAUAGCGUCCACACAUCUUAACAGCACCUGAUCUUUUCCUCUUUUGUACAGGAUCUCUCCAUCUAAGACGUAAUCACUGGCCAGCCUCCUCAACAUUCUCUUGUCAUUCUCAGUUGCUUGGUUUGGGUAUUCACGAUUUUUUACGUAUCGCAAUAUAUCCUGAUACCAAGGGUUUUCGUCCUUUUCUUCUUCUUCGUCAAUGUUACAACAGUGGGCUGGAGCAUCAUAAAUGCUCAUUUGGAUAGGCUUCACAUCCUCUGGUCUAUUUACUUUGAUAAUGGAAGCCAAUGUAGCUAAAGCGUCGGCCAUCUGAUUCUCGUCUCGUGGAAGAUAACAAAAAGUGAUGUCGUCAAACUCCUCAAUCAAUUCUAGGACUAUCCUUCGGUAACUAAUCAACUUAGGUUCUCUUGUUUCCCAUUCGCCUUUGAGCUGAUAAAUUACCAAUGCCGAAUCCCCAUAUACCUCAAGUACCUUGAUUUUGCGUUCUAUAGCCGCGCGGAUUCCCAUGAUACAUGCUUCAUAUUCCGUCAUGUUAUUUGUGCAAUCAAAAUCUAGUUUACUGGUGAAAGGAUAAUGAUCACCGUUUGGAGAUACCAAGACUGCCCCAAUCCCGUUGCCCAUGGCAUUUGAGGCUCCGUCAAAAUUUAAUUUCCAAGUAUUGCCUUCUUGUGUGCUUGCUUCAGUAGUUGCCACAUACAUCAGAUCCUCAUUUGGAAAAUCAAAGUUCAAAGGCUCAUAAUCGUCCAGGGCUCUACUUGCUAGAAAAUCUGCUAUCGCGCUCCCUUUUACAGCCUUUCGAUUCACAUAGGUUAUGUCAAAUUCAGAUAGUAGAAUUUACCAUCGGGCCAUCCUUCCGUUUAGAGCAGUUGACUCCAUCAUGUAUUUCAGAGGGUCUACCUUUGAGAUUAACCAAGUCGUAUGGUACAACAUGUAUUGUCUCAAUCUUCGAGUAGUCCAAACCAAUGCGCAACAUAAUUUUUCAAUUGGCGAAUACCUCGUUUCGCAUUCAGUGAACUUUUUACUGAGAUAAUAGAUCGCUCUUUCCUUUCGUCCUGACUCAUCAUGUUGGCCGAGCACGCACCCCAUGGAAUUCUCAAAUACUGCCAAGUAUAGUAUCAAUGGUUUGUCAGGGCAAGGUGGUAUCAGUACUGGGGCGUUGGACAAGUAAUGUUUAACUCUUUCGAAAGUUUUCUGGCACUCUUCAUCCCAUACACCUGGAUUGUGUUUCCUAAGAAGACGGAAUAUGGGGUCACAUUUCUCGGUUAAUUGUGAAAUGAAUCGAGCGAUGUAAUUUAGUCUUCCUAGGAAACCCCGAACUUCUUUUUGAGUACUUGGCGGAGGUAAUUCUUAUAUGGCCUUAACUUUGUCUGGGUCAAUUUCAAUUCCCUUUUCGCUGACUAAAAAUCCUAGCAAUUUUCCUGAUCUAGCCCCGAAAGUACACUUGGCUGGGUUAAGUUUUAGCUGGAACUUCCUUAACCUCAGAAACAGUUUUCUCAGAACUUGCACGUGUUCCCUUUCUGUUCUGGAUUUUGCGAUCAUGUCAUCAACAUAAACUUCUAUCUCUUUAUGCAUCAUAUCAUGGAAUAAUGCUACCAUGGCUCUCUGAUACGUUGCUCCCGCAUUUUUCAAUCCAAAAGGCAUCACUUUAUAACAAAACGUCCCCCACAUCGUUAUGAAUGUGGUCUUCUCCCUGUCUUCAGAAAGCAUCUUAAUUUGGUUGUACCCGGAGAAACCAUCCAUGAAAGAGAGCAGUGAGUAUCCGGCCGUGUUGUCUACCAAGGUAUCGAUAUGAGGAAGUGGGAAAUUAUCUUUUGGGCUGGCUUUGUUCAAGUCUCUGUAGUCCACACACAUUCGCACCUUCCCAUCUUUCUUAGGAACAGGGACUAUAUUGGCUACCCAUUCUGAGUACUUGACCACCUGUAAGAAACCAGCAUCAAAUUGCUUCUUAACUUCUUACUUUAUUUUUAGCAAGACAUCAGGCCUCAUCCUUCGGAGCUUUUGUUGGACUGGUUUGCAUUCUUCCUUUAUAGGCAAUCGGUGUACCACGAUAUCAGUACUUAACCCUGGCAUAUCUUGGUAGGACCACGCGAAGACAUCUUUAAACUCUUGAAGCAACUCAACAAGGUCUUGCCUUGUUUCCUUGGCAAUGCAAGCGCCAAUUUUUACCUCUCUGCUCUCUUCUAAGGUCACAACUUCUACUGAUUCCUUAUAGGGUAUAAUUUGUUUUUCUUCUUCUUUCAUCAUUCUUAACAAAUUCGGAGAUAAAACGCUGUCUUGGUCACCUUUAAAAUCUUGAGGAUCAUCUAUACUCAUGUCUUGCUCAAAUAGAGACUCUGAAUUAGUAACAGAGUCGCUCAUCUCGUUGAUAUUUGAAGACCUGUUAUUGGAACAAAUGGAGGCCCAAAUAAAAGGAUCUAAGAAUACUUGUAUGCAUAUUAUGAUUAUAAAGGGAAUGAAAAGAAUGAAAGAAUACUUGCUCAAGAUGAAACUGAAUGAUAAGUUUUCACUGAAAUUAGAUUUUGAACAUGUGCAUUUUACAAAAGAUUCUUAUCACCCCCAGGCUUAGGGCAACAAGUGUUCUGAAUAUUACUCUGAAUUAGUUCUAAAUGUUACAGGGAUCUCUUCUGCAGUCCAGUUAUUCGGAACACUUCCAGGUUCGUAAGGACGAAUGCCCGAUAAAUUCCUUUCCACCCUUUCUUCCGCGGAUAUGGCAUUGAUGUCCAACCUCUCAAUCCUUCCUUCUGUAACCUCAUCCUUCUCUUCAGGGUGGACAAUUCCCCCUGAAACAAAAGUCUUAGAUAUAUGAGGAAAGGUUAUCGGUCCCCACUUGGCUUCUAUCCCGCCCAAAUGUGCUCUUCUCCUUUCUUGUCUUUUCUCCAUCUCCUUCCUCCUUUCCCUCGCAAUAGGCUUAUAUCCCAAACCAUAACGGUCCUGUUUGUUAACUAGGAUCGGUACUCCGACCCUUCCCUGGAGGUAUUUUCCAAAUCCUCUUCCAGGCAAUGCUCCCUUUCCCACCGUUAAGUUCAUUGACGUAGCUUUGGAUAUCUUAGGCUCUGGGAUUUUGCUCAUCUCAAUGACAAAUAUGGCAUUUACGAAUUCCAAUGAUCGGAAUGAACAUUCUAUCGCUUCACUAUCAGCCUCUAUGUAUGGCAUAUCAUCGGUGACUGAUGCAAUGAUGUCUUCUUCUGCACCUAUAGUCACCAAUCUACCCUCUACCACCAAUUUUAACUUUUGGUGAAGUGACGAUGGUACAGCCCCUGCAGAAUGGAUCCAAGGCCUCCCUAAUAGGCAAUUGUAAGAUGGUUUAAUAUCCAUUACCAAAAAGUCUACCUCGUAUGUAUUUGGACCAAUCAAUAGAGGUAUCUCGAUUCUUCCCAUCACUUUUCUCUCAGUGCCAUCAAAUGCUCUCACUAUAUUUUGGCAUAAUUUCAUGUGAGAACUAUCCACAGGUAGCCUGUUUAAUGUGGACAGGGGUAAAACAUUCAGGGCCGAUCCAUUGUCAACGAGUACCGCCGGUAGUAUACACCCCUUGCAACGGGCAGUGAUGUGCAAGGCCUUGGUAGAUCCCAUACCGCCUGGCGAGAUCUCAUCAUCGUUGAAGAAGAUGAAGUUAUCGGCAUUUAUAUUGUUAACCAGGCAAUCCAAUUUGUCCACUGAGAUAUCUUUAGCGACAUAAGUUUCAUUUAGCACUUUUACUAACGUAUUACGAUGUAUCUCUGAACUUAGAAGUAACUCGAGCACUGAGAUGCGAGCCGGUUACUUAUGCAGUUGUUCCACCACGCUAUACUCGCUAUGCUUCAAGAAUUUUAAGAAUUCUCUAGCCUCAUUUUCAGUCACCGGUGUAUUAAUAUGCGGUUCAAUUCCGGUCUUCGUUUUAUCUUGUUCAACCGCCAAGGCUUUUCCUUUUAUAGGCCCCCUUUUUGUAUUUCCCGGGUCGCAACGUUUUCCACUACGCGUAUAAAAGCCUGUGUCAUUACCCUCUUCUGAAGCAUUUAUCGGGUUCUCCUCUCCCGUGAUCAUCACAUUGCAGUCAUAAUUCUAAGGAACCUUUUUACUAUCCUUGUAAGGAAAGGCUACAGGUUUUUGGAUUAUGACCCUUGGCGCCAGUUGUAUUCCAGAUCCUGUGCUUGUUGGCCUUGAAAUAAUCACCACCGGGUGAUUUUGGGCCUUUCUCGUAGGCCCCUCCUCUGAGGCAUAAACUUCUCCUUUCUCAAGUCCUUUGAUCUCUUCAUAAAAUUCUAACUCUUUGUUGUUCAUCAGAUUUUGUAACAUGGCCUUGAAAUCAGUGCAAUUUUGAAUGUCAUGGUCUUCUUCAGCAUGAAACUCGCAGUACGUCUUCGUUCCUUCGGGCCUUUCUUUUGAAUCUUGUUUGAUGAGACCUCCUUCUAUCAUUUGUCUCCAAACCCAACUCAAUGGGGUUUUUAUCUCUGCAAUGUCGGUUUUGAUUCUCUUUCUCCCACCUUCGAUUAUUGCGUUUACCCCUUUAUCAGCAUGAUCGGGUAACGGAUUCGCUGCUACAUUUGGUCCUAAUGGGUUGUCAAACUUCACAAUCCCCAUCUUAAUGAACCUUUCCACCGCCUUUUUAAACCCAGUGCAGUUCUCAAUUGAGUGCCCCGGUAUCCCUGCAUGGUAUUCACAUUGGGCAUUCGCGUCAUACCAUUUGGGAUACGGAGGUUGCAUGGGCUCUAGAUAAAAUGGAGAUACUAUGUGUGCAUCAAAUAACUUCUGAUACAGUUCCCCGUAUGUUAUUGGAAUGGGCGUGAAUUAAAGUCUCUCUGUGUUAGUCCUUGUGUUAGGCCUCGUGUUGGGUUCCUGCCUUGAGGGGGCUUGGUGACUAGUGGUUAUCAUUUUUGGAGGGCCAACAGUAAUCAGUUUUGAAUGGCUCUUGCUAUAUGUGCAUACGUUGUUUACUUCGCCCUCUUUUUUUCUUCGGGCUGGUCUUUUGAAGUUUUCCCCAGUGUCAAUUUUACCGCUCCUUACCGCGUUCUCAAUCAUUUCACCAGACAUUACCAUAUCCGAGAAACUCUUGGUAGCACUCCCCAACAUGUGGUUGAUGAACAGGGCUUUCAAAGUGUUGAUAAACAACAUGGUGACCUCUUUUUCCAAAAGGGGUGGCUGGACUUGUGUUGCCACUUCUCUCCAUCGUUGGGCGUAUUGCCUGAAAUUCUCGCUAGGCUUUUUUUCCAUGUUUUGUAACGUAAUUCGAUCGGGUGUUAUAUCCAUUACAUGACUGUAUUGCUUCAUAAAAGCUUGCGCCAAGUCUCUCCAUGAACUAACUUUAGCACGACUCAGUUGGUUGUACCAUUUGGCUGCAGAUCCGAUCAAACUGUCCUGGAAGCAGUGGAUUAACAGCUGAUCAUUGUUGACGUAUCCUGUCAUUCUUCGACAGAACAUAGUUAUAUGAGCUUCAGGACAACUAGUCCCAUUAUAUUUUUCGAAUUCUGACAUUUUGAACUUAGGUGGGAGUACUAAACCAGGGACCAAACUCAGAUCAUUGACGUCAACCCCGCGAUGACAGUCGAUGUUCUCCAUGGCUCUAAAUUUUUCCUCUAACCAUCUACAUCGGUCCUCCAGUUGUUUUGGCAGGUUCAUUCUUGUUUUUUCUGUUUCUGCCACGUCAUCGAGGUCCGGGACCACCAGAUUAGUGGGAUUAUCCCCGGGAUUAAAACCCGAGCCCAUUUGAAAAUGCACUGGUACCGAGGUACCAGCCAGAUAUUGAGGUCCUAUGGUAACUGGUACCCUCUGUGGGUACACCUCUGGUUGUGCUUGGAUGUUAGUUGGGGUGAAACCUGGAGGAUAAACAGGGUCAUCGUGAUCCUCCCCAGCAUCAAUUACGGGGUCUUUUCCUUUGUUAUUCCCUCCAGCCAAUAACUGCUUUAAUUGGUUCAUCACGGUGUUCUGGGAUUCUAACAUGUCCUGCUGGAUUUUUUCCAGUCGUUCAUGCAUCUGAUCUUGCAUCUCUCGUUGCAACUGUUCCAAUCUUUCCAACCUUUGAUCCAUUGCUUUUGUUUGGCGACGAGUACCGUAGUGAUAUUUGAUUAGAUUUUUGUUGGUUUCCAGGGUAACUGUCAUAAUUUAAUUUUAUUAGGGUCAUUUUAUGAGAUGUAAUGCAAAUGUAUGAGAUGAAUGCAAAAAAAAGAGGCAUUGAUUCGAAUUCAAUUUCAUUAGAAAACUCAACUAGAAAGCAAAUUUCUUUACAUAAAAUAAAUUACAUAUACGGCUUCGCCUUUAUACCCAAAGCCUUAACCUUCCUAAGAAGCCAACUAAAUCUCGACCUCGGCUUGAUUCUGACUCAUAUUUUAAACUCAAUACAUCGGCCUGAAUUGCUAAUGUUUGCAGAUGAUCAGCCACUUCCCGCACUUGAGUCACAGCUUCGCCCAUAACGUAAUCUCUAUCUCUAAUCUGACUUUGAGAAUGAUGGAAUUGCUCUUGCCAUUGAUCAUUACUCCUCUCAAGAAGCUCCAUUCGUAGCUCAGAAUUGUGUAAUGCGUCCUCAAGCUCCUCUACCUUUCCUUUCAGUUCUUCGAUCUUAUUUAAGCUUGCUCUUAAUUCGAUCAUGGAGUUGCGACUACGGUACGAGUGAAGUGACUUUUCUAGCUCUGCCACCUUGGCCUUUAAUCCUGCCUUCUCAUUUCGGCACUCUAACAAACUCCUUUCCAAAGCGUUUUCUCGAGCUCAAGCAUCUUGAAAUUUCUUUUCCCACUGAUCGGCCCUAUUCUUUUCCUCAUUGAUCUCUUGUCGCCAUUGCUCUGACGUUUUACCCAGACCGACAGUUCUCAUUGACAAUCGCAGCUUCUUGUAAUCUAUUUUUAGACUAUCCAAAUCCUCUUCAGCCUUGUUCUUUCCCUUCUUUAAUUUCUCGGCUUCUAGCUUGUGGAUAUCGAUGUCUAAUCCCAAAUGCACUCUUUCUUCUUCUAGCUGUUCUAUCCUCUUUCCCAACUCAGAAUUUCUUUUCUCAAAGUCUCGUUUGAUGAUCUCUAAUUCUGACGGAACUACUUGUAGAUGCUCCUCUAUAGACUGAACGCAAUCUUCCCUCGGCUUAGGGAUGUUGUCAUUGACUCUUUUACUCCACCACCCAUAAUAUUCUGAAGUUGUCAUCGCUCCUACGGUAAAUCUUUUCAUUCGGUGAACCUGUUUCCAAGCGUUAGAUAUUUCUCGAGUUUUUCUCUUGUAGUUUUCAUCCUUAUAAGAAAACUCACAUUGAGCCAGCCCUUGUGUUGCUGGUAUGAACUGUCUCGAUCUAUAUUGUCUUAAUACGAGUAAAGGGGCAUAACCGACAGCUCCCCAAAUUUCGAGUAAAGGGACCCAGUCGAAAUCCCCACAUCGAUACAGGAUCUCGUCGGGUACCAUCCAAGGAGCUUUCCAUUCAACGUCAUCCUCCUGAAGAUUUUGGAGAAUCGUCAUCCACUUCUCUUCCGUGAUGUCGUCUCGUCUUGGUGUAGCAACUUGUUCCUUCAAUGGGGAAUAGUCUUCUGAGAAGACUCGAUAGGAGACAUUUUCCACCUUCCAAAAGUGACUAUGGAACCACACUAAUAGUAGCUGUGCGCAUCCGAUGAACCUUCCCUCCCCUGCUCUUCGACAUGCACUUAGAAAUCUGAAGGUUUCUGCUAAGAUUGCCGGGAUGGGCGUGACUCCUUUACUAAGCCGAUCGAACAAAUCAGAGACGGCCUCAUCUACGUGCCCUAAAGCUCUAGGGAAAAUUACCAAUCCAUAGAUACCUAGAGCGAAGACAUCCACUCUUUUCUUCACAUCAGGGUGUGCUAAUACUAAAUCUCGCAAGCUUUUCCAAGGAACGCAUUUACUGUCUCCUUUCUGUUGGAUUCGGGCAGCGACCCACUGUUCGCUCAUCCCUGUAAUGCUCAUCAAUUUUUUUAAUAAUGUCGGGACACUAGCAGCUCUAGAAUAGGCCUUGUCAAUUUGAAUCUUUGGACACCGAAGCAAGGUCGUAUAUUCUUCCAUGGUGGGCACCAAGUCCACUUUUCCAAAAGUGAAACAACUGUAAGCAGGAUUCUAAAACUGGGCUAGGGCUCGGAAUAAAUGCUUGUCCACUUUGACACCAAGUAGGUAAGGCAAGUCCCCGUAGUCACAGUAAAACAUCUGCUUGGUCCCAUCGUCCCAUUGAUCCCAUAUUUCCUUCAUUUCUCGAAGAUCAUUUUGGAUUACGCUGAUACGGGUGAAGUCCCAUAACUCUGAUACGUACCCUUCUGCAAGACUAUCGCCUUUCUCUCUCCACAUCGUCUCAGCCCACACUCGUACAGCUGCAUUGUCUUCUACUUUAUCAAGAAACCUCUUUUCCAUGAUAAGCUUUCUAUCUAUACUGAACGUGAAUCGACACCUUUUGAAAUGAAAAUGCCAUGCAAUCAUAAACAAAGCAAAUCAGAGCUAGGAUUUAAAGUAAACAAUAAUAAAUAAAGCAUCUAUUCGGUAAGCGCUAGGGUUUGGAAUAGCUCUAUCUCGGUGGGUUCUUACGGCUCGCUAUAUGUGGUUUAGUUCUAAAGUAAGGGUACCUGAACCAGCAGAUUCCUCGAUCCUCACCCAUUAUAGGCUCAUGGACCGAGUUCAGUUCAGGGGAAUACAUUUCCCUAUGGCCAUGCGGAGAUGAAAAUCUCACGAAGACAUAGGUACGGAUGUAUCCCGGAAGCGAUUCACUAUCCCAUGCGGAGGUGAAAACCUCACGAAGGCGUAGUUUCUCACUCCCACUUAAAAAGGUAUGACCAGCGAUCAUGCAAUUCAAUGUGCAGAGGUAUAAAAUAAAAUACAGAACACGAUAAAAAAUAUAACUCAAAACAAAAGAGAUGCAAUGAAAGGAUCGUAAAUUUAAAUCAAAUUUUCCACUUUCAACAAAAAGACAAGAAAUAAUCAACACGUGGCUUGACUCUCUUUCGUUCCCCAGUGGAGUCGCCAAGCUGUUGACACCAUUUUUUUGAUGAAAACGGGGUCGACUUGGAUUUUGAAAAAAGAAUGAAAACGGGAGUCGCCACCAAUCCUUUUUGACGAGGUGUGAUCGGGUCACCUCAAAAUGUGGUUGUUUUUAAUAAAUGAUUUAAUUUUAUUAAAACAACGAUUUUGGUCUACGAAAUUCAGAAAAAUGAGUUCGGGAGUCGGUUACGCACGAGGAAGGAUUAGCACCCUCGAUACGCCCAAAAUUGGUACCUAGUUGAUUAAUUAGUGUCUUAGUGUCGAAAAUUGAAAAUUUGAAGAGUUUUAAAAAUACGAUCCUUAAAAGAAAUUCUGAUAACGUGAAUUGAAAUAUAAGAUUCUCUUGUUCCGAAGGAAUAUCACAUCCAGCACGUUAGGACACGAUACUCUAAACCAUCGAAACCAAGAUCAUCUUAUAGUUUAAUGAAACCACACUUUGAAGCUUUAAGAGGAUAUUUGGCUAUUUAGUCGAACGAGAAAUCGAAACCCAGCACGUUAGGGCACGUUUUCUCGAUUUUCCAAACGCGAAAUAUCGCCUUAUUUAGAAAAAUUUUCCUUUUGAUGUUUGGUGUUAAUGCUUGACAAAACAAUAACGAAUACGACAAGGUGAGCAAAGUAAAGUGAGUAACAACAAUACAAUAGGCAAAAUGAAAUGACGAGGCGAUUACAUAAACAAAGCAUACAAAUAAAUAAAUAGAACUAACAUUUAAAAAAAAGCAUAAGUGUACACGAAUAAAUAAACAAACACCAAAUAACAAUGAUGACAAUAAAUACAAUUAUGUAAAAAUGUAUAUACAUGUAUAAUUUUAAGCCAUGAAAUAAGAAACGCAUAUAAAUUAUAGAAUAUGAAAACAUAGAUAAAUAUAUACAUAUGUGUAAAAAAUAAUAUUAUAAAAAGGGUACGUAUAUAUGUAUAAAAAAUAAAUGUAUUAACAAUGAAUAUAAUAAGGGUAAGAAAACAAGUAUAUACACAAUAUAUAUGUAACGUAGGUACUAAGGAUAUAUAUAUACAAUACAGUAUUUAAAAUAAUAUUUACGUAAUAUAAAAUAUAAUAUUAAAAGGUAUAUGUACAUACGUAAUAUAUAAAUACAUAUAUAAUAUAAUGUUAAAAUAUUUACAUAAUACUAAAAUAUUUAGGUAAUAUAUGCGUAUAUUGAAAACUAGUAAUAAUAUUACCGAGGUAUAUACAAAUAUAUCAAGUAUAUACACGUAUUAUAAAUAUAUAAAUAUAUGACAAAGCAUAAACUAAUAAAAAUAAUAAGAAUAAUAAUAAUGAUAACAUUGGAAUAUAAAAGAAACAAACAUAACAUUAAUAAAAUAUUAAAAUAAAGUGAAAUAAAAAUAUUAAAUAUGAGAAUAUAUAUAGGUAUACACGUACAUAAUAAAAAUAUAUACUAAUACAUAAUAAUAAUAAUGGUAAUACUAAUAAUACUAAUAAUAUAAAAAUAACAAGGAUAUUUAAUAAAGAUAUAAAAAUCAACAAAAAAGGACUAAAAUUGAAUUGAAAGCAAAGUUGUGGGGCCAAUUUGAAAUGAAAACAAAGAAAAAGGACUUAAUUGUAACACGCAUGCAACUUGGAGGGUCAAAAGUGCAAUAAACCCAAGUAUUAAAAACGCUGCGCAGCGUGGGGGACCAGAAUGAAUUCGGGGCAACACCAUGGAGCCAAAUUAAAAAUAAAAAAACCUUGAUUGUAAACUCCCAGAAAGGCGGAAGGGCUAAAAGUGCAAUUAGCCCUUCCAAAGAAAAAAACACGCGGAUCUUCCUUGGUGCAGGUCGGGUCGACCCGACCCGUGUUCAAAACGACGUCGUUUCAUUUAUUUAAACCGGGGGUCCAAAACGGUGCGUUUUGACCCCCUAUAAAAGUCAAAAAAACUUCAAAAAAAAAUCAUUUGUAACGCUGAGGGAAAAAAAAGAAAAGGGAGAGAGGAGAGGGGAGCCCGGAGCGAUUUCCGGCCAAGGGAGGGGUCACCGGACGGCCACCGGAGGCUCGCCGGCGUCAGCGCCGGCCACCGCACGCCGUGGCCGGAAAGGUAAAAUUUUUUAUAUUUUUUUUAUAUUUUUUUGUUAUUUAUUCUUGGUCUUAGAAUGUAUAGAUUUUAGGUUUAUAUUAAUAAAAAAGGUAUAGAUAUGUAUAUAGAAAUCGAAAGAAAAUGGAUGAAAACAAAAAGGUAACCUUUUCCGUUUGCCUUUUCUUUUUCCCGAAUGCUUGCUAUCUCAGUACUGAGAUCUAUGUAUUUUUUUUAAAAUUCUAGCUUCUGUUUUUUUGUAUUAAAAUGCCAAAAAACAAACAAAAAGAAGAAAGAAAAAAAACCCCUGACACAAUUUUUUAUUCGGGUUUUUAUAACCCAUUUUCAUCUAAUUUCCUAUUGUUUCUGUUUUGUCUCUUUGCAUGGGAUGGGCACGAUGGAGGUGACAGAGGCAUGGUGGUACAGAGGAGCAGGUGGCCGACAUGGUGGCAUGGAGAGCUGGGCGUGGCAGACGAGGAGGCCACGCGAGGCAUGCAGCGCUAGGGCUUGGGGGGCAUCUUUCUGCCGAAAAUGUUAAUGUUGUCUGGGCUGGGUUUUUGAUUUUUGUUUCGGGCCAUGGGCUACAUUGGGCUUGUUAUUUUCCUUUGUAAUUGGACUGUUGUUUAUCUUGUUUUAAUAUUCGGGCCUGGGCAUAAAAUUGGGCCUUACAAUAGUCUUAAGUGUCUAUCACAAGAACCUAGAUAUUGUAAAUCCAAUAUCUUCCAAACAAUUCAACCAUGAUAUUAAUGAUGAUGGAAGCAAGAUUAUCCACUAUCAAUGACAUAAAAUGAGCUGUAAAUGCUGACGAACAAACAUGCACUGUUUUUCCAACCUGUGGAUUGAAGAGCAUUGACAAGCUAACUUUGCAGACCAUUUGAAUCCAAUACUAUACAUAAAAAUGCCAAAGGAGAAUAAUUCAUCUUGGAAAAAGAAUUACUAAUAUGCAAAAGCUUACCUUGUUUAACAAGAACACAGCAUAUGCUGCUCUUGUCGUGUCUUGACCUUCUAAAAACAGCGGAAAUUCUGCCAGCUUUACAUUUGCUGAAAGUGUUGUAUCCAAUGACAAAUCAGAAGAUGCAGGGUCUAUUGAAGACGCAUGGUCAUUAAUAUAUGAGCGAGAACCACCCAAGCGCAGAGGAUAACGCAAGGGAACUUGUAAAUAGGAUGCAAUUAGUGAAACAGCCUGCAAAUGAUGAAAUAACAGGAAACAAGAAACAAUAAUAGGUAUGAUUAAAAUUAUAGCCUCAGCAUGAGAAACAAGCAAUCAAGAUGCAGCCCACUAUACCAUAUUACCAUCCUAGCAAUUAAAAAUUACUACAGCAUCUUCAAGCAACAAGGGAUUGUAGGUGGUAGGUCAAAAAACUUGAUAUCCACAGCUUGAUAUUAUCAGAAAAAACAAAUUCAGUAAUAAAUGAUAACUUCACAGAAGAAAUAGAACGCACAUGUGCAACAUAUCCCAAGGCAGUUGCAGAUCUCUGAACCUCCUUUUUGUCAGUGAAAAAACUCAUCUUUGUAAAAGGAAGCAAGGUGAGAUUCAGACCUAAAAUUGUCAACGAUCCUUGAUUGACGGGCUUUGAUGCAGAAGGAUUCCCUAGUGAAGACAGGAACAAAGGAACUUCAUAUCAAUACAUCACCAGACACCACCUCUUUGUGAAAGUCAAAACAAAAUUCAAAAAAAUAUAAUCAUGAAAGUAAGAGAUAUGUAAAAAGUUCAUAAUAUUCAAGAGCAAAAAAAAAUUGUUUUGAUAUGAGGAGAAUUGAAUAGUAGAUUGCUAAAAGAGGAAUAACUGAAUACAGCCAUCAUAACCAAAAGAAGAGUCAAGUGAUAGGUAAUGGUACUCCCUAAGCUGUUUAGGAAUCAUAAAAGACUUGUCCAGUUGACAAAAAUAACUCAUUUUAUUCUCCCCUAGUAAAACAUCAUAUUGGACCAACCAUAUUUGAUAUCAAAGGAUAUGGAUAUCCAGGCAUGCCAUUUAUAGAUAUUCCCAGUGUUGCAAGAAGGAAUUGUUCAAGAGAAAGAAGCUGCUAUUGUUGGUAAAGUUUUCCUCAAACCAUUUUGAACAUCCAAAAUCUCAAGAACAAAAAAGAAAACGUAGGAGGAAAUAUAACAAGCAUCACAACGGGUUCUCGAUGAUAUAAGUGAGAGGAUAAAUGUUAAUUAAGAUUAUAAAAAUAAACCACAAACUAAACAGGAAAGACAUGGAUUUCAAAACGAGGAGACUGGCUGCUAAUUAAAACCAUAUGCGGUGUUGUCUAGGGCGCAAGGCGCAUUCUAGGUGCUAACCUUUAUAUUGCCUCAAGCACAAGGCACAAAAGGAAGCGCUAGCCUGAGUGCAGUAAAGCGCAAUACAUAUAUGUGAGAGUUUUUGCAAGUCUGUGUGUCUACAACAUAAAAGUUUUAAGAUAUAUAGUAAACUCUAAAGUGUGGUCUGGUUUAUCCACAAAACUUGCAAAAUUUUUAUAGGUGAAUGCUCAAAUAUUGAGAAUUAUAGAGUUUGAUAUUAUCCCUUUCUUAUUAGUAAAGGUGUAUCAAAUGAAAACAGUAAAAAAUAAAAUAAAAUAUUGAGAAAUUCAACAAGGCAGGCUUUUUCUAAUGCCCAUUGCCUUACAAAAAAAGUGUGCCUAGGUGCACCAGGCAUACGCUUGAUCAAAUGGACCUCACCUGGAAGGGUCCAAGGCGUUUGGUUGUAUAAAACUAAGGCGUAGGCAUGCCUAGGCGCAUGCCUUGACGACACUGACCAUAUGUUGGCUUUAUUGCAAAGCAUUAGCAAUCCAAAACUACUAGCACAUUACCUAAUCUACUACUGCUAGAAUAGGACUCAAGUUCUUGCUCCUGUGCAGGUCCAACCAAGAUCUUUACAGGAUACAAUAAUGAAACUUGUGAUAUCAUAUAUUGUUGCCUUGCUCGAAGCUUCCUUUGCACAUUUUUAAGUUUAACACAACCCCUUUCUUCAGUGAGUAAUCUAUUUGCUUCCUGUGAUAAAAACAACAUAUAAUCAAUCAUGCCACGCAUGCAAGACUACCAACCAACUAUCUAACAAAAGAUACAAAGAAGUAGGAGAGCAAGAAGGGGAUAACCCUUGACUAUGCAAAGGAAUUCAUAGAAUGAGAAUCAUCUCAUCUAAGCCCCUCAACCACCUUCACAGGGGGUGGAGGUGCAAAGAGAGAGGUCUUAUUGAUCCGAGAGGAGAAUAUAUAACAUCUAAAGCUGAAUAAGAAGAAACCUUGAAAUAUAUCAUAAAUUCAGAAUUCAUGAUAAUAUAAAAAUGAAAUUCCAAAGCUAAUUUAAGCUAGAAUAAAAAUGCUUCACCUGUAAUCACUUCCUUGCUACAGAAAGAGAGGUACCAGCAACCAACAAUGAUCUUACUUCAGUACUAAGCAUUUCCUCCUGUUUUUUAGCAUCCUCUGUUGCAACUUUGCAAUGAGUUGACAUGUUUGCCAUAACUACUUUCCUUGCCUCGAGUCUCUCACGCAUUUCCUCAAGCUCGUUCAGUUUAUUCAAAGACUCAUUUUUUACCUGCACAGCAUGUUCCCACCCAUUAAUCAGUGGGCCAAUUAAUUAGGUCACAGAAGACAAAACUAAAUUAUCACUCACCAGGUCCCCUUGAAGUGUCAUAUGGCUUUAACAAUUCAACGUGCAAUAUCUAGUAAAAGUAAAAUAAACAUAGAAGAAUGCAAAUGCAAUUCUUAAACGCCUUUAAAUGGACAACAUGAAACACUUUAAGAGCCCUAUAAAACAGAAAACUGGAAAAAAAAUCUGAAAAGGAAAAAAAAAUGAAUUGAAACAAUAAAUCCAUCUGGUACAAACAGCAACAAAUCUCGAAAUAAGCUUUGGCUUUAGCCCAUUAAAGCCCGGGCAUCCGGCCAAAUAAACAGUGACUGCCAUGUCAACUUUUUGAGACGGUAGAAAAGAGCUCAAAAAUCUCAAUUUCCAAAAAUAAGGACAUAAGAAGGAAAACAAUUUACUUAUUCUUACAGUAGAAGAGCAAAAUGAAACUAAAUGAAGGAUAAGGGAACUGAUGCGAAUUGACAUUGUUAUUUUUGGGACUAAAAAGAAUACGCAGAUUGAAUAUUUAAGAUUUUGUAAGGGAAAAGUUCCAUUCACCGACACAAUUAUCAUCGCCCUUUAUCCCAGUAAAGCUUAAUUGACAAUUUUUCUGUCUCGUGUUCUUGCUAAAGCAUUUGAGCAACCCAACAGAAAUCAUUAUAUUUCAAACUGAAAUGAUUGGCUUUAACAAUUUCACAACCUAUACCGCCCAACCUAGUAAGUAAUUUAGGUGCAGACACCAGAAAUCUAUUUUCUUUGCACUCUACAACUAAAUAGCAUACCACUUAUCAAUCAAACACAGCUGAAAACUUCAGUGAGGGAACAUUAUGUAAAAUGAAAAAACUAUAACUUCAACUUGAUUCAUAGCUCGGCAAGUUCAGGGAAUUGGGACUUCUACCACGAUGAUCCAGUUCAAUGUGAAACAGUGAUCCAUAUCAUGCAUAUCGGUUCCCGGAACAAGAGGUAAAACCAGCAAAUUAGGUAAACAAUAAUCCUACUAUAUUUCAGAAUAGCAACAUUGAGCAUGAAAGCUAAAAUUAUAGCAUAUUACGGGUCCUUGCUCUCUACAACUACAUAUAAAAUUAGUAAACAAUAUUACUACAUUAAGGAUCCAGAAAAACUUUGUUUCAAUUGUUGAUCACUUGAUCCAACUAUUUUAGAAAGUUUAUUCUUCUUUUUCCUUUCCCUUAUUUUCUAAAUCAGGAAAAACAGUAGCAUAUAAAUUGGAUUACUACUCCAAGUUUCUGAAAUUUCAACAAUAUCCCUUUUACCUUUUCACUCAAGUCAUUACCCCCCAAUUAACAAAUAUAUUCCCAGUUUCCCUUUCCCUUCAAACACCCCUUUUUUUUUCCUCUACCCAAAUUCAGCUUAUGUUCAAAAACCCAAAAUUGGUUUGCUAAAAUAACAUAAUUUUCAAACACAAAGAUAACCUAAUUUUAAUCAGAAAAAAAAAGCAUUACCUGAAUUAGUGACUGGAGUUUCUCUUGAAGACUUUGUUUCUUCUCAUUAGCUUCCUUAAGGGCAGAAGUUAAACUCCACAAUCUAGCUAGCUCGUUGUCGAAAUCUUCCCAUUCAAUUAGUUGCACAUUUUCAUGUGCAGCAUUGAUUUUCUUCGGGUCGGUAAUUAGGGUUUUGACUCGGGCUUGUUCUCGAUUUUCCAUGAAAUAAUUGAAGAGGAAAGCUUUCGAUUCUGUAAGUUUAAAAAGGGAUCAUAGAUCGACCUCAUGGUACUGGAUCUCGCCCGGUUAGAGUGUUCUUUUUCACGCCGAUCGAAUCAUUUUCUCGGGAAACUUUGCUAGCUAGGGGUAAUUUUCUCGGGAAAAUGGAGGGAAAAACAGAUUCGGGAGUUUUUAUUUGGGGGAGUCUAAGGUAUAACGGAGAAUGACAGGUGGCGGUUAACGGAGGAAUCUCACGAUUCAUGUCAUUUUCACUUUUUCGAUUUAGAAAUUGCUUAAAUACUUUUAAAAAUAGAUAAUAAGAUAAACUUUCUUUUUGAAUAAGAUAAAACUUUCAUUGAAAAUAAAUAAAUAAAUUAAAAAAUAUUUGAUGAUUUUUAAGUUGGUAAUUUUUUUUUAUAAAAAUUUGGUAACUUCUUUGAAAGUUGAUAUAAAAUGUAUCACGACCCGACUUGAGAUUUAAUUUGUCCUCGUCAGAAGUCCGACCCAAACAAGGGAAUAUGACUUGCCACUCACCAAUUUUUUAACCUUCCAACUUGCCAGCUUUAUGGAGUAACUCGGCACCUUGCGACACUACCUAACAUACCGUGAGAUUUAAGUACAAAUAUCUCUAAGGGUAUGUGUCAAGCUUAAGAGAAAUAACAUAUUAUUAUACAUAUUAUUUAGUUACCCCUAACAUGUCACGUCAAAAAAUCAUACUAUAAAAAAUAGUCCUCACAAGAUAGGAUAGAAAAAAAAAGUCAUCAACAAAAGUAAUUAAGUAACCUUUUUAUAAAACAAAAAGAUUUAUUUUAUUUUGAAAUAAAUUAAUUCUCUAACUUAUAUAAGAAAUUAAGUAAAAUCUUUUUAAAUAAUAAGACAUAAUUUCUCGAAAAAAAAUAAUCAAAUGAGAGCUAAUCAAAAUAAUUUAUUUUUUUAGGCCAAACAAUUUUACUUCAACUAUUUAUAAACACUUUUUAAUCAAUUUUAUUUUAACUCCCAUUAUAAAUUUUAUAAAAAGGAUAAUAUAUUAAAAAUACCCUUAAAUUAUUAGAUUUUGUAUAAAUAAACUCUUAUUUUUUUUAGUUAAAUAAACUCCUAAAUUAUUAAUUUAGUCAUGAAAAUGUUGAUAUAAAAGUAUGAGAAUAAUUUAUUAAAUAAAAAAUUAAUUAUUUUAAAAUAUUUAAAAUAUUUAUAUACAUAAUAAACUUAAUUAAAUUCUCUAGAAAAAAAAUUUAUAUUCUUUUAAAUUUUAUGUUGAUAUAUUAUUUCUAUUUGUCUAAUAAAGUGCAUAACGAGGCAAUAACUAUUUUUUAUGUAUAAAUUAAACAAUACUACAACUUCCGAAGUUAAUAAGAUUAUAUCUAUACUCACCAUCACAAUUAGAGACAGGGGUGAGUAUUCGAUCGAAUUGAGUUAAAAAAUUUUGAAUUAGUCGAGUUAACAAAUCUUAUUUUAGCAAUCGAAAUCAAUUUAAAUUUUUUUAAAUCAAAUCGAAUCGAGUCAAAAAAUUUCAAGUCGAAUUAACGAAUCCUAUUAUUUAUACUCAAUAUUGCGUUUAUAUGGGCUGAUUAUUUAACUGGUAGACGAAGUACAAGAUUAUUUAACUAUAUAAACAAUAUAAUGGUUUUGCAUUGUAACUUAAUAGGUAAACAUUUAUCAAAACGAAAUAAUUUUACCUUUUAAGUUAAUGGUUUUGACUUUUAACUUUUAACUUUAAAAAAUAUAAACAUUUAUCAAUACGACGUAAAUUUACAUUUUCGUAUUCGGAUUUUCGAAUAACUCGAAACGUGUAAUUCAUAUUCGAGUUAAACUAAAAAUUUUAAUUUUUUUAUUUGAGUUAAUCUGAAUAACUUGAUUAAAUCGAAUAACUCGAAUUGUUUAAUUUGAAAUUUGAUUUUUUUAUCGAAUUUUUCAAAUCAAAUCAAAAUUUACUCACCCUUAAUUAGUCAUCAUAACUAAAUUAAAGUUGCCCCAUUAUGCAAUUGCAAGUCUUCAAAGCCUAAAAGUUGUAACAAUUCAAAAUUUCAAUGGAAAUUAAAAUUAAUAUUUUUAUCAUAUAUUAGUCAAAGUUUAUUGCAUCAACAAUAAGUUAAGAUAAAAACCUCAAAUUUUAAAAUAUUUUUACCUCAAUAUAAAAUUUAAGAGCUUUCAUGUAUAAAAACUAAAGGUUAGAGCUUUCAUGUUUAAGGGCUUAUUUAUACUUCAUCUUUAUAAAAAAACACUUAAAUAGUAGUUUAAAUUAUAUAGUUAAUCACUCAAUUUUAGUAAAUUUUCAUUUUAGUCACUCGUUGUUAAUUUGGCUAAUGUAAAUAUUACAUUACACUGAUUUUAGUCACCUAAUUUUCAUAAGAUAGAAUUAAUUUUAUUUUUCGGUAAAAAAGAAAAGAAAAACUCAAAAUUUUACAAGCAAGUACCUAGGUUUUUAUAGAAAAAACUUGGAGUUUUAUAUGAAAAACCUACGUUUUUAUUGGAAUAGUCAUAUUAUCUUUUUUUAUUUCAUUUAUUUUUUUCAUUUAUAAAAUUAAUUUUAGCUUUUUCAAUGAAAAGAAAACCUAAUUUUUUACUAAGAAAAUCAUUUUAUCUUUUUAAUUUCUUUUACUUUCAUAUUUAGAAUUAAUUUUAAUUUUUUUUCCAAUAACAAUGAAAAAAAACUUGGAUUUUUACAAUGAGUUUGUUGGGUUUCCACGAGAAUUGCUUGAGUUUUAUGAAUAACUCAAUUCCUUAAAAAAUUCUAAAAAAAAUUAGAAAAAUAAGAUUAAUUAAAAAAAAUGGAGCAAAAUGAAAAUUUACUAAAAUUAGAUGGCUAAAAUGAAUAUACAAUUGCAUUUUCGUUAGCCAAAUUAACAUGUGAUCAAAAUGAAAUAUUAUUAAAAUUGAGUGAUUAAAAUGAAAAAACUAUUUGAUUUAUUUACACCCUGAUUUUAUGAGCAAAUUCCCCAGCACAAAGCCUAUUUUGACAAUAACAGUUCAAAUGAAAAGUCUUCGCUUACUCUUUGAACGAAACUCUUCUCCCGCUAAAACCACCUCUUCUUCCUCCAAAUUCAAACGCCCAAAGCUUUCUUCCAUCUCUAAUGGCUCUGAUUCAUCACAAUCAUCAUCAUCUCAAGAUCCCCUUAAAACCCAUUUCUCCUCUCUCAUCAAAUCCUCCGAAACCACCCUACAACUCCGGCAAAUCCACGCUCAAAUCCUGCGCCGCCACCUCUCUUCCAGUGCCAAUCUCACCACCCUCUUAAUCUCCGUUUCUUCUUCCUUCAAAUCCAUACCUUACGCGCUCUCUAUUUUCAACUAUUCUCACCACAAAAGCUUAUUCCUUUUCAAUGCUUUGAUUCGUGGCUUGACGGAGAAUUCCCAUUUCCAAUCCUCAGUUUCACAUUUUCUUCUCAUGUUGAGACAUAGAGUUCGCCCUGAUUAACUUACAUACCCUUUCGUGCUCAAGUCUAUUGCGGGAUUGGGUCUUCAUUUCCUUGGUCUGAUCCUUCAUGGGAGAAUCAUAAAAUCUGGGGUUGAGUUCGAUUCGUUCGUUCGGGUUUCGUUAGUGGAAAUGUAUGUGAAGCUCGAGGAAAUGGGUUUUGCGUUGCAAGUGUUUGAUGAAAGUCCUGAGAGAAACAAGAGUGAGAGUAUAUUGUUGUGGAAUGUGUUGAUUAAUGGGUGUUGUAAAGUGGGGGAUUUGGAGAAAGCUAUGGAGUUUUUCGAGGCUAUGCCUGAAAGGAAUAUUGGGUCUUGGAAUAGUUUUAUAAAUGGGCUAAUGAAAAAUGGGGAUUUGAACAAAGCAAUGCAGCUUUUUGAUGAAAUGAAGGAGAAGGAUGUGGUUUCUUGGACUACAAUUGUUAAUGGGCUUUCACAGAAUGGAGAUCAUCAGAAGGCGUUAUCCAUGUUCUUUAAGAUGUUGGAGGUCGGUUUAAGGUCGAAUGAUCUUACUCUUGUUUCAGCUCUUUUCGCUUGCGCUAAAAUUGGUGCACUUGAAGUUGGAGUCCAUAUCCAUAACUAUUUUGUGGAAAAUGGGCUUCGGUUGAAUAAAGCAACUGCUGCUGCUUUGGUUGAUAUGUAUGCAAAGUGUGGGAAUAUCCUAUCUGCUAGUAAGGUUUUUGAAGUAACUGUUGCGCGGAAGCGUGUGAAAGAGUAAAAUUAUUGUACUGAAAAAUCACACUAAGUUCAAUUCCCAGGAAAGAGAGGUGGAUCACGAGGAUCGCUUACAUACCAGAUCUUUCCUAGCCAGAAUAUCCCUCUAUCGUAAUUUAAUAGCACAAUAAAUCACUACAAUGACACUUGCAAAAUAUGCAGAACAAAAAAUAAAGAACACUAGAAUUUUAACGAGGUUCAGCAAAUUUUGCCUACGUCCUCGGGCACUACCAAAUAUAUUUCACUCCAAAAAAUACAAGUGAAAGUUUACAAAUAGGGAGAGAGAACAAUUGCCUUAAGUAGAGAUUGGCAAGUGUGGGAUGAAGAAAGUAAGAAAUGGUUAGGCCUAUUUAUAGUUGAGGUUCAAGGAUCAACUUGCAAUGUCCCUAUACAAUUAGGGACCAAAAUUGCAAUUAUCUCAUGCCAACUUUUAACCCAACUUGCCAACCAAUUUUACUUUCUACUUUCGGUGACCACCCUUUUUGACUUUUCAAACAAUGGGUGGGUUCCAAUAAUCUCCACCUUGAAGAUUUGAUUAGGCUAAUCUUAUCUUCACACAAUUCUUUCUGCCUUUGACAACAAUACUUGAUAGUGCCUUCUUCAACUGUUAAACUUGCAGGAUAUUAAUCAAGUUCAAACAAUGUUCGAACUUGGUUGAUGUUACCACCUUGCUCAUCAUAUCUGCGGGAUUAUCUGCAGUCUUGAUCUUCUGAAGACAAAUUUUCCCCUCUUCAAUAAUUUCCCGCACAAAAUGGAAUCGUACGUCGAUAUGUUUUGUACGUGCAUGAUAGACUUGAUUCUUUGCUAAAUGAAUAGCACUUUGACUAUCACGAUACACGUUAAUAUGCUCCUGAACCAACCCCAAGGUUUUAGCCAUACCUUGUAACCAAAUAGCCUCCUUUACAGCCUCUGUUACAGCCAUGUACUCGGCUUCUGUGGUUGACAAUGCAACUGUAGACUGUAGUGUAGACUUCCAACUUAUUGGUCAUCCAGCAAGUGUAAACACAUAACCAGUGGUUGAUCUUCGAUUGUCCAAAUCACCGGCAUAGUCAGAAUCAACGUACCCAAUAACACCUUUACCAAGUGUAUUAUCCUGCUUGAACAGUAAUCCAACAUCCACGGUCUUCUGAAUAUACCGUAGAAUCCAUUUCACAGCUUGCCAAUGUCCUUUUCCAGGAUUAUGCAUAUACCUGCUCACUAUACUAACUGCCUGUGAAAUGUCAGGUCUUGUACACACCAUUGCAUACAUCAAGCUACCCACUGCAUUAGAAUACGGAACUUGCAACAUGUAUUCUCGUUCCGUAUUCGUCGAAGGAGAUAGUUGUGUAAAAAGCUUGAAAUGAGAAGCCAACGGGGUACUUACAGGUUUUGUCUGCUCGUUCAUGCCAAACUGCUGUAGUACCUUUUUCAAAUACUGCUUCUGAGACAAGCUAACUCUAUCAUGAGCUCUAUCUCUCCAUAUUUCCAUGCCGAGAAUCCUUUUAGCUUCUCCUAGAUCUUUCAUCUCAAACUCGAGAUUGAGUUGAGUCUUCAAUCUUUCAAUUUCAACUUUGCUCUUAGAUGCUAUUAGCAUAUCAUCAACAUAUAAGAGCAAGUAUAUGAAAGUUCCUUCUUGUAGCUUCUGAAAAUACACGCAAUGAUCAAAUUUACUUCUUGUGUACCUUUACCCUUUCAUAAACUGAUCAAAUCGCUUGUACCACUGCCUCGGAGAUUGCUUCAAUCCAUAAAGCGACUUUGUCAGUUUGCAAACCCAAUUUUCUUUUCCAGCAACCUUGAAUCCAUCUGGCUGAGUCAUAUAGAUUUCCUCUUCCAAAUCACCGUGUAAAAACGCGGUCUUCACAUCAAGCUGAACUAGUUCAAGAUCAUAUUGCGCAACCAAGGCUAGCAAAAUCUGAAUAGACGAAUGCUUCACAACUGGAGAAAACACUUCAUUGUAGUCUAUUCCUUCUUUCUGAGCGUAACCCUUUGUUACUAAUCUAGCCUUGUAUCGAAUUUCAUUUUUAUCAGGAAAUCCUUCCUUCUUUGCAUAUACCCAUUUGCAUCCAAUUGCCUUCUUUCCCUUGGGUAGUGUCACCAACUCCCAGGUCUUAUUUUUCUGAAGAGACUGCAUUUCUUCAUUCAUUGCUUGCUUCCACUUUACACCAUCAGGGUUACUUAUUACUUCUGUGUAAGUAGAAGGAACAUCAUCAUCUGUAUUUGGAAAUGCAUAGGCCACUAUAUCAUCAAAGCGAGCAGGCUUACGAAUCUCUCUUCUUGGCCUUCUAUAUGCAAUUGAAUCUUGUUGCUGUAGAGAUUCUUGGGUAGGAACCUCUUCAUCAUUUGUCCCUUCAAUAUUAGCUGGAUCAUCGUUAACCUUUUCAAGCUCCACAUGCUGCAAAGUACUAACGGUUUUGUCAUCCUUUUGUGAAUCCUUGUACUUCAACAUGGUUGAUUCAUCAAAAGUCACAUCUCUACUGAAAACAAUCUUCAUUGUAUCAGAACACCAGAGACGAUAUCCUUUUACUCCAUCAGUUAUACCCAAGAAUAAUGCUUUCUUUGCUCUUGGGUCUAACUUAGAUUCUUUUACAUGAUAAUAUGCAGUGGAACCAAAUACAUGCAAAGAAUCAUAAUCAGUAGCAGAUUUACCAGUCCACAUCUCUAUAGGAGUUUUUCCAUUUAUUGCAGCUGAUGGCAAACGGUUAAUUAGAUGGCACGCAUAUGUAACUGCCUCAGCCCAAAAUUCUUUGCCCAAUCCAGCAUUGGACAACAUACAUCGAACUUUCUCCAGUAUAGUUCGAUUCAUUCGUUCUGCCACCCCAUUUUGCUGUGGUGUAUCCCGAACAGUGAAGUGUCGCACAAUGCCCUCAUCUUGGCAUACUUGUAGAAAUGGAUCGUUUUUGUACUCAGUACCAUUAUCUGAUCGAAGUCGUUUGACCUUUCGACCAGUCUGAGUCUCCACCAUCUUCUUCCAUUUCAGAAAUGCAUCCAAAACUUCACUUUUUCUUUUCAUUAGAUACACCCAUACUUUUCUUGAAUAAUCAUCAACAAAAGUAACAAAAUAGUGCAUACCUCCCAAAGAAGCUACUUUGGUAGGUCCCCACACAUCACUGUGAACGUAGUCCAGAAUUCCUUUCGUAUUGUGAAUUGCUGGACCAAAUUUUACCCUCUUCUGCUUGCCCAGAACACAAUGUUCACAGAAUUCCAUUUUGCAAGAAUUUGCACUUUUCAAUAAGCCUUGCUUCACCAAUGUCUGCAAAGCUUUUUCACCAGCAUGUCCCAAUCGCAUAUGCCAUAAUCUGGUAGCCUCUGAAUCUACAUCUUUUGUAGAAACUGUUGAUGUUGAUCCAAUAACUGUACUUCCAUUUAAAAAAUACAAGUUAUUUCUUCUUGUGCCUUUCAUCACCGUCAGUUGCCCAGCUACUACUUUUAGUAAUCCAUCUCUCAAAGUGAUUGUGAGCCCUUUAGAUUCUAGGGCACCUAAUAAGAUGAGAUUUUUCUUCAGGCUAGGUACGUAGCAAACAUCUGUCAAGACUUGGAUUGAGCCGUCGUGAUUCUUCAAUUGGACUGUACCCACUCCCAUUGUCUUACAAGCACUAUCAUUGCCCAUAAGAACAAUUCCACCUUCUAGCUCUUUAAGACUAGAAAACCAGUCCUUAUUAGGACACAUAUGGUAAGUACAUCCUGAAUCCAAAAUCCACUCAUCCGUUUGACAUGCCAUUGCCAUGCCAACCAAGCUAAAGUCUGACUCCUCAUCAUGCUCCGCUACACAUGCAUUAGAAAUAGCCUUGCCCUUUUGUAGCUUAGGACAAUUCUUUUUCCAAUGCCCUUUUUCACGGCAAAAGGCACAUUUAUCUUUGGCGGGUCUCCCUUUGGACUUUCCUCUUCUACCAGAUUUGCUGCUGUGUGAACGACCUCUUACUGUUAAGACUUCUGCGGUUGUAUCUCUGUGAUCUCUUUUAUCUUUCUUUCGAGUCUCAGAUCUAUACAACGCACUACAGACUGCAUCAAAUGUGAUCGUGUCCUUCCCAUGAAGCAAUGUGGUGGUAAGAUGAUCAUAUUCAUCAGGAAGGGAAUUCAACAACAAUAAUGCAUUGUCUUCAUCUUCAAAUUUCUCAUCCAAAUUUAGCAAGUCUGCUAAAAUUUUAUUGAAUGAGUUCACAUGGUCAUUCAUCGACAUACCGGGUGCAUACGUGAAUCGAUAAAGUUUCUUUUUCAUAUAAAGCCUAUUUUCAAGACUUUUCGUUAGAAACUUUUCUUCCAGUGUAUCCCAUAACUUCUUCGCUGAUGUCUCCCUCAUGACAGAGUACUUCUGCUCUUUGGCCAAACAUAGGCGGAUUGUACCACACGCCUGUCUAUUGAUUUUGGCCCACUCCAUGUCAUCCAUCUUGUCAGGUUUUUCUUCAAAUGCUAUAUCUAGCUCUUGCUGACAUAAGACAUCCAGGAUCUCACAUUGCCACAUACCAAAAUUAUUGGUACCGUCAAAUUUCUCUACUUCAAAUUUUGCAUUUGUCACAGUAGUCCUUGCUGAUGACGAUGCUGCUGCCAUUUUUCUCCUCAAUCCCAACUACUGUAUACGUGAACAGUACUGUAUACGUGAAUAGUACCGUAUACGUGAAUAGUGCCGUAUACGUGAAUAGUACUGUAUAUGUAAAUAGUACCGUAUACGUGAAUAGUGCCGUAUACGUGAAUAGUACUGUAAACGGUCGUAUUCCCCAAGUACGAACCUGGCUCUGAUACCAAUUGUUGCGCGGAAGCGUGUGAAAGAGUAAAAUUAUUGUACUAAAAAAUCACACUAAGUUCAAUUCCCAAGAAAGAGAGGUGGAUCACGAGGAUCGCUUACAUACCAGAUCUUUCCUAGCCAGAAUAUCCCUAUAUCGUAAUUUAAUAGCACAAUAAAUCACUACAAUGACACUUGCAAAAUAUGCAGAACAAAAAAUAAAGAACACUAGAAUUUUAACGAGGUUCAGCAAAUUUUGCCUACGUCCUCGGGCACUACCAAAUAUAUUUCACUCCAAAAAAUACAAGUGAAAGUUUACAAAUAGGGAGAGAGAACAAUUGCCUUAAGUAGAGAAUGGCAAGUGUGGGAUGAAGAAAGUAAGAAAUGGUUAGGCCUAUUUAUAGUUGAGGUUCAAGGAUCAACUUGCAAUGUCCCUAUACAAUUAGGGACCAAAAUUGCAAUUAUCCCAUGCCAACUUUUAACCCAACUUGCCAACCAAUUUUACUUUCUACUUUCGGUGCCCACCCUUUUUGACUUUUCAAACAAUGAGUGGGUUCCAAUAGUAACAAAAGAGAAGGACAUUCGUACCUGGAGUGUCAUGAUAUGGGGUUGGGCAACCCAUGGGUUUUAUGGACAAGCUAUCCGAUGCUUCAAAAAGAUGAUGUUUUCAGGUGUGGACUUAGUAGUUUUCAUUGAGCUCAACCCUUUAUUCUAAUCUUUCUGAAUAAACUCAAGUUUGUCGUAUUUGCAGGAAUAAAACCCGAUGCGGUGGUCUUUCUUACCCUCCUGACUGCAUGCUCACAUUCUGGACAAGUAGAUCUUGGGCUUAACUUCUUUGAUAGCAUGAGGUUUGAUUACUCCAUUGAGCCAACCAUGAAGCAUUAUACGUUGGUCGUUGAUUUGUUAGGCAGGGCAGGCCGACUGGAUGAAGCAAUGAAGUUCAUACAAAGGAUGCCUAUAAGUCCUGAUUUUGUGGCAUGGGGAGCACUUUUUGUGCUUGCAGAGCUCACAAAAAUAUUAAAAUGGCAGAACUAGUGUCAGAAAAGCUCCUUCAGCUUGAACCUAAACAUCCUGGGAGCUAUGUUUUCUUGUCAAAUGUUUAUGCAGCAGUUGGUAGAUGGGAAGAUGUGGAGAGGGUAAGAAUGUUGAUGCAGAAUCAAGCUGUUGGCAAAGAUCCGGAGUGGAGUUAUAUUGAAGUCAAUGGACAAGUGCAUAGUUUUGUAGCUGGUGAUCAUGAUCAUAAGCGUGCAAGAGAAAUAUACUUGAAAUUAGAGGAAAUAGUGUCUGGUGCAAGAGAGCAAGGAUAUAUGCCUGAAACUGGGUGGGUUCUUCAUAAUAUUGAGGAAGAAGAGAAGGAAGAUGCAUUAGGAAGUCACAGUGAGAAAUUGGCGCUUGCCUUUGCCUUAAUGAACACUCCUCCGGGGACAACUAUUAGGAUAGUGAAGAACUUAAGAGUAUGUGGAGAUUGCCAUUCUUUGAUGAAAUGUGCUAGUAAGAUGAGCCAAAGAGAAAUCAUAUUGAGAGAUAUAAAGAGAUUCCACCAUUUCAAGUAUGGGGUCUGCUCAUGUGGAGAUUAUUGGUAAAAUGGUAAGUAACAGCAACAUUAAUUUGCUUUGCUGUUAAUAGCACAUGAUUAGUGCUUCUACUUGGUUUAUUUAGAAUAAUGCUUUUAGUUAAAACAUGGAUGUAGCUACAGCAACACAAGUUUUUUUGUUUGAUAAUUGGUAGCAAGUACAUUAAAUUUCUCCAAUGGACCUUUCUGCACAUAUAUAUUAAACUUGAAACUCAUUAGUUAAGUUUGUACUUUAUUUAGGUAUCUAAUUAACGUUGUUAGAUUUUUUCAAUUUCAACUUAUCAUCUUGUGCCACUUCUUUCUCUUCCCUUUAGUGAAAUUUAGCACUUUAAAAGAUGGGUUGCAUUUUGCUCCCUCUGUCAAAAAAAAUGGACAGAUUAAGCUAUACACGUUAGAUCAAAGAGCAAAUAGGUCUUUUUGUUUAAAAAUCCAUCAAUUUUUGUUGUUAAAAAUCAAUCCAUUUACAUCAACAUAAAAUAUAUAACUGUUUGGGUAUCUCAUCAUCCAUGUUAGUUUUUAGCAAUACAAAUGGAUAGAAUUUUUAACAAAAAAAACCAGUUUAUUGUUUGAUCUAACAUACAAUGACUAAUUUGUCAAUUUUUUAAGUAAAUAAAGCAUAAUGCUAAUUGACUCUUAGUAUAAUAUCUCUAUGGUACUUUUAUCAAUACUAUCUCUAUUUAUGAAAUUAAAAAUACUUAAAUAAUUAGAUUUAUUGUAUAUUGUGAUAAAAAAUUAUGUAAGAAAUGCAUUUAUUAAAAAUCCAUAUAAAAUCUAAAUGAUGAUUGUAAAGUUAAAUGUUCUGGUGCAAGAGAGCAAGGAUAUAUGCCUGAAACUGGGUGGGUUCUUCAUAAUAUUGAGGAAGAAGAGAAGGAAGAUGCAUUAGGAAGUCACAGUGAGAAAUUGGCGCUUGCCUUUGCCUUAAUGAACACUUCUCCGGGGACAACUAUCAGGAUAGUGAAGAACUUAAGAGUAUGUGGAGAUUGCCAUUCUUUGAUGAAAUGUGCUAGUAAGAUGAGCCAAAGGGAGAUCAUAUUGAGAGAUAUAAAGAGAUUCCACCAUUUUAGGUAUGGGGUCUGCUCAUGUGGAGAUUAUUGGUAAAAUGGUAAGUAACAACAACAUUAAUUUGCUUUGCUGUUAAUAACACAUGAUUAGUGUUUCUACUUGGUUUAUUUAGAAUAAUGCUUUUAGUUAAAACAUGGAUGUAGCUACAGCAACACAAGUUUUUUUGUUUGAAAAUUGGUAGCAAGUACAUUAAAUUUCUCCAAUGGACCUUUCUGCACAAAUGAUAUAUGUCCCCAUAAAGAACUUGGUGCUCACGGUAUUGCAUGACAGGUAGCCAUAGGUUAUUCGCUCUCUUGAUUGGUAUCUUACAUUCCUCAAGGUCCAAAAGUUGUUCCUUCUUUUUGUCUGAAGUCCAAACCUAAGAAAAGCAUUGAUGGGCCUUUAAAACUUUGCUCAUUUCACUACAUGAACUAUUGGAUGUUUUGUGUUCAAAUUAGUUUAUGCCAGUAGUGAAAGUACAUCUCUUUCUCCUUAUCCAGUUAUUCUUUUCAGUUGUCAUCAUCUUUCUGUGUCUUGCCUUCUGAAGUGUUUAGAUGACUGCAUUUCUCAAUAUAAUUUUCAUUUGACCUAAAUAGUUGAAAUUAAAGUCCCUUAUCAUGCCAUUCAUUACUUUGCUUCUAUAUGGUAGUUAUUCUUCAAUGUCCAUGAAUUGACAUAUAUCACUGGAAGCAUAAUCUUACUUCUAAGCAUGGGAUUGACCUUCUUUAAUGCAGGUUCUUCUGUAAGACUCAAACCAUAGAUGGGCAAGGCUUGAGAAAAUAAAGUUGUAAGUGUUGAACCAGGAAGGACGAUGUUGGCCAUGUUAUAAACAUUCCUCCAGAAUGACUAAACAUCGAGGAAAAGGUUCAACCAUGAGUGGUCCACUGAAACGUGCUUGGUCGAACACGUGCCAAUUAUCAGCUACGUAUCAAAUCCCACAAUUAUAAAUGUAGAUUGGGUUCCAUGCUCUGGUUAAUCCAUUAGAUGACACGGUCCAUUGAAAAGGUACUAAAUUACUGAUGUUUGGUCCAUAUAUGAAUCUGUUUAUUUAAUGGCCAGCAUUAAUUGUUAAUUCUCUUGUUUGCGGGUGACUUUUCCUCUAGCAUGCCUUAUGGAAAGAAGUGUCAGUGACAACCUUUUAAUCAACAGCAACUUACCCUACUAAUGAGCAUUUGGAGCAUUUCAUAGCUCGUUCAGUUUAUUCAAAGACUCAUUUUUACCUGCACAGCAUGUUCCCGCCCAGUAAUCAGUGGGCCAAUUAAUGAAGGAGAGGAUAGUUUGCUAGACACAUGUUUUUUGUGUGAGCUUUCUGGUCUUUUAUGUAGUUGUGGUGUUGACAAUUUUUGUUGUUCUUUACAUAAAUUCUUAUUGGCUAAGCGCUUGGUUUUCUUUUAUUGGAAAGUGCAUCACAACCUGUCGUUACUCAACAAUGGCCAAUUUUCUUGCAUAUCACAUCUUCAGGCAAUGUGAUUAUGUUGAAAAUUGGCCUACCAUGCUUGCUGUAAUACUUCCGGAUGAAGUACGUGCUAGCAAUUGUUCAUGCUGCAGCACGUAUGCUUGCUGUAACAGCAAGAUUUUUGUUUUAGUUUCACUGUAAUCAGCCUAGUUGGAAAUGAACAAGCUGAUGACAGCUUGAUAUGUUUAGGUGUUGAAUGACUAAUUUAGGUGGCUUGUUUCUGUGUACAAGCAAUGUUUUUAAAGUUAGUAGGCUACUUAGUGGUAGUAGGUAGUAAUAACUGAUGUAGUUGGCUAUAAAUGUAUUGUUUUUUUAUUGAAAAAUUAAGCAUAUCAGUGGUUAAAACAGAUUGCUUCCUUGCUGCACGUUUGUGAGCAAGUAAAUUAUUCUUGCAGCUUGCUUCAUUGUCUUGUUCUGUUCUCUGUUUUCUUCCUCUGCUGUCAAAAAACCCAACAGAUUAGCUAUCGUGAAGAUUUCAACAAAGUCGGUUCGUGUUGAUUCAAGGAAAAAAAGAUAUUACGAUUUGAUUUCCUCACCUAAUUGUUUUACUAUGCGAAGUUGGAUUGUGAGGAAUAUUUUGUUGAUUUCUGCAUUUUGAAUAAAGAGCUCUUAGGUUUGUGUGGCCGACGUUUAUAGUUUUAUCUUUCGAUUUUAUCUUUUUUUUUGUAUGAAAUUUAAAGUUUAAUCAAAACUAAUUGUUAUGUGUAUGUAAUAGCUAUUUGAAUUAAAUUAAAUUGACAAAUCAACGUACACUAGUGCAUACUAAAAAAAAUGUAAUAUAAAAUUAAACCAAAAUUGAAUCUAAAACUUAAAUAUUUUAAAACCUCAAACAUAUGGCAACUCUUCACUCCUCUUUCCCUCUGAAGUUAUUUUAAUUUAAAAUAUAUUUUGUAUAAUGUGUUAUAACAAUUCAACUAAACAAAGUGAUUCUCUUUGCAUAACAUAUUAUAUGCUUAUAUAAACUUUUACACAAUUUGUUAUAGAUACAUUUUUAAUAAUUGAAUGAUGACUCCAUUAAAAAUGCAAUAUCAUAAUAAUUCUACAUUUCUUGCAUUAAUAUAAAAUUUUCCUUUUUUUUUCCUCCAAGCCUUGUUUAUUAUCUUUUGUUUUGCCAAAUGGCAGUGCCAGCUUUCAGGCUAGCUAUCGCCCGCCUUUUUCUCCCUCCCAUUAAUCCUUUUUUUCUUUUUUCUUCUCAUUCACUCCACAUGUCUUCUUUCUUUUCAGUUUGUAGAUCUAUUUUAUGAGAAUCUUUAUUUUCUUCACAAGUUGUGAUAGACAGAUGACGACGCCUAUGUUCGUUAAAACUUCAUCGGCCACCAAUAAUUUUUCAGAAUAAUAAAUAAUUUCAUGAGUCGAUUUGGAUUCUUGUUAUCAUAAGUUUUAUAUAUUUUUUAGUUUGUUUUUCAUUGUUUAAUAGGUUUUUAGUUUUAGAAGUUUUUGUCUACUCUUGUAACACGUUUUUUAGUCUUGCUUAUGCAUGUAACCUUAGUUUUACAAGUGAUUUUAGAGAUGGUUUUGUUACCGUCUUCUCUAGUUUGGUGAAUGCUCAAUUCUUUUGUCCAUUUUUGCUCGUCACUUUGGACCAUUCGAGGCUGAUUUUCUUUAUCGCAUUAAGUGCUUGCGAUCACUCCAAAUAUAUCGUGCUUAAGUUGUGAUAAAGCCUGUACAAGCCCAAUUUUUAUGCCCGGGCCCAAUUGACCCAACAAAACCGAACGGCCCAACAGACUAAGGCCCAAACCCAACAAAGACUAGGGUUUCAGAACCCUAGCCCCUCCAUCAGCGCCGCAUGCUAGGGUCUCUGACUUCUGCCCCGUCGGCGCAAACGGCGCACCUACCCCGUCCGUGUCACGUCUCCUCCAUCGCCCUACACCUGCAAACAAUAAAGAGAGAAGCAGACAACACAAAACAGGGGAAAGAUUGAAUCUUUUUUUUUUGUUCUUUCGGUUAUAAAGCCGAACGUAUCAAAUAAGAAAAAGGGGGGAUUUUUUGCAAAAAAAGAAAAUCACAUCAGAAAUAAGAAAAGGAACAAAGGUUGCUGUGUUCUUCAUUUUAUUCUUUUUUGAUUCGUUUACUUUCAUUUAUUUUUAAACAAAUCCGUUAAAAAAUAUAUCAAUAAAAAGGAAAAGAAAAAAAGGAGCGCACCUGAAUCGCUCUCUGGCUCCGUCGACGGAGGUUCUCUCGCCGUUGUCGGCCCGGAUCUGAAGGAGGGAUUCAGAGCCCUUGUCUCGGCGCUCGUAGGGGUUCAAGGACCCGAUUUUCAAAUCGCCCGAAGGCCAGGCUUUUUAAAAACCCUUUGUUGCGCUUCGUUGGCCGCCGUUUCGGUGGCGGUGCGACGGACAGACGGACGAUGGUGAAAAGCCAAUCGUCGGAGGGCAUGAAGAGAGAGUGGGGGAAAGAGUUCUGAAUUUUUUUUUUUAAAAGAGGGAUGAAAUGAUUUUUUUAGGGGUUUUGAUUUAUAUAAGGAUCCAAAACGGCGCCGUUUUGGAAGGGUCAGAAAGCCCCUAAAACGACGCCGUUUUUGCAUAAGACCCGAGACCCAACCCGUCUGCCUUAGGGGAUCCGCGUGUUUUUUACGGAAGGGCUAAUUUCACGUUUAAUCCUUCCGCUUUUUAAUUAUUUUAAAAUUAGGUUCUUUUGAUCUUUUUAAUUUUACCCGGAAAUUGUUUUCGUUUUCAAUUUGAUCCUUACCCAAACUACGUCGUUUUAAAGAAAGGGCCAUUUCUUUGUUGGUCCCUCCAUGUUUUAUGCUUGUUUAGAGCAGUCCUUCCCUUUUCGUUUAUUUGCGUUUUGAACCCCCCGAAUUUUGUUUUAAUGUUUAAUCUAAUCCUUCUGCUAUUUUGUUUAUUUUCUUAACAAAUUUAUUAUUAUUAUUAUUAUUACAUAUUCAUUUAUAACAUCUAAUUUUAGAUUUAAUCAUAUAUAUAAAUAUACGUCCAUGAUAUAUACCUACUUUUUAUAUAUACUUUAUAAUUUAUAUAUACAUAUACACAUUUUAAUUUAUGUACAUAUCUACACAUAUUUUUCAUACUUUACUCAUAUAUAUAUACAUGUACUUAUACAUAUUCUUUAUAUCUUAAAAUCCAUAUUUUUCUUAUGUAUAUAUUUUAUAUUUUAUAUUUUAUAUAUAUGUGUUUAUAUAUUCUACGAUAUAUAUUUAUAUGCAUAAUAAAUACAUAUCUAUAUACGUUUCGAUUUUUAUAAACACAUAUAUAUGUAUGCAUACCUUUAUAUUUCUUAUAUUAAAUACAUAUAUAUAUAUUUAUAUAUCCCUUUAUACUUCUAAAAUCAUAUAUUUUGUAUAUAUUCUUUAUAUUUUAUGAUUCCUAUAUGUACCCACAUAUAUACUUUUUGUAUUGUAUGAUUGUUAUUUACGUAUAUGUACGUACAUACAUACUUACACCUAUUUUCAUGUAUAAUAGCCUUAUAAUAUGUGUACAUACAUGUAUUUUUCAUAUUUCCAUAUACAUACACAUAUAUCUUUUUAUUUUAUAUAAUCUUACUCAUUUUAUUUAUUUAUUUAUUUACAUGUCUAUUAUUAUUAUGCUCUAGUUUUUAUUUAUUUAUUUAUUAUUUGUUAUUGUGCUUGCUUGAUCCUUUUAUAUAUUAAUCUUAUUUUUUAUUUUUAUUUUGAUCAUGUCAUUUUACUUACAUUAUCAUCAUCAUUCCGUUACACUCAUUUUUUUGUUUAGAUUUCAAAAAAAAAAAGAAGAAAUUUUAAAAAUAAGUAACACUCGGUAUUUUGGAUCUUCGAGAGAAUCGAGUCCUAACGUAUUGGGUUCCGACUUUCUUCGUUGAAUUUAAAUAAUCGAGAUUACUCUUUUAAAAAUGAUAAAAAAGCUCGUUAUCGAGAAUUCAAUACGUUGUGUCCCAACGGAUUGGACGUAACACGGUGUUUUCUCGAGACGAGGAUUUUUCGAAAUAAACGUAAUAUUCAAUGUUUAAUCUUUUGAGAAAUUGUGCCCUAACGUAUUGGGUUGUGAUUUCUUCAUUUGAUUUAAACAAUUGAAUAUCCUUUUAAACUUUAUUACAUGGAUCUUUUCAAACUCAAGUUUUAAACAACCUCGGGAAUUAAAAGAGGAUCGUGUCCUAACUUACUGGUCGUAAUCCCUUUUUUAAUUCGAGAUCGUUAAAUAUCUUUUAAAUAAGCUUUUUUCAUUCGCGUAUUGGGAAUUCGACAUAUUGUGUCUUAACUUGCUAGAUAUGAUAUUCUGUCUCGAAUAACGUGAAAUAUGCCCCUUUUCCUGAAAAUUUUCAACGUUUUAAUACAAGGAUCGUAUUUUUAAAAUUCUUCUAAGUUAUCAAUUUUCGACACUAAGACAUUAACUAAUCAACUAGGUACCAAUUUUGGGCGUAUCGAGGGUGCUAAUCCUUCCUCGUGCGUAACCGACUCCCGAACCCGUUUUUCUGAAUUUCGUAGACCAGACUUGUUGUUUUAAUAAAAUUAAAUUGUUUAUUAAAAACAACCACUUUUCGAGGUGAUCCAAUCACCCCUCAUAAAAAAGGAUUGGUGGCGACUCCCGUUUUUUUAUUUUCGUCAAAACCCAAGUCGACCCCGUUUUUCAUCCAAAAAAAUGGUGUCAACAAAGCCAAUUGUCAACAUGUCAUAACGUUCUAUUUAUGCUAAGGCUAAAGCCUUCGUUGGGUUGUUGGAGCUUGUCAUUUACCAUCUACGACGAGUGCUUAUUUUUUUCCCUGAAUUGUAUGAUUCCAUUCAUUGAAUGAAUUAACGAAUUUACCUUUCAAAAGAAAAAAAAUUCAUAAAUUUUGAAAUACAAAAUGAAUGUGUUUUGAUAUUUUUAGGGCAAUGGUUUAGUGGUUUAAAUUUUUUUAUUUAAUAUGGUGAAUUUAAUUAUAAUUUUUUAUUUAUUAGAUAGUAGAAUAUCUCUUACCAUUUAUAAUUAAGUUUAGGUUAAAAUAUUUUAUUAAAUUUUUGGACUUUUCACAAAUUUUAAAUUUAAUCUGUUUACUUUUAUUCAAGAAUUUAAUCUCUCUGCAUAUAAAGGAGGUAAUUAUGGCAAGGGGAAUUACCAUGGCAGAGGUAGCGGAGGCUGAGGAAGAGAUGCUGGAUAUGCUGAAGAAAGAUAGAUGGCUGAGAAACAGAAAAACUUUAGGAACAAUAUUCAGUGUUAGAAGUAUGGGGAUGUGAAGGCAGAUUGUUGGAAAAGGGGAAAACAAGCAAAUUAUGCGGAAGAUGAUGAAGAGAUUUAAGUUAUUUAUGAGCUGUCUAGAUGACACCAUAGCUUCAACUAACAUUUGGCUUCAAGGGCGUAUAUCUCAUGAUGAAGAGAUUGUCUCUCUUCUUUUUUCUCAUAACAUAUUAUACGCCAUGAUAAUAAAUUUUGAUAUGCCUAUAAAUUUGAGUCUCUAUUAUUUGUAAUAUGACAUGUUUUAAUUAUUUUUUAUAUUAUGCCAUGAUUUGGUUCACUCCAUAAGUUAUAUAAAUUUAUUAUAAUAAUUCAAUUAAUUUAAUUUAGAUUAAUUUUACAUUUUUGUCCUAACUUUAGUUUUUAAUAAUUGAAUCAUCCCACCAUUAUAUUCAAUUACAAGUGUAAUACGAUUUUGCGUCAUCCCGCACCAUUAUUCUCAGUGUAAUUUUUGGUAGUGAGCAUUGAAGGGGAGAGAGAGAGAGAACAAAGAAAGAACUUACUGUAAUUUUUGGUGUAUGUAAUCGAUAACCCUCAAUGCUUAAAAUGAAAAAGAAAAUAGAAAACAAAGGUGGCAAAGUUAGUUACAAUGCCAGCUAAUUCGUUAUUGCUAUCCACAUGAAGAAUUUUAUAACCCCAACUACACGAUUUUAUGUCUACCAGCUCUCACUUUUCAUAUUUUUUGGCCAUUAGUUAUUCUAAGAUUUAACAUCACCGUUAAGCCAUGUUUAAACUCUUUUUCUUAUAUAAUAAUUAUAUUAUAUUUAAAAUUGAAAAAACUAACCAACCAAAUAUAUAUUAAUUAAUUAAUAGAAGUUUUUUGGUCAUCGAUUAAAAUAAAUCAAGAAAGACGUUGGAACCACCAACUUCUCUUUAAGAACAACACGAAUACAAGAAUCUAUGCACAACAAGUUCUAAAAUGUAUUAAGUAAAUUCAUCAUCAUGCCUUAAAAAAAGAAGAUCUCGAUAUAUCUGCUUUUGCCAAAGCAUCCGCCAUACCAUUACUUUGCCAGUGAAUAAUUGUGAACUGAAACUUAGCCAAUUGAGUGAUAUUAAUUAUAGAAAUGAUUCUUCUUGCAACCAUAGAUGAAACACCACUGAGACUAACAAACUUGGAGAAACUUGAUUUGAGUUUUAACAUCUUCAGGAACAACACAAUUUCGUUUCUUGAAGGACUUUCAAACUUAAAUUAGUCCUUGGAUAUGCAUAAUAACACUCUGCAAGGCUCAUUAAUAGAUAUUAAAGGUACUGAAGCUAUAACUUUUUUUUCUUGAUAAUUCUUUUUAAAAUAUUUCAUAAUUAAUUGUUCUGAAUUUGUACAUUCACUUCUCACAUUUCUGGGUUUUUUUUGUCCUCAACUAAAUUAAACUUAUGCAAAUUUCUUGAAUAUUUAAGUUAAGAGUUAACGUCAAAGUCAAGAGUUGAUAAGUAUUUUGUGGUCCAUUCAUAUCUUUAUUACAAAAAAAAAAUAUUCAAGAAAUUUGCAGCUAGUUGGAGUUUUGCAAUAAGGAAUUUCCACCAAGAGUUUUGGAGGAAUCAUAUCUCUAACAAAAGAAAGACCUUCAUUUGACUAAAUUUUUUAGUAUUUAUUUUAACUUCCAUUUUUAUUAAAAAAAAGGUAAAAAAAUAUGCCAAACAGGGUCUUUAGGUUACUUUUUUUAGAACUAUAUUAUGUUAUAGUACCAUAUAAGUUAGAGGAGCACAAGUUUAGAUUCAUCCAAUUUUUGAGGAAUUAAUUAAAUAUAUAUUAUUUUAAUAUUAUAGUGUAUAGGGGCAAAGUUAGAAAAAAAUUUUUGUGGAGUCGAAAUUAAAUUAUAGUUUUUACAAUAGUUAAAAAAAAUAAUUUCACUAUUUUAAAAGCAUAUAUGUUGUAAGCACUAAAUUUUUGUCCGACUAGAGUUUGUGUUUAAUUUUCAAAAUUUCAAAAAAAAAUUUUAAAAAUAAAAAUUGCAUUUUGACCCCUAAAUUUUUCCUAAAUUUCAUUUUGACCCUUAAACUUUCAUUAAAUUUCACUUAGACCCCUAAACUUUCAUUAAAUUUCAUUUUAAUCCUAAAUUUUCUAAAAAUUACAUUUAGCCCCAGAAGUUUUGCUGUAUUUGUGAUUUGGUCCUUCAGACACGUUACGUGAUUUGGGGCACCCACUUCCCAGAUUUUCAGGCCACAAUCACCCACUACCUGCAAACAAUGAGAAAGAGGACAAAAUUUGGAGCUUUUAAAAAGAAAAAAAGAGAAGAGGAAGAAAAAAAGGAGAGAAAAAAACAAGCAGAAUUUUUAGAGAAAAAUAAAAAAAGAAGCUCUCAAUCCGGCCGAUUGCCUCCACCGCCACCACGUCCGUUGCGCCACCACCAUUGUCAUCUCACCAUCGAGUCCUAAACGCAAACAAAACAAAAACAAAGAAAAAAGCAAGCAAAAGAGAAAAGGAGAAAGUGCAAAGAAGAAAAAGAAAAAGGAAAAGGGGAGAGAGCAUACCUCCGUGCACGCCAUUGUCGGCCGUCGCACCAGGCGGAGGGACAUCACCGGCGAGACAAAGGAGGUGCUGCUGAUCGGGGAGAAAGAAAGGAAGAAAAAGAAGAAGGAAAGAAGAAAAGGGGAAGAAGAAAGAAAGAAAAAAGAAAAAAAAACUAAAAAAAAUAGCAGGCCAUUUUGGUGGACCAGAUUCAGCCCAACAAGAAGCAGCCCAAACCAGUCCUUUGGCAGCCAAUAGCAACAGCCCAACAGCAAAAAAAAUAAUAAAAGGGGAGGCCCAAAAUUUAAGCCCAUAACUUUGGGCUUUUGGGUAAUUUUUUUUCUUUUUUUCUUUUUAAUCUAUUUUAUUUUAUUUUAUUUAUUUAAAUGGUGUUUUAUUUAAUUUAAAUUAGUAUGCUUUAAAACAGUUUUCAUAAAUAUUAUUAUGUCAUUUAAUUGCAUAUUUUUUUUAAAAAAUAAUAAUAUUUUAAUGCAUAAGGCAACGAACCGAUUUAGCAUCGAGUCAUCGAAUUCAUCGCUAUGUUGGAUGGAUAUCGAUAGCUCGUGUUAAAUUCGGGACACCCUUUUAAAAAUAAAAAUAUUCAAAAAUCCUCGUAUUUUAAUAAAAAUUCUCGUGUUUUAUUAGAAUCCCGAUUAAAUAUUAAAUUGAAUUGAGUUAACAUUAAUUCGAUGGUUUCAUCGCCAUAUCGGGAUGAAUAUCAUCGAUUCGUGUUAAAUACGGUAUUUUUUAAAGAAAAAUUGUGUUUCAAAAAUUUUCAUGUCUUCAAAAUUUCUCGUGUUUCGUAUUUUAUCAAAAAAUUUAUGUUUUCAAAAACAAAUUUUCUGUUUUAAAAAUUUUCGUGUUUCAAAAAGAAGAUUCGUGUUUUCAAAAAUAAAAAUAAAAAAUCUCGUGUUUUAAAUUCUUCGUGUUUUUUAAAAAAAAAUUUUGUGUUUCUAAAAUUCUUGUAUUUUAAAAUUUUCGUGUUUUCAAAAAAGAAAAAGUUGUUGCGCUUUAAAAUUCUCGUGUUCAAUCGGAUCACGACUAAUAUUAAAUUGAACUCGUAUUUUUGAAAAUGAAGACAAUGCGCGUUUAACGAGAUACCAAUUUUGGGCGUUGCGAGGGUGCUAAUACCUUCCUCGCGCGUAACCGACUCCCGGACCCUAAUUUUCUCUGGAUUUUUACGUGGACCUAAAAUUACCUCUUUUUUAGAAAAGUUUAAAAAUAAAUUUUUCUUCUAAAAAGAGAAUUUUAUAGGUGUCCGAUCACACCUAGAAAAAAUAUCGGUGGCGACUCCUUUUUCAAAUAAAAUCGAGAUUCAGUUUUCAAAUUUACAAUAAUUACUUCGACUAGCGCCCGUGCCGAAAUUUUUAGGUCGCUACAGCUGGCGACUCCGCUGGGGAACCUUUUUGAGAGUCGAGUCGAAUUAAACUCGCGUUGUCAAAAUUUUCAAAGUUUCUUGUUCAAAUUAACAUUUAGUCGUGAUCCUUAAAUUUUUUGUUUUCAAAAAAAUCAUGCAUUUGCAUCGUGUUGUAUAUAUUCUAACUUGUUUUAUCAGGUUGUUUUUCAGCUUUAAAUUUUUGCGGUUUUAGUUUUGGUUUAGUUUUUCUAAAUAAAACGUAAAGGUUUACAAGUUUCUCCCCACACACCGUGCACGUGCAUUUAUGUUGCAUAACAUGAGCUCUAUACCCGGGCUCUGUCCCUGUUAAGAGAAAGUAAAUGCUACGCCUUCGUGAGUUAACUCGUUCCUCCGCACAGGCUAGUGAAUACUUUCGGGUUACAUAUGACUUAUGCUUUCGUGAGUUAACUUGUCCCUCCGCAUAGGCAUAAGUAAAUGUAAUCCCUCGAAUUGAUCUCGUAAGCCUAUGAUGGGCCAUGACCGAGGCUCUGUACUAAUCUUAGUAGAUGACAGUGCAGACGAUUCGAGUACCCACCUAGAACCAAAACCGCAUAUAGUGAACCAUACGAGCUAUCCAAUUAGAGUCAUGCCGAACCUCUGUCCGCUUAUAGUCAUCAAAAUAAGUACACGGGGAAAAUGCCUUUUGCCUUUCAUUUACACUGUUUAUGCAAAAUAAUUGGAUUGGGUAGUUUAAUUUGUUUUUCAAAUUAUAUUUGUUGUGUUUACUAACCAAGUUUGUUUGUUUUUACUUUUAUUUUCAUCAUGCAUCAUAGGCAUCAUAUUAGGAAGGUGUUGAUUAAAAGUUGGUUGCCAAAAAACGGGUUUCUGAUGGAAGAGUCAAUUACACAAAUAACCGAGAAGAAUGCCGUGGUUCGGGACUGGUCUCUAAAAAUUCAGAGAGAAAAGAGGGAUAGUCUAGUGGAAGGGUGUGUCACUAAUUUGCCCGAACAUAUAACUGUAAAUGUUCGCCAAAAUAACUUUGAGGAUUUGGUUCAAAUUUGGAAUCAGUGGGAUUCAGACACUAGAGACAUUUUCACUCAGAGGUAUGGAGAUAUAGCUCACCUGAUCAUCAUCCAUGUAGACGAACAGUUGAUUCAAGCCAUGGUUCGGUUCUGGGACCCAGCUUAUCAGUGUUUCACCUUCAAUCAAGAAGACAUGACUCCAACCAUAGAAGAGUAUGCUGCUUUACUCCGCAUCGACAAUGUACAAUUCGGCAAAAUAUAUGUGAAGGAGCCUAAACCGAUGACCUUCAAGAAAAAGUUAGUGAGACUGACAGACAUGACUGAUGCAUGGGCCGAAAAACAGAUAAAGAAGAAGAAUGAAACCAUUUGCAUUCCAUGGUCCUCCCUACGAGAUUUGGCUCUGAACCAUCCCAACAUGCUGAAAAGGGUAAAUCUAUUCGCUUUGGCCAUUUACGGUUUGGUCAUUUUCCCAAAAGUUCUCGGACAUCUCGAAGUUGCAGUAGUUGAUUUCUUCGAAAGGUUAAAACAAGGAAUCAACCCUGUCCCGACCAUCCUAGCCGAGACCUUCAGGUCCCUGAGUAGUUGUCGAAAAAAAGGGGAGGGACGAUUUAUCAGAUGCGCGCAGUUGCUCAAUGUUUGGAUUUUGAGUCACUUCUGGAAGGUAGAGCGCACUCCGUUCCAUAUGUUUUCUAAAACAUUCUCCCCGCUAGAAGCUUACCUCAAUAAAGAAUGGCCGAAGGAAGUCACCGAGCAACAUUGGGUAUCAGUUUUUCAAAAUCUUCGCACCGAGAAUAUAACAUGGAGAGCACCCUGGAUCCGUCCUUCAGUUCUGCUAUACAAAUGUGGAAGCCAAGAUUGGGUACCUCUACUCGGGUUUUGGGGAGGAGUUGGAUAUGCUCCGCUAUUAGUCCAAAGGCAAUUUUCUUCGCGACAAUUCCUCCCCGCAACUGGAGGAUUAGCACAGUUCGAGUUCGCUUUUGCGGGUGAAGGAUAUAUGAAGAGAGUCCGAGACACUGCAAAGUAUUGGAAGGAAAUUCAUUUCAUGGAAUUAGCUUUGUAUGUUGAUACCCUUACCCAAGAUUACGACAUAUGGAGGAAGCAACGGGUAAAUAGUCAGCAAAUCUCAUCAACAAACUACACCAUCCAGAAUCCUUUCUCGGAGAAAACGCCGUCUGAGCUAGAAAUGGCAAGACAAGAAUUCGAACGAGAAAAGGCCAAGAUGUCUCGGGACCUUAGUGCCCUUCAAGAAGAAAACUAUCAACUGAAGAUUGAAGUUCAGGUUGAAAGGUCCAGGACUGAAAAGUACAAAAAGAAGCCGAGAUUGUGAGAAACGACUUAAGGGACCUUCAUUUGGAAAACAAGAAAUUAAGAAACACUAUAAAGAAUAGCGGGUUGGGUAAGUCGACAGCAGAAUGGAAGGAAGAAAUUAGCAAUAUCAAGGGAGGAAUGGAGUUUUGGAAGGGAAAAGUAAAGAAAGAGGAGGAAAAGGCUGCGCGCGCUGUGAUAGAGUUAAGAAGGAAGAACGACGAGUAUGAAAUAGUGACUGCAAAAUUUGCGAAUAGUCAGUCUGAAUAUCAAGAAUUAAAAAGGAAAGCACGAGAUCUAGAAAAUAUGCUGCAAUCUCGUCAACAACAAUUAGAUAACCUCCUGAAGGCUCUAGAGGAAAAGCAUGAUCAGUACGAUAGGGACAUUCAGGCGUAUGAAGGAACUCUCAAAGAAAAAGAAAUGCAACUCGACUUCUUGAUCAAUGAAAUUCGUAAAGCGGCUAUGCAAGUUGUUCAAUUAUCAGAUGAAGCCGAAGUUAUCAGUUGCCAAUUCCCUCCGAGCCAAAGAUCGAGCAUAUCAGAGUUUUUAGAGCAAGUGAAUAAACAAGGCAAUGUGGCUAGGAAAUUUGUGUAACUGUUGGAAAAAUGAGAACUUUGUGUAAUAGACUAUGUUGAUAAAUGAAAUGCCUAAAUAUGGGGCUAUCUUGAAAUCAACACCAAAUUCUUGCAUGUUUACUCAUAACUAACAUUUAUGCAUCAUUUAUUCUUUGGACAUUCAUCCAUUCAUAUACUCAUUCAUUCAUUCAUCACGAGUACAUAUCACCAUAAUCAUCCACCGAAACUAAAGAACCGUAUAAUCCGCAGUUGCAAGAUUUCAAAUCUGGAACCACGCAAUUCCUAUAAAACGCGCCGACAAGCUAGAGUAAUGGAGGAUGAAUUCAAUGAGAGAAUUGAAAGGAUGGAAAGGGCUCAAAAGGAAUUACAAGAGUAACUGGCCAAAUCGCAGCAAGAGACGAGAGACCUAAUGGUGAGAUCUCGAGAGGAAUCACUCGAGCAAAGAGAUCAGAUGGCUAAAAUGAUGGAGAUGAUGACAACUUUGGUCAAAGGAAAAGGACCCAUGCAGAACUCCGAUGUUAUGGAACCUCGGUCAAGAAUUCACCAUGAUCAGGAUCCACUUUAUCCCCCAGGAUUUACUCCACCUCAUGUCCACGCAAUACAACGAGGAUACCCCCAAAGGGAACCUACAGGCCUAGAACAACAUCUUGCUCCGCCCACUAAUUUGGGGCAAGGAAUGUUAGCGUCGAACCUUGGGGCUAGUCCUGCUAAUCCACUAGUUCCAGAUCUGGAUGACCUAGCAGAGGCAGCCAAGUUGAAAUUGGAUAACCAUGACGCAAAAUAUAGGAGUCUAGAGGAAAGACUCAAAGCAAUAGAAGGCACUGAAGUCUUCUCCGCACUAGGUGCCAAGGAACUCAGUUUGGUACCUGAUCUAAUUUUGCCUCCGAAGUUCAAAGUGCCUGAUUUUGAGAAAUAUGAUGGGACAAGGUGCCCAAAAGCACAUCUCAUUAUGUUCUGUCAAAAAAUAACCGGUUAUGUGAACGAGGAUAAGCUACUCAUACAUUGCUUUCAAGAUAGUCUAACAGGGUCAGCUCUUCGGUGGUACAAUCAACUUAGUAGAGAAAAGAUUCGAUCCUGGAAGGACUUGGCGUCAGCAUUUUGCGAACAGUACAAGCAUGUAUCGGAUAUGGUGCCAGACCGUAUGACCUUGCAAAUGAUGGAGAAAAAGCCAUCAGAGACCUUUAGACAGUAUGCGCAGAGAUGGAGAGACGUCUCAGCUCAAGUGGAACCCCCACUAACAAAAACGGAGAUAACCGUUCUCUUUAUCAAUACUUUAAAGGCACCGUUUUAUGACAAAUUAGUGGGAAGUGCCACGAAAGAUUUCGCGGAUAUUGUAAUAUCCGGUGAACUCAUAGAGAACGCCGUCAAGAGCGGUAGAAUGGAAGGAUCAGAAGGCUCAAGAAAAGCAGCACCCUUAAGGAAGAAAGAGCCAGAAGCCCUCAUGGUGGGAACUGGGAGUCGUUACAUUCCCAAUUCAUAUCCUAAUCAACCCCGACCUCGAGAUUAUCCACCCUCGAGUUUCCAUUAUCCCCCUCAAACCCCUUGCUACCAAGCACCACAUCCGUCCUGCCCCGUAUACGCUACGAACAACCAAAGACCCGUCACCACUUUCCCACAAAACACGGUACCCACCCAAAGCCAACCCAGAAACGAACCAAGACCAUCAAGGCAUAAUCCUGAGAGACCGCAAUUUACCCCCAUCCCUGUGUCGUAUGGGGAAUUGUACCCAAAACUUUUAGAAAAAUAGCUAAUUUCUCCCCAUUACAUGGCACCCCUUAAACCUCCAUACCCAAAGUGGUACGAUCCAAACGCUAGUUGUGCAUACCACGCAGGGAACCAAGGGCACUCUACUGAGAACUGUCUCACUUUCAAAAGGAGAGUUCAAGGACUCAUUGAUGCGGGUAUCCUACGAUUCGAUAGUGCUAGUAAAGCCACGGAGAACCCGUUCCCUAACCAUACCGAAGGGAAUGUGAGCACAGUGGGGAAAGAGGAUGAAUGGAAGGUCAGAAGAUGUGUAUCAGAAAUAAGGACGCCUCUGCAGAAAAUCUGGGAGGUAUUGGUUAAGAAAGGAUUGCUCUGUCACUCUGAUAGAAUUUUUGGAGAAGAAGGUCAAAGUUUUUGCAAUUUUCAUGGGAUUGUUGGGCACGACAUUCAGUCGUGCGAGGACUUUAAAAGGUUACUUCAAGACUGGAUGAAUAAUAAAGAGAUCAAGGUCCUUAACAAGAGUGAAGAUGCCAACGAAAGAGAAGUAUGUGUCUCUGAUAGCCAAUCACCAGGUCCCCCUUAUAGUGCUGAUCGACCGUUGGUAAUUUAUUACGACGCGAUGAGAGAGCCCUUGAAACCACAGAUGGUAAUUGAAGUACCAUCUCCUUUCCCGUAUAAGGACAACAAAACAGUACCGUGGAGAUAUGAUGUUAAUAUCGUUACACCGGAAGUUGAAAAGUCCAAAGCCAUAAUUGAAGAUGUUGGGGAGGUAGGUCAUUUUACUCGAAGUGGACGAUGUUAUUCUAAAGAAGUUGAAUCGGUAAAGAAAAGUAGCGACUCGAAGCAAAAAGGAAAAGCAGUGAUGCACAAGGUCGAAGUCGAGCAAGAAAUUCCACCCGUGCAAGAAACUAAAAAGCUUGUGAAUGAGGAAGAAGCUCAAGAAUUCUUGAAAUUUAUUAAGCACAGUGAAUAUAGUGUGGUGGAACAAUUGAGCAAGCAGCCAGCACGAAUCUCAGUUCUAUCUCUACUGUUAAAUUCAGAGCCACACCAGAACGCUUUAUUGAAGGUGUUAAAUCAAGCUUACGUGGCCAACAACAUAUCUGUCGAAAAGCUUGAUAGGUGGGUAAACAAUCUGAAUGCGGACAACUUCAUCUCUUUUAGUGAUGAUGAGAUACCGCUAAAUGGUAGAGGUUCGGUGAAAGCGCUGCAUAUCACGACCCGCUGCAAGGGCUACAUAAUACCGAACGUACUCAUCGAUAAUGGGUCAGCGUUAAAUGUUAUGCCAUUGGCUACACUUUCCAAAAUACCGAUGGAUUUGUCCUACUUAAAGCCCUGUCAUUCCAUGGUAAGGGCAUUCGACGGGACGAAGUGCAAAGUCAUGGGAAAGAUCGAAAUCCCUUUGGAAGUGGGCCCCUACAUCUAUGAGGUCGAAUUUCAAGUUAUGGACAUUACACCCUCUUAUAACUGCCUUUUGGGAAGACCUUGGAUUCAUUCUGCAGCAGCAGUCCCAUCAUCCCUCCAUCAAAAAGUGAAAUUCAUCAUGGAUGGCUGUUUGGUCACAGUCGAGGGCGAAGAAGACAUUAUCGCAUCUAUCUCUGUUGAUGCGCCAUACCUGGAAGUAAGCAAGGACGUAGUGGAAUGUUCCUUUCGAUCCCUUGAAUUCAUCAAUGCCACUUUCGUCGCUGAGGGAAAUAGAAUUUCGAUGUCAAAACUGUCGAGAAAUACCAGAAUGGGUGUCAAGUUGACCGUAGGAAGGGGAGCUUGUGCGAGAAGAGGUUUAGGGAGACAUAUGCAAGGAAUAGUGAGGGCUUUAAAGCCAGUGCACCACAAGGCCUGAUACGGUUUGGGGUUCCAGCCUGACAUGCGCCAAAGAAGAAGACAGUGGAAGAAGGAUCAAGAAAGAAGAAUUGCAAGAACUUUGGGCCGAGAACCAGAAUGGGAACCAAUAGAGUACCCUCCUUUGUCAAAAACAUUUACAUCUGCGGGAAUGAUGUACCCUGGACAAGAGGAUCCACGAAACAUGCUGGGAUUAAUUGAAAAGGAUUUUCAGAAUGUUAGUAUAAAUGUCAUUGACAAAGAAGCUGGUGCAAGUAAAGAUGUCUCGAGGAUACGCCAUUGCCCUCCUGGUUUCAUGUUGAACAAUUGGAUAGCUGAGGAGCUUCUUGUAGUUUAUAAGCCUUCAGAGUAAUGCUAAACAUCAACCUUCUAUUGUGUCCUUAGAUAUAAUAGAGUUCUUUUGUAAGAGUUUGCAUUCGCUCUUUAUCAUUUAAAUGAAUAUCAAUGAAGAUGCAUUUUGUCACGAUUUUUCGCAUUAUCACUAAUUUCAUAAUCAUUUUCUCAUUUCAUAGCCUAUCCUUACAUUUGCCUCAUUGCCAUGACAUAAAAUUUUGUUUGUUGUUUCCAAUACUUGGAUGUCCCCCGAUAGCUUCCUUUUCCAUUCAACUUUCAGGUGCUCAGAUAUUGACGACAUGAAUAAGCCCGUUACGAAUCUUGAAAUUGAUUUUGAGAAGGCUGUUUGCUUAGGAGAAUUUGAAGCCGAAGAAAAUGCUGAAGAUUAUGUCUCGUCUCUUGAAUUGUUAAGAAUGGUGGAACAAGAGGAUAAACAGGUUCUGCCUCAUGAAGAAUCUGUAGAAACAAUAAAUUUGGGCACUGAAGAGAGGAAACAAGAAGUGAAGAUUGGGACUUCUAUUUCAGAAAGUACCAGACGUAGUUUGAUCACUUUACUCCGCGAAUACAAAGAUGUUUUCGCGUGGUCAUACCAGGACAUGCCAGGGCUAGAUGAAGAUUUAGUGGUCCAUAAGCUCCCAUUAAAGCCAGAAUGCAAGCCCAUCCAGCAAAAAUUAAGACGGAUGAGGCCCGAAAUCCUGUUGAAAAUAAAAGAGGAAGUCAAGAAGCAAUUUGACGCUGGCUUCCUACAAGCCUCCAAAUAUCCAGAAUGGGUGGCUAACAUAGUCCCGGUACCAAAGAAAGAUGGAAAAGUACGAAUGUGCGUGGAUUACCGUGACCUGAAUCGAGCAAGCCCAAAAGAUAAUUUUCCCUUGCCACAUAUUGACACGUUGGUGGACAACACAGCAAAACAUUCAUUGUUUUCUUUCAUGGAUGGAUUCUCGGGGUAUAAUCAGAUCAAGAUGGCUCCUGAGGAUAUGGAGAAAACUACCUUCAUAACAAUGUGGGGAACGUUCUGCUACAAGGUGAUGCCAUUCGGGUUAAAGAAUGCUGGGGCAACAUAUCAGAGGGCUAUGGUGACAUUAUUCCAUGACAUGAUGCAUAAGGAAAUAGAGGUCUACGUCGAUGAUAUGAUUGCUAAAUCUCGAGGAGAAGAAGAGCAUGUAAUGAACCUCAAGAAGUUGUUCGAAAGGCUGAGAAAGUUUCAGCUAAAGCUUAAUCCAGCCAAAUGUACAUUCGGGGCUACCUCGGGAAAGUUGCUAGGCUUCAUUGUCAGUGAAAGAGGUAUCGAAGUUGAUCCAGAUAAAAUAAAAGGCAUCCAAGAAUUACCACAUCCGCCACGCAAAAGGAAGUUAGAGGAUUUUUAGGGAGAUUAAAUUACAUCGCCCGAUUUAUCGCUCAACUUACCAACCAAUGCGACCCAAUCUUUCGGCUUCUUCGAAAACAUAGCCCGGGAGAAUGGAACGAGGAAUGCCAAGUGACCUUUGAUAAGAUAAAACAAUAUUUGUCCAGUCCUCCAGUGCUAGUACCGCCAACUCCGGGAAGACCAUUAAUUUUGUAUCUGACAGUGUUCGAAAGUUCAAUGGGUUACGUACUGGGACAACAUGACGAGUCAGGAAAGAAAGAAAAGGCGAUCUACUACCUCAGCAAAAAGUUCACUGAAUAUGAGGCAAAAUAUUCGUCCGUUGAGAAAUAUUGUUGCGCUCUGGUUUGGGUAGCUCGGAGACUCAAACAAUAUAUGUUGUAUCACACGACAUGGCUAAUUUCAAAGCUGGACCCAAUAAAAUACAUGAUGGAAUCGCCGGCACUAUCAGGAAGAAUGGCACGAUGGUAGCUCCUCCUUUCGAAAUAUGACAUUGCCUAUGUAAGUCAGAAGUCAAUAAAAGGGAGCGCAAUAGCUGACUUCUUAACAACUCGAACGACAGAGGAAUAUGAGCCUUUAAGAUUCGAUUUCCCAGACGAAGACUUAAUGUGCAUCACAGAAAUAGAAUCCGAGUCAUCAAAAGAGAAGUCAUGGAAGAUGUUCUUUGAUGGUGCGUCAAAUGCUUUAGGGCAUGGAAUUGGAGCAAUCCUGGUAUCACCAGACGGGAAUCAUUAUCCGUUCACUGCAAGACUGAACUUCUUCUGUACCAAUAAUAUCGCAGAAUAUGAGGCCUGUAUCAUGGGGUUUCGUGCAGCUAUCGAACGAAACAUCGAGAUCUUAGAGGUGUACGGGGACUCAGCCCUAGUGAUUUACCAAAUCCGUGGAGAAUGGGAAGUGAGGGACUCAAAAUUGAUUAAGUACAGCGAUUUAGUGGCUGGAUUGAUCAAGGAAUUCAAAGAAAUAACUUUUCAUUACUUCCCACGAGAAGAGAACCAACUGGCUGAUGCCCUAGCCACUUUGGCUUCAAUGUUCAAAGCAAGUAGAGAAGCAGAAAUAAUGCCCCUCAAAAUGAGCAUAUACGAGGUCCCUGCACACUGUUGUAGCAUUAAGAAAGAAGUAGACGGACGGCCUUGGUUUCAUGAUAUCUUAGAAUAUAUCAAGAAUCAAAGGUAUCCCGAACAAGUAAAUGAGAACGAUAAAAGAACAAUUAGAAGAAUGGCAGCGGGAUUUGUUCUUGAUGGGGAUAUCCUGUAUAAAAGAGGAAAGGAUCAGAUGCUUUUGAGAUGUGUGGAUGAUGUUGAAGCCAGAAAAAUACUUGAAGAGGUCCAUGAGGGAGUUUGCGGAACGCAUGCCAAUGGUUUCAAUAUGGCCAGAAAGAUCAUGAGACUCGGUUAUUAUUGGCUGACAAUGGAAAGUGACUGCAUCAAUUUUGCCAGAAAAUGCCACAAAUGUCAAAUCUACGGCGAUAAAAUUCAUGUAGCCCCUUCACCCCUUCAUGUCAUGACUUCUCCGUGGCCUUUUUCUAUGUGGGGCAUGGAUGUCAUAGGGCCAAUUUCUCCAAAAGCUUCAAAUGGACAUCGAUUCAUUUUUGUGGUUAUCGAUUACUUCACAAAAUGGAUUGAAGCCGCUUCAUUUGCCAAUGUGACGAAGACUGCAGUGUGCAAGUUUUUGAAAAAGGAAAUCAUUUACCGAUAUGGUUUGCCUGAAAGAAUCAUCUCAGAUAAUGCCACGAAUCUGAACAAUAAGAUGAUGAAAGAAGUGUGUGAGCAGUUUCAAAUAAAGCAUCAUAAUUCCUCGCCCUAUCGCCCAAAGAUGAACGGGGCUGUUGAAGCAGCUAACAAGAACAUUAAGAGGAUCAUUGGGAAAAUGACUGAGACAUAUAAAGAUUGGCACGAGAAACUUCCAUUUGCUUUGUUUGCAUAUCGUACAUCUGUGCGAACAUCUACGGGAGCAACUCCUUUCUCUCUAGUCUAUGGAAUGGAAGCUGUGCUACCUAUCGAGGUUGAGAUCCCCUCUCUGUGAGUAUUGAUGGAAUCAAAGUUAGAAGAAGCAGAAUGGGUUCGAGCUCGAUAUGAUCAGUUGAACCUCAUUGAAGAAAAACGUCUAAGGGCAAUUUGUCAUGGGCAAAUGUACCAAAAGAGAAUGAUCGCAGCCCAUGACAAGAAGGUACGACAAAGAGAGUUCCAUGAAGGAGAACUCGUUCUGAGAAAGAUUCUCCCAAUACAAAAAGACCUGCGAGGAAAAUGGGCACCAAAUUGGGAAGGACCAUACGUUGUAAAAAAGGCAUUCUCGGGAGGAGCUUUAAUCCUUACCAAGAUGGAUGGGAAGGAGUUACCGAAUCUGGUGAAUUCGGAUGCGGUGAAGAAAUAUUAUGCUUAAGAUGAAAACCCGAAAAGGGCAUCUUAAAAAAAAAGGGUGAAAACCCGAAAAAGGUGUCUUGAUUAGUACAAAAAGAUUAGGAUGAAAACCCGAGAGGGCGUCCUAAUGAAACAAACCUGGCGGUCAAACGAUAGGUCAAGUAGUGAGACUACAGUAUUUGAAGCACUUCUGAAAGCUCGAAAUUUUCUACGCAAGAAGCCAUGCUCGAAAAGAUAAUUGAUUGAGGAACGUAGAAGAGUUCAUGUGUUGAAUAUCUAGAGCAUUAGUAUCCGUUGAAUACGACCUUUUCUUUCUUUUUGACAUUUUUACUCUCAUUGGUUAACUUUCUUUGUUUGCCACACUUGAAAUAAAGGAAUAUGAGAUAUCCUUUGUGUCCCUACCUGACCAUUUUCAUGCAUCUCAUUAUGUGUUUAUUUAAUGAUAAAUAGUGAAAUGACAUACUCUAAACAAAAGAAAUGUCAAGCAUUACCCGGAUAAGAAUUUGAUAAGUGCAAGAUCUUCAAAGCAAGAACAAAGUUUAACCAAGGGCAAAAGGGUGAUAUCUGAGAAACGUCGAUUACUCGUAAAGCUCGAAGACAGGUAUGAGGCCUGAAGAGAAGGUCGAGAAUCAAAGCAAUGAACGCAGAUCCUCAAAAAUCAUGGCAAAAAUGACAUACGACCAAUAUGCUUAAGGAGCACUGCAUAAUCAUGUAGGCAUAAAGGCAUUUAAGACAAACAUGUGCAUAUCAUGAUGACUUCAUGCAUGGCAUAUACAGGUAAUCCAGUAAAGCAAGAAAUCUUGAAUCGCACAGAAUCAAAGGAAAAGAUACCCGAGUUCUACCAAAGGACUGGUUUUGGUAUUUUGAUGUUUAAUAUUCAUGCUUUCCAAGGAAAAUCAACUCAUAUUGCGAGAAAUGAGUUGAGCCUCAAGACACGUUGAGCUAUUUUUAAUUUUUUUAAAAAUCAACUCAUAUUGCGAGAAGUGAGUUGAGCCUCGGGGCACGCCGAGGUAUUUUUAGUUUAUGUUUUAAAUUGACUCAUAUUGCGAGAGGUGAGUUAAGCCUUUUAAUUUUUGUUUCUCAAAAUUCAACUCAUAUUGCGAGAAAUGAGUUGAGCCUCAAGACACGUUGAGGUAAUUUCAAUUUUUGUUUUCAAAAUUCAACUCAUAUUGCGAGAAAUGAGUUGAGCCUCAAGACACGUUGAGGUAAUUUCAAUUUUUGUUUUCAAAAUUCAACUCAUAUUGCGAGAAAUGAGUUGAGCCUCAAGACACAUUGAGGUAUUUUCAAUUUUUGCUUUUCAAAAUUCAACUCAUAUUGCGAGAAAUGAGUUGAGCCUUAAGACACGUUGAGGUAAUUUCAAUUUUUGUUUUCAAAAUUCAACUCAUAUUGCGAGAAAUGAGUUGAGCCUCAAGACACGUUGAGGUAAUUUCAAUUUUUGUUUUCAAAAUUCAACUCAUAUUCCGAGAAAUGAGUUGAGCCUCAAGACACGUUGAGGUAAUUUCAAUUUUUGUUUUCAAAAUUCAACUCAUAUUGCGAGAAAUGAGUUGAGCCUCAAGACACAUUGAGGUAUUUUCAAUUUUUGCUUUUCAAAAUUCAACUCAUAUUGCGAGAAAUGAGUUGAGCCUCAAGACACGUUAAGGUAAUUUCAAUUUCUGUUUUUAAAAUUCAACUCAUAUUGCGAGAAAUGAGUUGAGCCUCAAGACACGUUGAGGUAAUUUUCAAUUUCUGCUUCUCAAAAUUCAACUCAUAUUGCGAGAAAUGAGUUGAGCCUCAAGACACGUUGAGGUAAUUUCAAUUUUUGUUUUCAAAAUUCAACUCAUAUUGCGAGAAAUGAGUUGAGCCUCAAGACACGUUGAGGUAAUUUCAAUUUUUGUUUUCAAAAUUCAACUCAUAUUGCGAGAAAUGAGUUGAGCCUCAAGACACGUUGAGGUAAUUUCAAUUUUUGUUUUCAAAAUUCAACUCAUAUUGCGAGAAAUGAGUUGAGCCUCAAGACACAUUGAGGUAUUUCCAAUUUUUGCUUUUCAAAAUUCAACUCAUAUUGCGAGAAAUGAGUUGAGCCUCAAGACACGUUGAGGUAAUUUCAAUUUCUGUUUUCAAAAUUCAACUCAUAUUGCGAGAAAUGAGUUGAGCCUCAAGACACGUUGAGGUAUUUUCAAUUUCUGCUUCUCAAAAUUCAAUUCAUAUUGCGAGAAAUGAGUUGAGCUUCAAGACACGCUGAGGUAAUUUCAAUUUCUGUUGUUAAAAAAAAAUCAACUCAUAUUGCGAGAAAUUAGUUGAGCCUCAGGACAUGCUGAGGUAAUUUCAAUUUCUGUUUUCAAAAUUCAACUCAUAUUGCGAGAAAUGAGUUGAGCCUCAAGACACGUUGAGGUAUUUUCAAUUUCUGCUUUUCAAAAUUCAACUCAUAUUGUGAGAAAUGAGUUGAGCCUCAAGACACGUUGAGGUAUUUUCAAUUUCUGUUUUUCAAAAAUCAACUCAUAUUGCGAGAGGUGAGUUGAGACUUUUAAUUUCUAUUUUUCUAAAACCAACUCAUAUUGCGAGAGGUGAGUUGAGCCUUUUUCUGUUUUUCAAAAAUCAACUCAUAUUGCGAGAGGUGAGUUGAGCCUUUUAAUUUCUGAUUUUCAAAAAUCAACUCAUAUUGCGAGAGGUGAGUUGAGCCUUUUAAUUUCUGUUUUUCAAAAAUUAACUCAUAUUGCGAGAGGUGAGUUGAGCCUUUUAAUUUCUAUUUUUCAAAAACCAACUCAUAUUGCGAGAGGUGAGUUGAGCCUUUUUCUAUUUUUCAAAAAUCAACUCAUAUUGCGAGAGGUAAGUUGUGCCUUUUGCAAAUUCUGUUUUCAAAAAUCAACUCAUAUUGCGAGAAGUGAGUUGAGCCUUGGCUCACGUGCUGAGCUAUUUUCAAUUUCUAUUUUUAAUGUCUAGUUUUAANNNNNNNNNNNNNNNNNNNNNNNNNNNNNNNNNNNNNNNNNNNNNNNNNNNNNNNNNNNNNNNNNNNNNNNNNNNNNNNNNNNNNNNNNNNNNNNNNNNNNNNNNNNNNNNNNNNNNNNNNNNNNNNNNNNNNNNNNNNNNNNNNNNNNNNNNNNNNNNNNNNNNNNNNNNNNNNNNNNNNNNNNNNNNNNNNNNNNNNNNNNNNNNNNNNNNNNNNNNNNNNNNNNNNNNNNNNNNNNNNNNNNNNNNNNNNNNNNNNNNNNNNNNNNNNNNNNNNNNNNNNNNNNNNNNNNNNNNNNNNNNNNNNNNNNNNNNNNNNNNNNNNNNNNNNNNNNNNNNNNNNNNNNNNNNNNNNNNNNNNNNNNNNNNNNNNNNNNNNNNNNNNNNNNNNNNNNNNNNNNNNNNNNNNNNNNNNNNNNNNNNNNNNNNNNNNNNNNNNNNNNNNNNNNNNNNNNNNNNNNNNNNNNNNNNNNNNNNNNNNNNNNNNNNNNNNNNNNNNNUAGAUAAUGUGAAUGUAUUUAGAGGUGCUUAUAUAGUAUUCAAAACUAUCAUAUAAAUUCAAUUUUCAACCAUAUAUAAUUGACAUUAUGGGAGUUGGAAAAUGAUAGGGGGCACUAUAGCAAAUGUUAUAGUUGUAUAAAAUUAGGACUUUGUGAUGGAAUAGUUUAGGGCAUAUUGUUUGAAUAUUCCAUAAACAUUAAAAAAAAAACCAAAUUUGUAAUGGAAUAUAAGAUUGGGUUUUCUUUUAUUAUCAAUUUAAAGCCAUGAGAAUCUUUAUUAUUUAAAAAUUAAUGUAAUUGUUAAAUUGAAAUUGCAGGGGAAUUUCAAAUAGGAGAAAAUAUAAAAGAAAUGGAUCCAAAAACAGUGGGAAGUAGUGUUGUAAAAUAUGGGAGGUGGAGAUUUGGAAUGACAAAGAAAGCAAUGGGGCAUUCAUUAGUUUAUAGCCAACUUUAUCCAUUUAAAGGCCUCCAAAAUUAUACCUCUGGAAUUAUUCACCAUGUUCGCCUCACUGGUAUUUCUCACCAUUUCUUCCCUUAUUUAUCUUCUGCAAAUUUGUUUUCUUACCAUUUCUUUCGCAUUAAUACUAACUUUUUUAAUUUACAAUAUGGUAGCCAAUACUGUUUCGGUAUUAGUAAUAUUAGUCGAUACAUAUCACUUUUAAGGGUGAGUUUAAAGGGAUAGGAACAAUUCCGUGUGUUGACUUAAUAGUCAGGGUGUUCACCGUUCUAGGUAUGGUUUGAGUUCAAGUUAAGUUGUGCUAGUCACGUUACUGUUAGGGUUUUGCCCUUCUCUUGUAAUUCAGCAAAAAGAAAUUAAUAUAUGGUGAAAUUGCACUUUAACUCCUCCAAAAAUGAAAAUAUUUAUAUUUAAUUCCUUCAACAAUAAUGAAAUCGUAAGUUAAUGCAAGAUAAAUGACACUUUAACUUAACAAUCUCCGCUCCCCUUAAAAAAAAAAUCCUAACUUCACCCUUAAUCAUCUUGAUUUUAGAUUGGUACCAAGUAGAUUAAAUUUUGUUCUUAUUAAAACAUUGGUGUGUUUCCUUCUGUUUCAGCUAAUACCAACUUAUACCGAUAUGUACCAAACAAUAUUGGUAGGACUGAGAAAGAAAUCAAAAAAUUGAACUAAUUUUUAUUUAUAAUUUUAUUUAUAAUUUAAAAAUAAAAAUAUAUUUAAACAGUGACAAUAACUCAAAUUUUAUAUAAAAACUAUUUAAAAAUAUUAUCAUAUAAGAGUUAUUAAUUUAUUUGAAAAUUAGUUUCUUUUAAAAAUAUUUAUGAAUAUUUUUAAAAAUUUUACAAAAUAAUAUCCAAAAUUCAUAGAAUAAUUUAUCAAGAUAAGUUCAAACACCCAAAAUUAAUAGAUCUUGAACCAAAUAAAUCCAACUAAAAUAAACCCAAAAUUAAUAGACCGAGAAUCAAAUUAUCAUAGAAGAUAUACCAUACACACUAAUACCCAUAAUUACCCAAUAAUUCUUCUCACACUUUGCAGGUUUAAAACCCAACACCUUCUAUUACUAUCAAUGUGGAGACCCUUCAAUCCCAGCAAUGAGCGAUGUUCAUUAUUCACCAUGUUCGCCUCACUGGUAUUUCUCACCAUUUCUUCUCUUAUUUAUCUUCUGCUAAUUUGUUUUCUUACCAUUUCUUUCGCAUUAAUACUAACUUUUUUAAUUUACAAUAUGCUAGUCAAUACUGUUUCGGUAUUAGUAAUAUUAGUCGAUACAUAUCACUUUUAAGGGUGAAUUUAAAGGGAUAGGAAUAAUUUCGUGCGUUGGCUUGAUAGUUAGGGUGUUCACCGUCCUAGGUGUGGUUUGAGUUCAAGUUGUGCUAUUGUAAUUCACCAAAAAGAAGUUAAUAUAUAGUGAAAUUGCACUUUAACUCCUCCAAAAAUGAAAAUAUGUAUAUUUAGUUUUCUUCAACAAUAAUGAAAUCGUAAGUUAAUGCAAGAUAAAGGACACUUUAACUUAACAAGCUACGCUCCCCUUAAAAAAAAUCCUAACUUCACCCUUAACCAUCUUGAUUUUAGAUUGGUACCAAGUAGAUUAAGUUUUGUUCUUAUUAAAACAUCAGUGUGUUUCCUUCUGUUUCAACUAAUACCAAUUUAUACUGAUAUGUACCGAAUAAUAUUGGUAGGACUGAGAAAGAAAUCAAGAAAUUGAACUAAUUUUUAUUUAUAAUUUUAUUUGUAAUUUAAAAAUAAAAAUAUAUUUAAAUAGUGACAAUAACUCAAAUUUUAUAUAAAAAUUAUUUCAAAAUAUUAUCAUAUAAGAGUUAUUAAUUUAUUUGAAAAUUAGUUUCUUUUAAAAAUAUUUAUGAAUAUUUUUAAAAACUUUACAAAAUAAUAUCCAAAAUUCGUAAAAUAAUUUAUCAAGAUAAGUUCAAAAACCCAAAAUUAAUAGAUCUUGAACCAAAUAAAUCCAACUAAAAUAAACCCAAAAUUAAUAGACCGAGAAUCAAAUUAUCAUAGAAGAUAUUUACCAAACACACUAAUACCCAUAAUUACCCAAUAAUUCUUCUCACACUUUGCAGGUUUAAAACCCAACACCUUCUAUUACUAUCAAUGUGGAGACCCUUCAAUCCCAGCAAUGAGCGAUGUUCAUUAUUUCCGAACAAUGCCGGCCUCCGGUCCAAGGAGUUAUCCGGGAAGAAUUGCAAUCAUCGGAGACUUGGGGCUCACGUAUAACACAACUUCAACAAUUGAUCACCUUAUGAGCAAUCACCCGAACCUGGUGCUGUUAAUCGGCGAUGCAAGCUAUGCCAACUUGUAUCUCACCAAUGGCACCGGUGCCGAUUGCUACUCUUGCGCUUUCUCCGACACUCCUAUUCACGAAACGUAUCAGCCUCGUUGGGAUUAUUGGGGAAGGUAAAUUUUAACGAUGUUUCAUGGAUUUAAAUAGCGGUCACAACAUGACAUUACGAUAGUAUUUGUUAUAAAUGUGCAGGUUUAUGCAGCCUUUGGUGUCCAAGGUUCCCUUGAUGAUGAUAGAAGGGAACCAUGAAAAAGAAGAACAGAUUGAGAAGAAGACAUUUGCGGCUUAUAGUGCUCGAUUUGCAUUUCCAUCGGAGGAGAGCGGAUCAUCGUCGACAUUCUAUUAUUCUUUUAAUGCAGGUGGCAUUCAUUUCGUGAUGCUCGGUGGUUACACCGACUAUAACAAAUCAGGGGAUCAAUACCAGUGGUUGAAGAAGGACCUUGCAAAAGUUGAUAGAAAAGUGACUCCAUGGUUGGUUGCAACAUGGCAUCCUCCAUGGUACAGUACAUAUACUGCACAUUAUAGAGAAGCUGAAUGUAUGAGGGUAGAAAUGGAAGAUUUAUUAUACAAAUACGGAGUUGAUAUAGUCUUCAAUGGACAUGUAAGUCGUGCUUUAUAAUGAAUUAAUUCAAUUACAUUCACUCGAAGAGCUGAUGGUCGUGUUCAUUUGGUGAUAAUCAAUAGGUUCAUGCCUACGAGAGGUCGAACCGAGUGUAUAACUACAACUUGGAUCCUUGCGGUCCUGUUCAUAUUACGAUUGGUGAUGGUGGCAACCGAGAGAAAAUGGCAAUUACACAUGCUGAUGAACCCGGAAAUUGCCCCAAACCAUCGACAACUCUGGAUAAAUUUAUGGGUGGGUUCUGUGCAUUUAACUUCACAUCAGGGCCGGCAAGUGGUAAAUUCUGCUGGGAUAGGCAGCCUGAUUAUAGUGCAUAUAGAGAAAGCAGCUUUGGACAUGGAAUCCUUGAGGUAUAUUAUGCAGAUAUUUCAUUAAGAUUAAUUUCUAUGGACCGUAAAAAGGACACAAAGGGUACUUUAAUUAUACAAAAAAAACAUUAACAGCAAGUGUUUUGCAGGUGAAAAAUGAGACUCAUGCACUGUGGACAUGGUACGGUAAUCAAGAUGCUUAUGGGACUACUGGUGAUGUGGUUUAUAUAGUUAGGCAACCUGAUAGAUGCCCUGUUGAACCCGACGUAAUUAAUUAAGAGUAAACUCCAAAGCUUAAUUAAGUUGAUUCAUCUGCAGUCACCAUUAAAAAGUGAUGCCAAGAAAGUUUAGGUUUGAAUCUCGGCAUCUGUCCUCAGACUAUGAUUUCUUUUGUACCAGUAAAUAUCUUUCAAAGCUAUAAAUACAUAUUAAACAUCAAAAUCAGACAGCUGAUAAAUCACAAAGGGAUUAUGUACGUAUGUAUGCAUGCAUGUAUGUUGGCUUCUAAAGAUUGAAAAGUAAAUAAUUAAGGAUUCAAAAGGAACAUUAUUGUGAUAUGAUUUGCAGGUUCGUAAUUUUAAUUAAAUGAAAUAAGUUUGAUGUAACUAUGCAAGUAGUACUUAGAAUCCUAAAAGUUUGAAAUAAAUAUUUGUAACUUUGUUGAAUGUUUUCAUGAGAGUUCCUUUCUCAUGGAGGUCAAUUUCUUUGUUAUAAGAUACGGUCCCAUGGUUUGACAUACUAAGAUUAAAUAGGCUCUUAUGUAGGCUAACACGUAUCCUACUUUAGGGUCAACACGUGUCUCUUGAGUAUGGGUUUGCCUGCAUGGUGGUGUGAACCCAUUAGGUGCGGACUUAUACAGACGAACUAUAUGGUUUGGUUAACUAUAUCCGAAAUAAAAGGGGUCAGAUCGGUCUUAAUCAGAAAACAAAUAAUUUAUGGCGGACACUACAACAAACUUAAUAAUCACAUUUGUUAAUAACAAAUAAUUAAUUUGUUUUGAUAACGUAAUUACAAGACAUAAUUUGAAAAUAAUAUAUGCUUGCUUAGAUACCAUUAUUCUCAGUACUCCAAGUAACAUAAAUAUUGAAAUGAAUUUGUGAGAGAGCUAAGAUGGUUGUAUUCUAAUAGAGAGAUUUCUAUUGCUGGUAAAGAAGACUUUAGCUCCACUAUCGUGCGGCCGUGACAUUAGCUUAAGCUCCUCAUUAAGCUAAUUAAAUGUGAUCUCUAGAUUAACCAACAAUGUCUUCAUAAAGUAGACAACUAAAUGAUCGAUACCACCAGCAUCCUUCCAUAAAUAGCUGCGAAAUAGGGCUUCAACUUCUAACAAAAACGCCUCUUCCUAUCAUUGGGGUCAUGCAUCAAGGUUUAAAAAGUUCCAUAUUGGAUGCAAAAUAAAUGAUAGAACAAGUAAGAGCAGGAUAGACAUUGAGCUUGUGUUGAGUGUACUAUCAAAUGAAGCUCUAGAGAGAAAUGGAGGGCUGAAUCCAGGGUAAUUGAGCCCCGGACCGCCACCUCCGCCAUUGAUCGGUGUGGUUGUCGUAGUUGGCACAUUCGGAUUGUUCCACGACCCUGUUUUUGGCAUAGCUGUCCCUCCGGAUGUGCUGGAAAUUUCAUAACUUAAGCUUUUAAAAUCAAUAAAAUAACAGUGACAAAAACUACAAAUAAUGAUGGAAUCCAAUUUGGUUGGUAAUUUUCAAAAAAUAGGCGAAAGGAGCUAUUAUUAGCUUUUGCUGGAACCCAAUAGAGGUGCUCAUGGGCCGGGCCGGGCCGGGCCCAGAAAAAAUUUCGGCCAGUGUCCUAGACCCUGGCCUGGCCGAGGCUGAAAUAUGAGCCUAAAAUUUUAUCUAGGCCAGGCCUGAAAAAAAAUUCAUAAGCCCGAGCCCAGCCCGGCCCAUUUUUUAAAUAAACACCAAAAAAAAUUUAAAAAUAAAAAAAUUUAUUUUAAAAAUAUUUUAAAAAAUAAAAAUAAAAAAUAUUUUAAAAAUAAAAAAAUAAAUAGAUUUAUUAUAUUUGGGUCGGGUCGGGCCGGGCCAAAAAAUGUUAUGUGAGGCCCGGUCCAUUUUUUAAAUGGGCCUUUUUUUUUGUCUAAUGUCAUAUUUCGGGCCUAUUUUUUACUUAAACCCUCCCAUAUUUUGGGCAGGCCAUUGGGCCGAGCCGGGCCGCCCGGCCCAUGAAGACCUCUAGAACCCAGCAAUGCGCCCAUGGAUAGAGAUGACAACAAGGUGAGACGGGACGAGUUUUUGCUCGCCUCAAUUUCGACUCGAUUUUUAUAUCCUCUACUUCGAUUUAUUCUGAGCUCGAUUUUAUUUAAAAAUGUAAAAAUAAUUAUAAAAUUAAAAAAAAAGUGUUUUAGUAAGUAAAUCAAGGCAGACAAAUCGAAUUUUCAUCUAAAUCUAAACUCGAAUUGAUCUUGAACUACCCAUGUAUGACUCCAGUAUCCAAAUAUCUAGAGUGUUUUUUGACCGUUGGAUGUCUUUCAAGAAAAGAGUACCCAUCCAACGGUUGAAAAAGUCUCACCUAAACAAGACGGUAGGAAAACAUUACAAGUAAAGAAGUGGCCAACAGACAUAAAUAAGCCUGGAAACGUAAAAGGUGUAAACCUUCACAAAGUGACGACUGCAUGUAGGAUACGAAAAUGGACGGUUAGAGAUCAUGCCGAGAAACACGUGUCAGACAUCUACUCAAUUACAGCAUCACCAUGAAAGGCUCACACCCACUUGAGAAUCAAAGGAUUAUGCAAAGUUGAUUCAUGUUAGUUAAUUAGGAUUUAAACAAUAUCUUAUUUUGCGCCUUUUUGUUUUUCUGUCUUUGAUCCUCUUACAAGCCACAAGGGUUUCAAUAAUAAAUUACACCCAACUUCAAAAAGUUAUUAAAUGAGCAAUAAAUUAUUCAAAUUUUUUUAUUUAAGUCACUAAACUAUUUAAAAGUUUUUAUUUAAUUUACUGGGCUGUUAAAUUUUUUUUUUAAAAAGGAGGUUCAGCUAGUGAACUCCAAGCAACAAUUUAACAAUCGGUAUGGUGGAUAAAUACCCGCUGACGAGUAGAUCCAAGUUGAUCUAACGGUUAGUGUCGGAGAUCGGAGAAUGAAGAGAAAAACUGUUUGGAUUUUAGUUUAUAGAUUUGUGACGUUAAAAGUUAUUUCAUAAAAAAAAAUUAAACUGUAAAAGAGAAGGGAAAUUAAAGCUUUUGAGUGUUGCAAGCAAUGCAGACAAAGAAAGCCGUACAACAGUAAUUUUAACAACCCGAUGACUUAAAUGAAAAUUUUCGAGUAGUUCAAUGAAAGAAAAUACAAAAAAUUCUCUCUGCUGCGUUGUUUUCGUCUUCUUUGCAGGUAAGGAGGCUAGCUGGCGUAAGGAGGUGGUGGAUGUGGCACAGCACACGCGGGGAAGGCCUUGGUGGCUGCGGCGCCGGAAGGAGGGCUGUUGCAGCUAGGGUUUUCUGAUUUUUUUUUUGUUUUGGGCUAGGGUUGUGUUGAUAGUUGUAUUGGGCUAGGUUUUUGGGCUGGGUGUAGUUGGACUAGAUGCAUCUGACUUUGGGUUUGUACCGGGUCACUGUAAAUGGGUUUGGUUUUUAUUGUUAUUGGGCUGUGAACUAUUUGAGUUUUAAUUAAUUUUUAUUUAUUUGGUUUUUUAUUGUGGGCUGGGCAAAUUGGGUAUUACAAUCAGCUAAUUAGGAAAGACUGUGAUGAUAGUCACACCUUACAUCCAAAAGCAAAGCUUUUUACAUGUGUAUGUGAGGUUGCUAAGCAAAUCUGAUGAGCCUUCACUGAUGUUUUAAGGUUAAGUUAAUGUUCCUUUUCGGCAAAGAACAUUAUCGAGAUCACGGUAUUUUGAUCGCCUUUUGCUUGUUAUGUUAUUUGUUCUGAAACGAUUGCAUAAUCUUUACUGUGAUUGCAGGAUAUAGAGCAACUUCUGAAUUUCAUUGGUGUAAAGAGUUGAGGACCACGACAUGUUCUUGCAAAUUUGAAGGAGCUUCUAAGGUCUGUCCGGUCUUCAGAAUAUAUAGAUACCUGAAUUAAUUUUGAUUUUGUAGGAUCAACUAUAAUUAGCUACUUAUUACACUAUGAAUAGACAACCUCACCUUCUUCACACACUACACGUGCGGAUUUUUUACCAAUCCCAUUUCAAAGGAUCACACUUUUUUGUUGUUUACAGAAUCAUAAUUAAUGUUAAUUAAAGUGGAAUAUUUCAGAUUUCUGAUGAUGAGCAUAUUCUUGAGUAUUGCAGUAAAAAAAUGGGUGUGGAACUUAUUUGAACUUUGAAUGUAUGUUCUGUUGGUGAGAAUAUAAAGUUGAUAAAGAUUUGGUAAAUAGAAUAAAAUAUUAUUUUUAUUAGAAAAAUUAUUUGGUAGACUGCCAAUCGAGUUAUAAUUAUCAUGACGUAAAACAUGUCAUAUUACAAAUAAUAAAAUUAUAAUGACUCAAAUAUACGAACAUGUCAAAAUUUACGUAAAACGAAUUAUUAACAUGUCAAUGUAUAAUACGGUACGCAAAAAUAGGAUAAUUGCUUGUUUUUUAAAUUGAAUUGUUAUAACAUAUUAUACAAAAUACAUUGUGAAUUAAAGCAUAAUAUGAACAUGAUAUCAAAAUAUUAAAUAUUUUUUAAAAUUUGAUGAUACGAAUAAUUAUGUAAAAUAUAACAUGAUACAAAAUAACUUGAGAGGAAAAGAGGAAUAAAGAAUUGCAUUGUUUGUGAGGUUUUAAAAUAUUCCAGUUUUAGAUUCAAUUUUCUAGUAUGUUUGGUUUAAUUUUACAUUAGAUUUCCUUUUUAGUAUGCACUAGUGAACGCUUGGCAGUUAAUUUAAUUUAAUUUAAUUUAAAGAGAUAUUGCAUAUACAUAAUAAUGGAUUAUGAUUUUACAUUAAACUUCAUAGAAGAAAAAAGAAAUAGACGGUUGAAAAUGAUAAAACCAUAAGAUAAAAGAGCUUUUAUUUAAAAUGCAAAAAUCAACAAAAUAUGCAUUAUCGCUCAACUUAGCAUAAUUAAACAUUUAGGUGUGGAAAUCAAAUCACAAUUUGAGUAGCUAAACAUAUCGCUUGAAAAUGUGAUAAGUAAGAAAAUUGCCCACAUUUGAGUAGCGACAGGUGGUAAUGCAUUUCCCAACAAGAGAAAACCAAGCUCUUCGCCAGUAUGGAUUUAUGUAGAGGACAACAAAAAUUGUUAACAACACAACUACAUAAGAAACCAAAAAGCUCACACAAAAAUCAUAACUAUCUAUCAAACCAUCUUCUCCUUUAUCUUCUGAUACAGUUGAUAUUGUUGAUGGUGAAUCGGUUUUGGAACAACUUUUAUGCAGUAUAGGUCCACAAAGAAAAGGGUUUCCUUCAUAACUGUUUUCAAUAAAGGUCUCAAAUUGAGCUUUUGGUUCGGGAAUACUACCUGACAAGUUGUUAAAUGCCACGCUGAAAACCUCCAAAGAGUUUAACUCUACCAAUUGAUUGGGGAUUUCACCACUUAAGUUGUUGUAAGAAAGGUCCAAACUCUCAAUUUGAUGUAGUUUUGAGAGUGACGAGGGUAUAACUCCGGUCAACUUAUUGUGUGAAAGGUUUAAAGAAUGGAUUUCACUCAAGUUCCCUAAUUCUGGUGGGAUAUGACCAGUUAAGUUGUUGCAAGAUAAAUCAAUCCCAGUCAUAUAUGAAAGGAUGUCGCCCUUGUAUGAAUAGAACCCACUCUUUGUUGUGAACUCUAUUACUUCUUCUAAGUAGCUACUAGGAUAGUAAGAAUCCAUUCCCAAAUUUAGUAUCAUACUGCGUGUUGUUUCAUCCUCUUCUAUAGAUGGCCCAUAGAACCAAGUUUCUAGAAUCUUCUUCGUUUGCAUUGGAAGAGAUAAAUUUCCCAAACAAGAAGGUAUAGGACCAGAAAACAUAUUUUGAGAAAGAUCUAUGAUGCUUAAAGAAUGCAACUUGCAUAACUCAAUAGGAACUUUACCAUGAAAAUGAUUAUCUUUCAAGAGAAGAACACUCAAAGAAGAAAGCGUGUAAAUCCAUUUUGGAAUACUACCUGUCAAAUUGUUUCCUCUAAGAUCUAAAGUCACUAUUGAAGAGCUAUUAUAAAAAGCAAGUGAUAGUGGGCCUCUCAGUCUAUUCCCGUGGAGGUGGACAUGCUCUAUGUAUGGUGGAUUAAAACAUGACGGUAUAGAGCCAGAUAAAUUAUUUUGAGAAAGAUCCAAAAAUUCCAACCUAUUCAACUUGCAAAAUUCCAUUGGAAUGGAACCUUCAAAACCAUUGUUGGACAUAGCUAAUCUCUGCAAAAACGAUGCAUUCCCUAUCCAUCUUGGGAGCUUUCCAUGCAACUUGUUGUUACUGAGAUCAAUUUCGCUUAGUGAAUUUGGAAACUCAAAAGUAGACACAUCAACAUUUGUCAUCUCUCCUGAAAAAUUAUUUCCAUCCAAAUAUAAAUGCUGCACCCCAUUUGCGCUGAGAAUCACAGGAACUACAUUUCCACUGAGGUUGUUAUUUGAUAGUCUCAAAAUGGUCAGUGAGCCUUUCGUGAUCAACUCUUCUGGUACUUUUCCAUACAAAUGAUUGUCUAAUAGAUCUAAAAAUGAUAAGUCCUUCAUGCCACUUAAACAAAGUGGGAUAUUAUCUUCAAAAGCAUUCUUGGAUAAGAAUAACCGACUCAAAUGUGGAAAAGUUGAACAUAUACCAGUUGGAAUUUGACCUUGUAAUUUGUUUUCAGAUAUGUCAAUUGAAGAUACAUCAGAAAUAAGAGCCGACGAAAGUGAGAGAGGACCUGUAAAUGAAUUACCCUUCAAGAUGAGAUCUUCUAACUUUGUGUUGUUUUCUAGCAACCAAGUUGGUACAGUUCCACUGAGAUUGUUAUGAGAAAGAUCCACAUAUCUCAAGUCAUAUUGGUAGUAAAGGAAGGUAGGAAAUUUACGAUUGAGUUGUUGAGAUGCUAUGCACUUUGGCAAUCUGAUGACUUCCAAUUGGAACUUUGGGAUUGAGGUAUAAAAGGAAGAUUCCAUUACCAUCUUGUUUUCAUUAAUCGAAAGGGCUUUGAGGUUUGAAAGGUUUGCAAAUGGUGCAAAUGACAGCGGAAUUUGAAAAUGGUUUCUUGAAACAUCUAACACACGAAGAGAUGUCAAGUUACUAAAACAACGAGGAAGCAUCCCCUCAAGUGCAUUGUUGCUCACAUCCAAUACUUCAAGGUUCUUUAGAUCACACCAUCCUGAAAAAUUUAUAAAUUCAUGGAAGAAAUUUUAAUUAAAUUUGGUCCUAUUAAAUAGAAUAGGAGAUAUUAUAUUACAAAAGCUAGUAAAGAAAUCAAUUUGAGCCAUAAAAUUAUUUACCUUGAUUAGGUAAGGGACCAAUAAGUCCACAAUGAUAUAAAGACAAUGUUUUAAGAGAAGCGAAUACUCCAAUGCUUUGCAAAAUGUUGGUGUUGAGAGUAGAAUAGUCAAGAUAUAUUUCCUCCAAACUGCUCGACACAUUUGAAUCUAAGCAAUGUCAAGAGGUAUUAGAUAACGGUAUUAUAGAAAGCCUCUACUAAGUAGAAUGCUUUAUUUUCUGUGAAUGAAAUGAAGUAUAUAAAUAUAUAUAUAUAUUUUUUAUGAGUUAGAUUAUUCAUGAUUUAUCUGAGAUAAAUUUUGAUAGAGAGAAGAUGUUGAAACUUUAAUAUAACUCUUCAUCCAUUUUAUUAAUUAUACUAUUUUUUUUCUUUUUAGUAUUUUCUUAUAUUAUUUUUUAAUAUAAGUAAUUAACUGAUAUAGCUAAGUUGUAUAAUUUUCAAACUCCAAUCAACAACACUAUAAAUAAUAUUUAUAAAAUAAAACAUGUCUACACUAAAUGUAUGUUUAAAUUUCAUAAAAUUGAAGAUAUUUUUAAAUUAUUCAAAAUUCACAUGUCUACACUAUAAAUAAUAUUUAUAAAAUAAAACAUGUCUACACUAAAAUUAUUAUAUUACCUUUAAAGAUGCCAAUAGUAUAUAAAAAAAUCAAAUAGGUAUUUUACUCAACAAUAAAUAAAACUCAAAAGAAUUAUAAGUAAACUCAGCGGAUUAAAUGAAAAUUUUAAAGCAUUAAAUCUUGGCCCAAAAAUAGAGUUAAGUUAAAAUUCAAAAUUCAAAAUUAUUUUAUUAAUAUUGUUAAAAUUAUUUUAUUAAAUCCAUGUUCAUUACGUCAUUUUUUUAGUUACAUUACUACUAAGUUUUUUUUUUAUUUCAAAAUGUCACACCAACAAGCUAUUUUAAAAUUUUAACAAUUUUAACAAUUUAACUAGGAUUUUGAUUUUUUUUUAUAAAAAAAACAGGGAUUAAAUUCUUGAAAAUAAAAGUAUAAGAAUUAAAUUACAAAUUAGUAAAGAGUACAUAGACCUAUCAUAUUUUUUAAAACCAAAAAGUUAAAAACAUAUGCACUUUGAAAUUUAUAAAAAGAUUGCAAUGGAAGUUUAAGCACCUCUCAAUGUAUGUUUAAAUUUCACAAAAUUAAAGUUUUUUUUUAAAUUAUUCAAAAUUGACAUUUAUUUAUUUUUGCCAAAAAAUGCCAUUUAUUUAACGCUAAUAUGUAUUUUUAUGUUUUAUACUAUUAAAAAUAUAUGAAAUUAAAAUAUAGUUAUAUUACAUAUUUUCUCAUAAAUAUAUGUUUUUAUUUAUUUAUAAUAUCAUUUUUUAUUGUUAUAAUUAUUUUUUAUCUCAUAAAAAUUCAAUAAAUUAUUUUAAAAAAUAUAUUUAUACAAACAAAAUAAUUAUAAACAUUAAUAUUUUAAAAUGAUGAAAAUUUUAAAGAAUUUUAGUUUCAAACCAAAGUCCAAACACAUUAUAAUGGAUGAUUUAGAAAAUGUUUCACCAAACCCAUAUUUUACUUUCAAGUAUGAUAUGAUAUAACUUUAUUAAUAUUUAUGACAAUAACCGUUAUUAUAAUAUUUGACAUCAAAACUAAAUUUCUAAAUUAAAAAAAAAAAGGAAGUUUAAUUAAAUGAUACCUUGGUGGAUCACCAAAUCUUUCAAUUCAUUAUAGCUCAUAUCUAGUUUCCUUAAGUUGAUAAAUGCUUCCAAAUCUAGGAAAACAAAAACAACAAAUCAACUUCAUUAUAUUCUCUUAAAACAUUAUUAUAUUCUUGUUAAAAAACUAAUACUUUUACCUUUCAUAUCUAUUGAUCCUUUCAAUUCAUUGCCUCUUAUGCUCAAAGAUUUCAAAUUUGAAAGCUUGUUAAGGGAUGCAAAUACACUAGUAUUGAAGUGAUUUCCAUCUAAAUUAAGCUCUUCCAAGUGGGUCAAUUCCAAUUUUCUACCAUCAUCUACAAAAGAUUUAUAUAAUUUCAUCAUCUACCAUCACUAAUUUCAUCUACCAAUUUGUUAAAUUGCUCAAUCCUAUACAUAUCCACGUACAAUUCAAAAAAUCAUUAUGUUAAUAAUUUUAAUUUCUACUUAAUAUUUUAAUGAAAUAAAAAUGAAAAAAAAAAGUAAAUCUAAAACUUGAAUUGAAGAUAAAAAUCCUCAAACGUGAAAUGUGAAUGUUCAAAUUUGAAACAAUUAAUUUUAAAAGGCUCUAGAAAGAAUUAUCAAGAAAAACAAAGUUAUAGCUUUAGUACCUUUAGUAUCUAAUGAGCCUUGCAAACGGUUGUUGAACAAAGUCAAAGACUUUAGGCUUGAAAGCCCUUGAGGAAAGGAAAUUGUGUUGUUCCGAAAGAGAUUACCACUCAAAUAAAGUUCCUCUAAGUUUGUUAGCCUCAAUUGUGUUCCAUCUAUCAUUGGAAGAAAGUAAUUAGUAUAGUUAACAUCAUUCAAGAUAUAAAUAGUUAGGAAAAAUGUUUGUUUGAGAAGGAAGAGCCAAUUUACAAGCUUUCCGAUGAAUUGAUUCAAUAUAUAAAUACUUUGUUUGAGAUACCUUCCUACUUAAAUUACUCAAUUUUGAAAUUUAAUCCCAAAUAUUGAUUACUUAUAUAUAUUCAUGAUAUGAUAAAAUCAAAUGACUUAUUGCAACAACUUUUCCUUCAACAUGAAUUUAUUUUAAAGAAUGCUAUUCUUCAAAUAAUUCCAACUUAUAUCAAUAAUUUCCAAUUUAAUGAGCCAUUGAAAACCUCAUUUAUAUAUUAUAUAAUUAGUUACUACAAAACUUAAAUAAAUAAUAAUACUCCAUUUUUGCAAUAAAAAUUCACUAAAGAAAAUACAUUUGAAGUCUGUCAUUGCCUUUUGGAAUAAGAGUCGGUCAAGAAAGUUACUAUGCAGAAAUACUUAUACCUUUGUUUGAGAUGCUUUCAAUGUCGUUCCAACUUAAAUCCAAGUACUUCAAAUUUGUCAAAUUAUUCAAUCCUGAAAUUCAAUCCCAAAUAUUGAUCAGUUAUAUAUAUAUAUUCAUGAUAUGAUAAAAGCAAAGACAUAUUGCAACAUUAACUGUCCCUUAAACAAAAAUUGGUUUUAAAGUAAAAAAGAAACAUAUAAAACCAGUCUACCUUUAAUAUGAAUUGACAUAUAAAUACUGUACUUAUACCUUUGUUUGAGAUGCUUUCAAUUCUGUUCCAACUUAAAUCCAAGUAUUUCAAGUUUGACAAAUUAUUCAAUCCUGAAAUUCAAUCCCAAAUAUUGAUUAGUUAUAUAUAUUCAUCGUAUGAUAAAAUCAAACUUGAACAUACAUUGAUUUUUAAAUCAAGGAUGAAAGAUUUCUCAUAUGAAACAAAAUGCUAUUCUUCAAAGAAUUCCCACUUAAAUCAAGAGUUUCCAAGUUAUUGAGUCUUGAAAGCAAUUGAAAACCUGAUAUAUAUAUUUACUUGUUAAUUGUUUUUUCUUUCUUAGCCAUAUGAAAAUUUUACUAAAGCAAAAGUGGAAUUACGACGGAUAAAAAGAAUGGAAAACUAGGUACCAAGCCUAGAAGACCAUCCUCAAACUCCACUAUACAAAUAAAAACUAACAGCAGACCAAACUUAAUUUACCUCUUUGAUGACCUGAUCCUUCAAAUUUGUUGAUUGAUAGAUCUAAAUACCGGAGAGAUGAAAGCUCACUCAAAGAUAACAAAAUGCUAUCAUUCAAGUAAUUGAAACUUAAGUCAAGGAUCUCCAAAUUACUCAAUGUGGAUGAUAGUUUUCCAAAGCCUAUAGAAAUAUUCUUUUAAAUAUAUACAAGUUAGUGACUUUUCUUCCAUAAAAUAAAAUAAAAUAUAAGUAAUUGCAAAUUAACGAUGGUAAGAGUAGUGGGAUAAUAAAAGAUGUAAUUAAGGAAAAACUAGAGGCACGACCUUCAUUUUCAAGGUUACCACUUAUGGCAUUCCCCCGCAAAUAAAGACUCUUCAAUUCCUCAAAGGGAAGAAACAUAGAGGUAUUGAGAUACCAGGCAUUGAGAUUCCUAUUAUCCGUUUUGUAUCCCAUACUGUCAAACCAUCUUGUAGAAUUAAGGGAGAGUUGUAUGAGUCUCCUAGUGGUGGUGUUACACUCAACUCUUUCCCAUUUACAACAAUCUGAACCCUUCACCUCAACCCAACUUUGCAAUUGAUUUUGAUAAUUGAAGAAAGGCUUGAGAUGCAAGAGAGCGAUUCUCUCAUGCUCCAAACAAGCAUCAGUAGUACACCAUCUGCAUCCUUCUAACACCAACAACAUUACUGCCAUCCUAAUAAGCCUUAACCAUUUCCACUCCAUCAUCAUCAUCUCUCUGUUUUCACUUCUCUCUCAGUUAUAUGUUACUUUUUGUUAACUUCUAUAUGUAAAUAAUCUAAAGCAGCCUAACCUUCUUAUUUAUAUACAAGCAGAACAUACUGGAUCCCACUAAUUCACUAUAAUGUAAAAAUAAUAUAUAAUUAAUUAAUUCCUCAAAAAUUGGAUCAAAAUCUAGGCUUUUUAUUUACGUAAAUUCCUUAUUGCAAAAACUCCUGGUGGAAAUUCGUUAGGAAAGGAUGAAUGGACCACAAGAAUGUUGAUGUUAAUCUUGAAAAACGAAUGGCCAAAAAAAUAUGAAAAGUGAGAGGUGGACAUAAAAUCUUGUGGUUGGGGUUGCAAAAGUCUUCAUGUGGCUUUCUUGUGAGCUUCAUUUAUACCCUUCUUACACAUAUACAAACUUAGUCUUGACUUGGCUUUAUUAAUGGAAAAUUUAGGUCUUCAUUUUUGGUUUCAUUCAUGGAAAUUUUACUUCUUUGAUUUUGAUUUUGCUUUUAUUCUUGCACAUUUUAGGUUUUGAUUUUGAAAAUUUAGUUUUUUUCAUCUCUAUUAUUAUAAAAUUUCUUGAUUUAAUUAAUAUCAUGAGUUAAUUUAAUAUUUUAAAAAAUAAAAUAUUACAUUCACUAUUUUUAAAAAAAUAGGAGUAACUAUAAAAUUUAAUUAUUUAUAUAAUAUUUUUAUAAAAAAACUAUUUAUUUCUACUAGACCACUACUUUAAAACUAUCAAUUAUCAUAUAACUUCUCUUUAAUAAUUCACUAUUCUUUGAACAUUCAUUAGUUUUUGAAACAUAAAAUUUAUAAAUAAUUAUUUUUAAAAUGACUUGAGUUUUACUUGAAUCAUUUUUGUAAUUAGUUAAUUAAAUUGGGUUAUUUUUAAAAAAAAUCCUCUUAACUAAUAGCAAAAAAAAAAAAAGAAAAAAAAAAGCCAUCAUGUAGAAAAUUCUGGUUUGUUGGAAAGAUAAAGACUUGCACCAUUACUUUAAAUUUUGAAAUGUUCAACUUGAUAUUGACAUCUGAUAAUAUGUACAAAUUUCUCAUUGUUUUGAAUUUUAGUGAUAUUACACAUAUGAUAAUAUGUUUGUCACACCAAAUUUUGAAAUAGUAGAACUUAAUGAAUUUAACAAAUACUUAAUGAAUUUAAGAAAUAUCUAAAAUAUCAAAUUAAAGUCUAGGAAUUAAAUCUACAACUUCAGUAAAGUACAAGAACUAUUGUAGAAUUAAACCUUUAUAUAAUAAUUUCCUUCUAUGAACCACAAUUCAAGUGCACCCCACAAGCAACAUUAAAAAAUUGGCAUGUGUCUAUUUUUUUAAAAAUAUUUAUUUUUUUAAUAUUAUAUACUACACCUCUAUAGGAUACGUGUCAAUCCUUUAACUCUCCUUAUGGAAUUUAAAAACUCCACUAACAAUGUACCAAAUAUUAAUCCUAAUUAUUAUACUAUUCAUGGAUAAAGAUAAAAUAUAAUAUUUGCUUAAAAAUCUCAAUUAUAUAUAUUUGGUCACCCAUUGUGAUGUAAUAUAGCACCGUCUACAAAAUAGUUGGAGGAAAGUGUUAAGAAAAUAUCAUUACAUAUAUCAACAUUCGCAUAAUUCAUUGCAUUAACUUUCAAAUGUUAACUAUUGACUUCUGCGUCAACUUUGAGCUUAUAUAGGUCCCCCUCAUGGAAAUUGAGAAAAACAAAUUAAUAUGUAUAUUCUUGUGGGUGGAAAUUUAGUGGAGAUGCCCAUCAUCUUUCCUAAUUAAUAAAAAUGAAGACUUAGAAAAUGUGCAAUCAUAAUCCUAGUCGUCGUUAUGGCCCCAAGAAUAGUUAUCUUAAUUUGUCUCUCUUCAGGAUUAAAGAUAAAAAAUAAAUUUUAUAAAGUUAGAACUAUAAUUUUAUAAUUAUAUUAACAUAUAAUUUCAUAAAAUUUUAAAAAUGUAUCUUUUAAUUUUUUAAUUAAAUUGAUAAUUCGUUAACUCAUAAUAUUAUUUUAUUUUUCAAAAUAUUUACGAGAACGAGUUCGUAUUCUAUUGUGUGGAAAAUUUUAGUACAGAUUAUUAAGUUAUUGGAGAAGCCAAAUCCAACUUGUUUGACCAAGAAAGUUUUUGUCGCGUGGAAAAUGGACAUUACCAUUUCCUUGAAUGACCUUCAAUUUAAUGUAUUCACACCAAAUUUCAUUAAUGAGUAAAACAAAUAAUGAAUAAUAAUGAAAAUUGGAGGAAAUUGUUAAGAAAUUAUUAUUACAUAUAUCAACAGUCACAUAAUUCAUUGUAUUAACUUUCAAAUGUUGACUAUUGACUUUUACAUCAACCUUGAGCUUAUAUAGGCCCCCCUCACGGAAAUAAUCUCAUAAUUAAUGCCUGAAAAAUUAUUAUACAUCAAUUUACAGUUUUAAUCCCUAGACUUACUCAAUUGAAUUAAAAUUUUAGUUUUUAUUAUUUAAUUUGAACUAUUACUUUAGAUUUUGAAAUGUUCAACUUGAUAUUACAAAUUUCUCAUUCUUUUGAAUUUUAGUGAUAUUACACCUAUGAUAAUAUGUUUGCCACACCAAAUUUAGAAAUAGUAGGACUUAAUGAAUUUAAUAAAUAUCUAAAAUAUCAAAUUAAAGUCUAGAAAUUAAAUCUACAACUUCAGUAAAGUACAAGAACUAUGGUAGAAUUAAACCUUUAUAUAAUAAUUUUCUUCUAUGAACCACAAUUCAAGUGCAUCCCACAAGCAACAUUAAAAAAUUAAAAUGUGUCUAUUUUUUUAAAAUAUAUUUUUUUUAAUAUUAUAUACUACACAUAUAUAGUAUACGUGUCAAUCCUCUAACUCUACUUAUGGGAUUUAAAAAAUCCAGCAACAAUGUACGAAAUAUUAAUCCUAAUUAUUAUACUGUUCAUGGAUAAAGAUAAACUAUAAUAUUUGCUUAAAAACCUCAAUUAUAUACAUUUGGUGACCCAUUGUGACGUAAUAUAGCACCAUCUACAAAGUAGUUGGAGGAAAUUGUUAAGAAAAUAUCAUUACAUAUAUCCAACAGUCACAUAAUUCAUUGCAUUAACUUUCAAAUGUUGACUAUUGACUUCACGUCAACUUUGAGCUUAUAUAGGCCCCCUCCUCAUGGAAAUAAUGUCACAAUUAAUGCUUGAGAAAUUAUUAUACAUCAAUUUAUAGUUUUAAACCCUAUACUUACUCAUUUGAAUUAAAAUUUUAGUUUCAAUUUGAUAUAUUUUGUUCCUCUUAUUAAUAUUAAUGUUAUAGAUUUAUUAAAAUAACUAACAUUAUUAAUUCUCUAACAUUUAAAAAUUAAAAUUAUGUGGUUAUUAAAAUUAUGAUGCUAAAUUGAGAAUUAAAAAUUAUCAAGUUUUAAAUGAUCUCGGGAAUUAAGAAGAGAUCGUGUCCUAACUUAUUGGGCAUGAUCCUUUUUUUUCUCAAGUUUUAAAUGAUCUCAGGAAUUAAGAAAAGAUCGUGUCCUAACUUACUGGGCAUGAUCCUUUUUUUUUUAAAAUCUAAGAUAGCUAAAUAUUUUUUAAAUAAGUAAAUUUUUGGCAUUCAUUCGCGCAUCGGGAAUUCAAGACAUUGUGUCCUAACUUACUGGAUAUAAUUCUCUUUCUCGAUUAAUGUGAAUUAUGGCUUUUUCCCGAAAAUUUUCAACAUUUCAAUAAAGGAUCGUAUUUUAAAUCUCUUUAAAGUUUUCAAUCUUCGAUACUAAGACAUUAAUUAAUCAACUAGGUACCAAUUUUGGGCGUAACGAGGGUGCUAAUCUUUCCUCGUACGUAACCGACUCCCAAACCUGUUUUUCUGAAUUUCGUGGACCAAAAUUAUUAUUUUAUUAAAAUUAAAUUGUUUAUUAAAAAUAACCACUUUUCAAGGUGGCCCGAUCACACCUUAUCAAAAAGGAUUGGUGGCGACUUCCAUAUUCGUUUUCAUUUUUUAAAAUCCAAGUCGACCCCGUUUUCACAAAAAAAAAAAGUGUCAACAAUUAUAUUAAUAUAUAAUUUCAUAAAUUCUUUAAAAAAAAUUGUAUCUUUUAAUUUUUUAAAUUAAUUUAGUAAUUCAUUAACUCAUAAUAUUAAAUUUUUUAUUUUUCAAAAUAUUUACGAGAACGAGUUCGUAUUCUAUUGUGUCGAAACUUUUAGUACAGAUUAUUAAGUUAUUGGUGAAGCCAAAUCCAACUUGUUUGACCAAGAAAGUUUCAGUCGUGUGGAAAAUUUUAGUUUUGUGGAAAAUAUAGAUUAACUUCUAUAUAUGUAUGUAAUCUAAAGAAGCCUAAGCUUCUUAUUUAAUUAUAUACAAGCAGAAGAUAUUGCAUCCCACUAAUUCACUAUAAUAUAAAAAUAAUAUAUGAUUAAUUAAUUCCUCAAAAAUUGGAUCAAUCUAGGCUUCUUAUUUACGUAAAUUCCUUAUUGCAAAAACUCUCGAUGGAAAUUCGUUAAGAAAGGAUGAAUGGACCACAAAAAUGCUUAUCAACUCUUGACUUUGGCGUUCAAUGCUAAGUUCAUUUUAAAAUUCUUUCAUGGAGAGAAGAUGGGAUGACAAGAAUGAUAAGUUUUAAGUCAUUUAAGUUUACACAAAAUUUUAAUCACUCACAAAAAAUCAGUCUUGAUAUUCUAUUAAAAAAUUUAAACAUGGCUUAACGUUGAUUUUAAAUCUAAUGUCGAUGUCAAUCUUGAAAAACGAAUGGCCAAAAAAAUAUGAAAAGUGAGAGGUGGACAUAAAAUCGUGUAGUUGGGGUUAUAAAAUUCUUCAUGUGGACAUAAUAUAUUUUUUAUGCCCUUCUUACACUUAUAUAAAGUUAGUCUUGAUUUCGCUUUAUUAAUGGAAAUUUUAGUUCUUCAUUUUUUGUUUUAUUCAUGGACAUAAUAUUUAUUUUUAUUUUUUAUUUUUGUGUUAUGGUCUAUGUUCGAGGUUUAUGGCUAUCCCCUUUCAACAACGUCGUCUCAACGGUUCAAACAUACACUUGCAGGUAAAAUAAUACUUUUUAAAAUCACAAAUAUUUGAAAUAAUAUAUUGCAGCUAUAUAAAUGCUUUCUUGUUUAAGAUACUAAUAAAGUAAUUAACAAAGUAAUUAUUAUACCUAUAAUAAUUCAAAAUGCCACUUGUUAUCUAAUGAAGUAUAGGGGUGCAAAUGAGACAUCCGUACCCGCAAGCUAUUCGAAUUCGGCUCAAAAAAUUUUGAAUUUGAUUCGGUAAUUAUUGCGCCGAGCUAUAGGUCGAUCCGGAUUCAAGCUUAGUAAUACUUGACUCGAGUAGUUUGGGAGCCUUAUUGAACUUUUCAUAUUUUUAUAUUAUUAGAUUACAUUAUUGCCUUUAAUAUAUAUUGUUAACCCUAAGUUUAAUUAUUGAGGCGAGCUCGAACUCGAGUACAAAAAUUGAUAAACAGAUUUAAUUUCGAGCUUAAAAAUAUAUGUUCAAUCGAGUAUCAAGCUUUGAAUUUCAAAUUAAACUUGAGUUUAACCGUAUUGAGUUCGAAUAGAUUCAAUUACACCCUACAAUAAAAUAUACCAACAAAACCUACAUUCCAUAUUUGCUUAAAAACUUUGCUGUAAAUUUUAUAUAUGUGUGUGUUUAACGUGAGUUCCAUCUAUGUCCAACUUGAUGACGAUGAAAGUUCCUAUGGUGUAAAAAGUUUUAGUUAUGUGGAAAAAUAAGGUCUUCUCUUCACACGUUUAAUAUGCUUACUUGUGACGGUCAUUUCGGGCUUGACAUCAAUUUUCAAAAUGUUCUAAUUGGUGGAAAACUUACGUCUGCUUUUAUGAUUCUUUCAAGUCAAUUGGAGAAUGCCUCUGUUACACUUCAAAAGAAGUAGAUUUUGAACUCAACAUGAACCUGUGAGAUUUGAUGCCUAAAAUAUAGGUAUAAGGUUUCAAUUCAAGGAAAUGUUGGAAGUCCAGGAAAUUUCUUAGUCUCCUCUCUUUGGAUGUUUUUGAACAAAAAUGUUUUAAGUCUCUUCCGAUGCUAAACUUCUGAUUGGUCGUCGGUUCACUGACCCUUUGGUACACAGCAAUAUGAAGCAUUGGCCAUUCAAGGCCAUUGCUGGUCCUGGUGAUAAGCCAAUGAUUGUACUACUAUAGAUUUGAAAUGAUUGUACACAUCUGAUCGGCUCUUUGUAAAUUUAAAUCUUACAAAUUCGGAUAAUAUUCGAAUUUAAAUAUUUCAAUUACUAUCUGCAAUAGAUUAAAAACAAACGUGAUUAUCAAUCCUUGGAUAUCCACAUACAGAUUAUGCAAUACAAUCUCUUAAGGCAUAUAGAAUUUGGGUCUUAACCAAGCUAUGUUGCUUAAAAGCUUGCUAAAAGCACCCCUAACAAAGGGGUAAAUAAAUAAAAUAUCAAGCACCAGUUAUCAAAGCAGAUUGACCACCUUAUAUCUAUGUAUGCUACUACAAAACUUGCACCAUUAAAAUCUCAAGCUGGUAAUUGGAGCUUCAUGUUAUUCUUGCAGCUGCAGGCAUAAUAAUCAAAUAAGUUGCAAUCAUUCACAUAGGUACUAUGAAGUGCUUUCCAGAGCGUGAGAAACCUCUGGAAGUAAUAGUAGAAGAAAUCAGCAUAAAGCAAUGUCUGGACAAGACCGCAAAUCCAAGCUGAUCAAAGGCAUCAAUCAUGUAAACUAGGUGUUAGAAAUAACAAAUAUAGCAUAGAAUAUAACAAAUAAUGAAUAACAAUGAAUAGUACACGUUACCAUUUCCUUGAAUGACCUUCAAUUUCUCCAUUGAGAUAUAGUAAGAGGGAGUGGAAUAGAUGUAAGGUAAUAUUUGAUGUAUUCGGUAAAUGAAUAAUAACACCACAUUCCAUUAAUGAGUAAAACAGAUAAUGAAUAAUAAUGGAAGUUUUAUAAAAUAAAAAUAAAUUAAAUCAUAUACAUAUAAUGUAUUAAAUCUUAUUCGUGAAGUUCACAAUGAACAAAAUACUAAUCCAUAAUGGAGAAAAAUAACCUAAACUUUAAACAUUUGUUCAUUACUAUAAACAUAUGUACAACUUUUUAAAGGUUUUAUAUAAACUAUUAAAAGGUAUAAACACUCUCAUAAAAAUAUAUUAUUAAGUACGUCUUCUUUUACUAGGAAAGUUCCUAUCCUGUAGAAAAAUGUAGUUUUGUGAAAAAAGGUCUUCUAUGCACUAAUUUGUGGCAAUCACAUGGGGUUUGGGAAUUUCAAUUUUGAUAGCCAACCGAGAUUCACUAAAUUUAAAUUUUAUUAUGAUUAAUUACGCUCUUCGUUUUGGAGAAAUAGGUAAUCACAACAACUAAUUUAAUUAAAUGUAAUUUAAUAAUUAAUUUUUUUAUAAUUUAAUUACAUUAACUAUAUUUAAAUUUAAUAUUUAGUAUUUAUAUUUUAAUUUAACAUAAUUUAAUUCACUUACUUUUAUAAUAUUAUUAGUUCGUCUAAAUAGUUGACACCUUUAAUUAAUUCUUAUUAAAAUGUUAAAAAUGUUUAUACUUAUUUUCCAUGUUAAAAUAUAUAUUUUUUUGUGCUUUUAAAAACAAAAUUUCACAAUAUCAUUUCCCGAUAUAAAAAUUAAAUCUCAAAUUAAUUUAUAUUUUUGUAUUUUUUUAUAACUAAUGUUAUCAAGAACUCUUAAUAGUGCAACUGAUUCCACCAUAAUAUUUAUAUUCUUUAAAUAUGAUUUACAAUUUAUGUUUGGAGUUCGUGACUGUCAUUCUUAAUAAUGUCAUUUCUAAUGUUCGAACAUGCAUCUCCCCUUGAGAAUGCAAUAUUCAUUACUAUUGCACCUAAUUAUUUUGAUAAUUUAAUUUUAAAUAUUGACAUAAAAAUAUUUUUAAAUAUAUUAUUAAUAAAUUUAAUUAAGAUUAUAAAACUUGAGGUUUUUUUUAAUUCUUCAAAAAUGUCAUUUAUUUAUUUUUGGCCAAAAAAUGCCAUUUAUUUAACUCUAAUAUGUGCUUUUAUGUUUUAUUUUAAAAAUAUAUGAAAUUCUAAUGAUAGUUAUAUUACAUAUUUUUUAAUUUUAAAUAUCAUUGUUCUUUUAUAAUUUGUUUCAAGUAUGAAAUGAUAUAAUUUUUUUUAGUAUCUAUCACAAUAACCUUUACUAAGAAUUGAAACUAAAUUUCUAAAUUUUGAACAAAAAUGAAAGUUUAAUUAAAUGAUACAUUGGUGGAUUCAUUACCCCUCAUAUCUAGUUCCCUUAAGUUGAUAAAUGUUUCCAAAUCUAGGAAAACAAAAAACAACAAAAUCAACUUCAUUAUAUUCUCUUCCAACAUUAUUAUAUUCUUGUUAAAAAUCUAAUAUUUUUACCUUUCAAUCCAUUGCCCCAUAUGCUCAAAGAUUUCAAAUUUGAAAGCUUCUUAAGGGAUGCAAAUACACUAGUAUUGAACUGAUUUCCAUCUAAAUAAAGCUCUUCCAAGUGGGUCAACUCUAAUUUUCGACCACCAUCAAUAAAAGAUUUAUAUAAUUUCAUCACUAAAAUGAAUUGGCAUAAACUUUUAUUAUAUAUAAGAAUUUAGGUAAUUGGUUAAAUAUAAAUGCAUACCAUUUAAGGAUUGAAAGCUUUCAAUUUCAUUCCAACUUAAAUCGAGUUUCUUCAAAUUUGUUAAAUUGCUCAAUCCUAUACAUAUCCUCAUCCAAUUCAAAAUCUGAAAUUAGUAAAGAUAAAAUUGCACAUUGACCCCCUAAAAUUGAUAAAAAUUUAAUUUAAUUCUUUAAAAAUUAUAAACAUAUGUAGCGACCUAAAAAUUUCGGCACGGGCGCUAGUCGAAGUAAUUAUUGUAAAUUUGAAAACUGAAUCUCGAUUUUAUUUGAAAAAGGAGUCGCCACCGAUAUUUUUUCUAGGUGUGAUCGGACACCUACAAAAUUCUCUUUUUAGAAGAAAAAAUUAUUUUUAAACUUUUCUAAAAAAGAGGUAAUUUUAGGUCCACGUAAAAAUCCAGAGAAAAUUAGGGUCCGGGAGUCGGUUACGCGCGAGGAAGGUAUUAGCACCCUCGCAACGCCCAAAAUUGGUAUCUCGUUAAACGCGUGUUGUCUUCAUUUUCAAAAAUACGAGUUCAAUUUAAUAUUAGUCGUGAUCCGAUUGAACACGAGAAUUUUAAAGCGCAACAACUUUUUCUUUUUUGAAAACACGAAAAUUUUAAAAUACAAGAAUUUUAGAAACACAAAACUUUUUUUUUAAAAAAAACACGAAGAAUUUAAAACACGAGAUUUUUUAUUUUUAUUUUUGAAAACACGAUUCUUCUUUUUGAAACACGAAAAUUUUUAAAACAGAAAAUUUGUUUUUGAAAACAUAAAUUUUUUGAUAAAAUACGAAACACGAGAAAUUUUGAAGACAUGAAAAUUUUUGAAACACAAUUUUUCUUUAAAAAAUACCGUAUUUAACACGAAUCGAUGAUAUUCAUCCCGAUAUGGCGAUGAAACCAUCGAAUUAGUGUUAACUCAAUUCAAUUUAAUAUUUAAUCGGGAUUCUAAUAAAACACGAGAAUUUUUAUUAAAAUACGAGGAUUUUUGAAUAUUUUUAUUUUUAAAAGGGUGUCCCGAAUUUAACACGAGCUAUCGAUAUCCACCCAACAUAGCGAUGAAUUCGAUGACUUGAUGCUAAAUCGGUUCGUUGCCUUAUGCAUUAAAAUAUUAUUAUUUUUAAAAAAAAUAUGCAAUUAAAAUGACAUAAUAAUAUUUAUGAAAACUGUUUUAAAGCAUACUAAUUUAAAUUAAAUAAAACACCAUUUAAAUAAAUAAAAUAAAAUAAAAUAGAUUAAAAAGAAAAAAAGAAAAAAAUUACCCAAAAGCCCAAAGUUAUGGGCUUAAAUUUUGGGCCUCCCCUUUUAUUAUUUUUUUUGCUGUUGGGCUNNNNNNNNNNNNNNNNNNNNNNNNNNNNNNNNNNNNNNNNNNNNNNNNNNNNNNNNNNNNNNNNNNNNNNNNNNNNNNNNNNNNNNNNNNNNNNNNNNNNNNNNNNNNNNNNNNNNNNNNNNNNNNNNNNNNNNNNNNNNNNNNNNNNNNNNNNNNNNNNNNNNNNNNNNNNNNNNNNNNNNNNNNNNNNNNNNNNNNNNNNNNNNNNNNNNNNNNNNNNNNNNNNNNNNNNNNNNNNNNNNNNNNNNNNNNNNNNNNNNNNNNNNNNNNNNNNNNNNNNNNNNNNNNNNNNNNNNNNNNNNNNNNNNNNNNNNNNNNNNNNNNNNNNNNNNNNNNNNNNNNNNNNNNNNNNNNNNNNNNNNNNNNNNNNNNNNNNNNNNNNNNNNNNNNNNNNNNNNNNNNNNNNNNNNNNNNNNNNNNNNNNNNNNNNNNNNNNNNNNNNNNNNNNNNNNNNNNNNNNNNNNNNNNNNNNNNNNNNNNNNNNNNNNNNNNNNNNNNNNCUCUUUUUACUUAAUUAUUUAUCAAUUUACACUAGUUCGAGUUUUUGUAACAGUAUCAUGGAGACUUAUGUACUAGGAGUUAGAUUGUAUUUUGCCUCUUUUACUCAAAAAAUGAGUAAAUUAAUCCUUGUACGUUAAAUCAAUGAGCAAACUAGUCCUUUUAGUUAACAUUUUCAUUCAUUUUUACUAUUAAAAAUUGGAGUGACUAACGAAAUAACCAGAUAGUUACACAUUACAUGCCAAGGGUGAAGCCAGAAAAUUCUUUUAGGGGGCCGAAAUUAAAUUUUAAUUUUUAAUAGCUUAUAUCUUUAUAAUUUUUAAAUGAUUAAAUCAAAUUUUUAUCAUUUUUAGGAGGGGACUAAAGUGUAAUUUUAUCUUUACUAGUUUAAAUUUCUAAAAUUUCUAAAAAGCCUAAAUGGAUAAUUUUCAAUUUUAGAGGGGUCAGGGCCCUUGCCAGCCUCCCUAGAUACGCCACUGUGGCAUGCCACAUGUACCUCAUGUCAGCAUACAUGAACCCGUUUUUAACAGUUAAAAUGGAUGAAUUUUUUAGUAGAAGGAUUAAUUUUCUCAUUUUUUGAGUAGAGGAAAGAAAAUGCAAUCCAAUGCCUAAUACAAGGGCCUCUAUGUCUUUCAUUAUUACUCAAUUAUUUGUCAUCAAAAGUUGUAUAUGUUCAAAUAUAAAUACAAUAAAACACAUAUGUAGUUAUUAAACAUAUCAUGCUAAUGUCAUUGUUUCUUCUUUAUCCAAAAUUAUUGGACUUAUAAAAUUCUUGAGAAUAAGAAAACCCCAUUAAACUUCCUUUUAAGUAAAACGUGUGUUCAAAAUCUUGAACUAGGUUUAUGCAGCAAUAGAAAUUCACAAGCUGUUUUUUUUAUACAUGAGAUGUGAAUCUCAAAAUUUUAGGGUUUCUGAUCUCAUAUAUUUUGGGUCCAGAUUUAAUGCUAAGGAUUUGUUGAGAAAGUUGAAAGGGAAGAAAAUGAUGUUCAUUGGGGAUUCACUAAGCUUGAAUCAAUGGCAGUCUCUAACAUGCAUGUUGCAUGCAUUUUUGCCACAAUCAAACUACACUGUUCACAGAGAAGGGAACCUUUCGACCUUUUAUUUGCCUGUGAGUUGCCAAAUCUAGUAGCUAUUUUAUUUCCUUCUUAUAAUUAAAACUUUUCAAUGUCACCUUUAGAAGGUAGCUGCAUGAAUCAAAUGAGUUAAAUCAAAUAGACUAAUUACUAUUGUUUGGCAAAAAUACCGAGUAGACCUUUUUAAAAAUAGUUAUUAUACUUUUAUUACAACAAAAUAAGCAGGGGUGAACCUAAAAUUUUUUUUAGCAGGAUAGAAAUUUAAUUAUAAUUUUUUCAUAGAUCAAAAUAUAAAUUUAUUAUGAAUUAAUUUAUAAUUUUAUCAUUUUUAAAGGGAUUAAACAGAAAUCAUUUCAUUUUUAUGGGGGUUAAAGUGUAAUUUUACUAUAUAUUAAUUUAUAAUUUCUUUAUUUAUAAGACUAGAAAAAAUUUUCAUGGGGGCCAAAGUACAAUUUUACUAUAUAUUAAUUUAUAAUUUCUCUAGUUAUAAAAGAACUAAAUUAAAAACUUUUCAUUUUUUAGGGGGGCCAAGGCCCUGCCUACCCCUUUCAGAUUAUUCGCCUCUGAUAAUAAGCCAUUAAACUUUAAUUUAUAACCGUUACCAUUAAUUUUUAACUUAUAUCCAAAUAACCCCUUACCAUUUUAUUUAUACUCAAAAUAAAAUUUAACAUAAAUAAAGGUGAGAGAGGGGCCUUGGCCUAUUGGUUAAAAUAGAAAAUUUUCAUUUAGGUCCAAAGGUAAAGCCAAAAAAUCAUUUUAGGGGGUUGGAAAUGAAUAAUAAAUUUUUGGGGAGACUAAUAUUGCAAUUUUAUCAUUAUAUCAACUUAUAAUUUCAUAAAUUUUGAAAAGAUUAAAAGACAAAUUUAUCAAUUUUUGGGGUUGUCUACUCUCCUGAGUUGGUCUCUAUUGAAAAUUAAUAAUUCCAUAAAAUAUAGCUUUCCUAAAUUUAUAAUUUUAGCUCGACCCUAAAUAUAAAAUUCUUUGCUUUACCCCUGAUAUUAAAUCAAAAGAUAGAAACUUAUUAUGUUACUAUAAGAAUAUAGGGAUUUAUUUAGCAAAAGCAAACUAUUUCAAGGACUUUUUUGGUAGUUUGCACUUAUAGUUGGUAUUAGUUAGAAUUAAGUGCCAAGAUUAAGUUUCCUUUGAGAUAUAUAGUUGGUUAAGCAAUUUAAUAUAAGUGGAAAUUUAGACCCCUAAGUUAUACCCUUCAUGCAUUUGGACAACUGUGUUGAGCCAAAAAAAAAAUUGCAGGAGUAUGAAGUUUCGUUGAUGCUAUCACGCAAUGCAUUUCUUGUGGAUAUUGUCCAAGAAAAGAUUGGCACCGUUCUGAAGCUUGAUUACAUUAAAAACGGCGAAUCAUGGAAAGGAUAUGACUUUCUCAUCUUCAAUACCUGGCAUUGGUGGCUCCACACUGGAAGAAAACAACCGUAAGCAAAACAUAAUUUCAGCAAUUAAAACCCGAUUUUUUAAUUGCAUCCCGAGUAGAUUUGUAAACAAAUACAACACUCGAAUUGGGUUGGGUUUGAACCGGAAUAUCAUUCCUAUAGUUUUGAUUAGACCUGUAGUUUAAAAGUUAAUUAUUUAUUUAAGUUUGAAAAUUCGUUUGAAAUUUAGAAGAAUAUUUAGAUAAAAAUAUUAGACUUCAUAAAUGAGCUUGAGUAAAAAAAUUAAACCCGUUUUUAAUAUGGGUUAAGCUUAAGCUCAAAAAAGUUAAGGAUCCAGACAUGUUGAUGAACUUAAAAUGAAUUUGCGAUAACUAUUUACAAAUAUUAGUAUGUUGGAGCAAAAUUUUAAGCCAUUGUUUGGUCCAACUAAAUUUAGGCAAAUAUAAAGUGCGUUAAUAUCAUGCUUAAAAUUGAUUCAAACUGAUCCCAACCCAUAACCACUUCUAAUUCUGAUUAGUUUGACUCAACCUUUUUAUUCUUUUAAAUACUUAUAAAAUCUCUUAUCCAAUUAUAUUUAUAUUUGAGCAAAAAAUGAUGUAUGUAUGUAUGUAUGUAUGUAUGUAACUUGAAAAAUGAAUUGGAUAUUAGAUGGGAUUUCAUUGAAUCAAGAGGAAAGGUGAAGAAAGACAUGGAUCGUAUGGCUGCAUAUAGAGAGGCACUAAGAACAUGGUCAAAAUGGGUGGAUUCCAAUGUUAACACUACAACUACCCAAGUGUUUUUUCAAGGCAUUUCUCCGACUCAUUUCAAGUAAGCUUUAGCUCUUCUCUUCUCUUCUCUUACCAUUUGCAUUAACUUCCUUGUUCUUAUUUUACUUAAAAGAAAUGGAAUUAUGAAAAAAAUUGAAAGCCAUUUUUUUUCCAAUAGAACUUAAUUCAUUUUAAUCCCAUCAGAUUUGGUUCAAAUUAGAGGUGUUUAUAAGUUGGUGAGUCAAUCGGCUUAGUUCGCUUUAGACUGCACUUGAAGUUAAGUUUUCAAGUUUCGAGCCAGAUUAGCCUUACUUGUUUUAUUAGUCGAAGAAAACUAUUUUUAAUUGUUUUAUAAACAAUGAAAAUGGACCAUUUAGGUAAGCUUAAGUUUGGAAAAUUUUUGAAAUUGGGCUUAAACUUGACUUGGAAAAUGAACACUUAUAGUUGAAAGAAACUCAUUUGUCAUAAAGCACAAAUACUUUUAUGAUUAGAGACGUUAAUGGGCUUGAACUUAAAUUUUCUUUUUGGUUUAAGCUUGGUUCGAGUUGAAAACUCGUAUUGUUUAAAAUAUUUCUAAUAUAUUAUUGUUUAAAAUAUUUCAUAAAUAUUUUCAAAAUGAAAUAUGUGUAAGAAUCAUAAAUUCAAGCUGUAGUGUUUCCUCAUAUAAAUUAUGAAUCACUCUAAAUAUCUCAAAGAGAAAAUGACAGUUCAUUGACAUCUAUAUAAAGAUUUUUUUUUUUAAAAUAAAAAUCAACAAGUCUCUUACGUUAUCCAUAUAUAAUAUGUGGAUGUACAAUUAUAAACUUCACCUCAAACAAUUUGGUAUUUUGAUCCACAAUUUUGACAGUGGCAAAGAAUGGAAUGGUACCAAAUCAACAACUUGCACACAUCAAAUCAGACCGGCUACCGAUUUAACGUACGAAAGUGAUCCACCUCCGGAAGUGACGAUCGUAAAGGAAGUGCUAAAAAACAUGUCGACGCCGGUGGUUUUGCUCGACAUAACCAGAUUAUCACAGCUGAGGAAAGAUGGUCACCCAUCAAUUUAUACUGGUCUAAAAGGAAAUGAUUGUAGUCAUUGGUGCCUAGCUGGUGUUCCUGAUACAUGGAAUGAAAUCUUAUAUGCAAUUCUUACAAGUAGGAAAACUUAAUUCAAGAUUAUAAUUUUUUUUUCAAUUUAAUGUAUUUAGUUAAUAAAAAUUAAUUUCCCAUUAAUAGAUGAAGAAUUUUAAAUUUAAUAACAUAGGUGUAGCCAUCAAUUUAAUGUAUUUUUUACCCGAACCCAAAUUAAGUCAAGCUCAAACCAAUGGAAAACCUACAAUAUUAUUCAUAAUAAUAUUGAAACUUUAGAUUUUUUUAUUAGUAUUAUAUAUUUUAAUAAUUAAUUUUAAAUAUUUUUAUUAAUAAAUAGUAUUCAGGUCGCGCCAGCCCAAUUUAAAAGAUAUUUAACUCAAUAUAAAUUCAACAUAUUAAAUGAAUAAUUCAAAUGUCAAAAUGAGCAAAGGAAAAUCUAGAGUUGUAAGCUUUGCAACUUUAAAUUGGACAUGAGAGUUUCUUUUAUUGGAUACAUGCCACAUUAUUUUUUAACAAAAUUCCUUUAUUUUAUCAAUUGAAUUUAAAUUAUUAUAUUAAUAAAAUUAUUUAAUUAUUUAAUUGUGUUUCAACCUUUUACAUAAAAUAAAAUUUUCUCUUUUAACUUUUUCAUCAUUUAAUUUUUCACUUUUUAAAAUCACCCUCAAUUUCAAAUAUAAAUUUACUUGUGUAAAAAAAAAUCUAAAUCUGUUAAUUGCAUCUAGAACUUUUCAGAGUUGGUCUUGUCAAAAUUUUAAGUCUAUUUGCUAGGCCCAAGUUUGGCCUAAAAAAUAGACUUAAAAUUUUGUCUAAAUUUAACCCGGAUAAAAUAUUAAAAUCAGGCUCGACUCAACUCACCUGAAUUAAUUUUUCUAUAAAAAUAUUAAAAAUAAUAGGUCAAAAUACUAAAAAUAUUAAAAUAAAUAUUUUUUAAUAAUUUAAAAAUAAAUUUAAAAAUAUUUAUACUUAGAUAAAAUUAACAAUAAAAUAAUUUUUUAAUGUUUAUUAAAAAAUGGGCCGGACCGGGCUCGGGCUUAUGAUAUUUUUCCCGGGCCGGGCCUGGAAAAAUAUCAGGCCCAUAUUUCGAGCCGGGCCAAAAAAAAUUUCUGGGCCCGACCCGGCCCAUGGACAGGUCUAAUCUUAGACCUUUUCAGUGUUGGUCUUGUCAAAAUUUUAAGUCUGUUUGCUAGGCCCAGGUUUGGCCUAAAAAAUAGACUUAAAAUUUUGUCUAAUUUUGACCCGAAUAAAAUGUUAAAACCAGACUUAGACUCAACCCACUUGAAUUAAUUUUUUAUAUAAAAAUAUUAAAAAUAAUACGUCAAAAUAUUAAAAAUAUUAAAAUAAAUGUUUCCUAAUAAUUUAAAAAUAAAUUUAAAAAUAUUUAUACUUAGAUAAAAUUAACAAUAAAAUAAGAGUUAUAUAAUAUAUAAAUAAUAAUAAAAUAAUAGUAACAACAAGAAAAUAGUAAUUUUUUGUCUUUUUGUUAAUUCAUAUCGGACCGGGCUUAACCCGGUUGAGAACGGUACUUAUAUUUGUACAAAAAAAAAAUCAAAAAAAAAUGUGAACGGUACUUAACCCGGUUGAGUCGGAGCUCCAUGACCCGAACAGCAAUUUAUUUUUCAAUUCUUCUUCGUUACGCAAAAAGGAAAAAAAAAAAAACAGCUCAUGAAAAUGGCAUGGUCAAAUACUCUGCUUCAGAUUCACAUCAAAUCCCCUUCGAUCCCUUCUCUCCAUUUCCCACAUUCCCUCCCAAAAAGCUCCCCAUUCCUUCUUAAUCCUAACCCUAUAAAUCCCAUUCCCAGAUCCCUCAGAAUGCAAUUCCUUCACAGACCCAACGCUGUCCCACUCGUAUCAAGAGCCAUGGACAUCAUCCAAUCGUCUCCUCCCACGUGGCAAUCCGCAGUCCUCAGUAACCUCUUGAUCUUCGUCGUCGGCACCCCACUUUUAGUGGCGGGGCUUUCUCUCUCCGGAAUUUGUGCUGCGUUCUUGCUUGGCACUCUCACUUGGCGCGCUUUUGGCUCCCCUGGGUUUCUCCUCGUUGCUUCGUACUUCGUUAUUGUGAGUUGCUAAUAAUAUAUUAUGAAUUGUAGCUGAAUUAUGGGAAUUAAGUUAAAUUUUGGAAAUUGGGUUUUGAUUUUGUAUCCAUCUGGUAUUAAAAGUUGCUUGCUUUGGAGAAUUAGCUGUCAUUGUUUGGUAGUAUGGCAAGGAAAAUAAACUUAAUUUAUGUCGAAAGGUUACUUUUUAAUUAGUUAGCUAUUCAAGUUUGAUUAGUUGUAUUUAGAGAAAUUGAUUGUACUAGGUGAAAUGAGAUCAAAAGAUUAACAAAAGUUACUUGAUGGUUUCUAGCUUUUUAGCUGAAAUAAAGUCCUGUAUGAAAUGAUAUAAUAUUUUAGUUUUCUAUUAUGGCUUGUUUUCCUUGCAAAGUAUGAAUCUUGAAUUAGUUCCUGCCUCCCUCUUCUAAUUCUCCUUACCCAUUUCUAGUUGAAAGUUAAUUGAAAUUCCAUGUGAUUUUGUGUUAUAAUUCCAGUUCAUAAUCUGAAUGGAGACAAUAAAUUUGGAUGAAGGAGCUUUAAGCAGUGGGAAAAAUCCAUAAUAAUUUGUAAUUCUCUAAAUCUCUAAACAAUCUUACAUCUCUUUGUCAUGCCUUUCAAACAUAGUUGGUAUAACUAUGUUCAAUUGUCUUAGCUAUUGUUUAAUCAUUUUUAAUUUUUCAUUCCCCCUGCUCCCCCAAAAAAAAAUGUUUGUCUGAGCAAUGAGUCUUUCUCAAAAUCAAUUUCCAAGGCCAUUUUAUUUGAUUAUGACUUUGUGAGUAAAACAUGUUUGUAUUUGUUAGGGAACCGCAGUAACAAAAGUGAAAAUGGCUCAAAAGGAGGCCCAAGGGAUUGCUGAGAAGAGGAAAGGAAGAAGAGGACCUGGGAGUGUAAUUGGGUCCAGUGCUGCUGGUUGUGUAUGUGCUGUUCUAACAAUAUAUGGAGUUGGAGGAGAGGCAUUUACACGUCUUUGGCAACUUGGUUUUAUUGCUAGUUUCUGUACUAAGUUGAGUGAUACAGUGUCCAGUGAGAUUGGGAAAGCAUAUGGCAAAACAACGUAAGUAGUGCAUCUCUGUUUGUUAAUGUAUAGGCGCUUUAGAUUAACUGUAUUAAUAAUUCUCCUUAGUUCAUUCUAAAGAAAGGAUAUUUCAAAUCAAGUGGAAUUUAGAUCCCUUAUGGUUCUUGCUAUAUUCGAGCUCUAUUAUUGUCAUAUAUGCUGGUGAUAAAGGUCGCUUUGACAUCCUAUAUAGAAACAAAAUUUGUGAGUGUUAAUAUUGCCUCAAAUCUUUUUUUUUUUCUUCAAAGGUUUAUGUCAAUUGCUACUCUCUUUUUUUUUUACUGUUAAACUACACUUUAGAAUUGCAAAUAUAAAGUGUGUGAUGUGCCAAAAUGAACAGGUACCUGGUGACAAACUUUCAGAUUGUUCCUAGGGGAACAGAAGGAGCUGUCAGUGUUGAAGGAACUGUUGCUGGACUUCUAGCAUCUAUACUGCUUGCCACUAUUGGUUGUCUAUUGGGUGAGGUAGUACUUGCUAUGUACUCAUACUAUGUGAAUAAUUUGUUCUGCCAUUCAUGAUACCAUUUUUUUUUAAUAACAAGCAUUAUUGUGAUCAUUACAAAAUGUUUACACCUUGUAAGAACCUGGAAUUUUUUCUAGUCUCUGCAACAAUAGACUAAUUGGUGGGGUGGUGCCUAGAUGGAAUGAUUUUGCAGAUAUAAUUUGUUGAAGGUGUUUUUCAAAGGGAACUCUUAGCAAAAUAGCAGAUCAUGAUAUAUUUAUAAAUUGAUUUUGACAUCUCAGUUUAGGCGUGUACGACCUUUGUGAGCAUUAUUUUGCUGGGAACUUAAAUUUCAAUUUAAUAUAGUUCAGGUAUUACAAUUUGGUAAAUUGGAUAAUAUUUUCAAGGGGAAGGAGAAUUAAAUUAGUUGAAACCGAUUUUUAUUGUUAGUGGUUUUUUGUAUGUGAGUGGAUGAGGUUGUCUCUCUAGCCUUGCUGCAUCUUUAGCUAGGAUUUUCUCAAAAAUCUUGUAUAUAUCCCUAAGGUUAUGGUGUUGUUCAUAGUAUUGACGCCAUAACCUCUAUACACUUUCAAACUGAAUAUGAUCAACAGCUUCUAGAGAAUGCAUAAAUGAAAUAUGGGUAUUUGAAUUUAUAGAGAUGUUCUAAGCUUCUGUUUUUUGCUUUUUCAUUUAUCUUUGCAAGCAGAUAAAUGUACCUGAGGUAUUGAUAUGUGUAAUAGCAUCCCAGAUUGCUAAUCUUGGUGAGAGCAUAAUUGGUGCUGCAUUCCAAGGGAAAGAAGGAUUUCGUUGGGUAAGGAAUCAUUUGAAUAAUAGGAUGGUUUCUGUCAUCCUGUUUUCUUAACCAUUUUUUCUUAAAUUUAGUGCCUAUGUAUCUUCUAGAUUUUAGUGUUACCGAUGAAUCAGGCUUGAUUCUAUAUGAAUGUAUGGUUUGAUGUGGUAUAUCGAUGAGAUGAUUACAUGUAUAUCAUUUUGUGGACUCUCAUCAUGUUUGGAUCUGGCUGCACUCCUAAAGCUGUAGUGAGGAAGAAUUAUAUACCCACUGUUUUGGGGUAAAGAAGAUCGAAGAGUAAAUUUAGAGAGAUCAGCCUGUUAUAAAACUGCCUGCUAAGGAUUAAUUCUAGUCUUAAUUUUCAUUCGAUGAAAUCACGGUAUUGUGCAUGUAAAAGGCUGUUAUGUUGGUCUGAUUCUUCUUUUUGCUUUGAAGUAUCCAUGUUCAACAUAUAGUCACACAAGAAAUAUGGAGAUAUGACCUUCAAGAUACAUGAUAAACUUUAGCACAAAUCUCUAUCAGACACUUACCUGAAUUUGAGCGAAAUAUCUGGGUUGGCCAUAUAUAAAUCUGCCUAGGAUCUAUCAUCUUAGCAUGUUUAUAUGCUUUUCAUUAUAAGGCUGAAACUUGGAUUCUUUUACCAUAUUGAUUUUGGUUUUCAUCUUGCAGCUGAACAAUGAUGCUGUUAAUGUCAUCAACAUAUCCAUAGGCUGCAUUUUGGCAGUCUUAAUGCAACAACUACUCCAAAACUGGCAAAUGUAAGUUCACCCCAUCAUCUCUUUUGCGAUGUCAGGUAAUUAUUGCAGAGUUCAUCGACACUGCAAUCGACAUAUUGCAAUGUGGGGAAAGAAAAGAAGAAGAAGAAAGAGAAAGUCUUCAAUGUAAUGCAAGAGAUGAGCACAAAGGUGCAACAAUUAUAGCAAUGAUUUUGCUAACCUUGAAAGAUACUCAAAUGAUAUGGAAAAUCAUUAGCAUAACCAUUUGUUCCAUGAGUAUAUUUUAAAAAGGCUUCUCUCUUUUAUAGUCUUGGUAUUCAAAGAUGUAUUCCUUUUAUCAAUCUCCAGUUAGAAAUGAAUUAGAUGCUUUUUAAAUUGCAUUUCUUAACCAAAAUUAUUGGCUUUUUUUUUAUUGUUGUUGAGCCGCACUGGAUUUAUGGGUGUAAUUGAAGCACAAGCUUGACUUGGAACUUUUAUGUUCAAAGUUCGGCCCGGGCCCAAGCUUGAGUUCAAUUAAGCCAUUUGUGAAUAUAUCAACCAAUUGUUCCUUUGUAAAGACAUGUCUAGUUUGGACUAAACCAUCUUGGAUUUUUUUUACAAGGUGAGAGUCAAUCUCUAUAUGUUUCGUUCUCUCGUAGUAUUCAGGGUUGGUUGCAAUCUGAAUUGCUGCUUGACUAUCAUAGAAUAAUAUGAUUGGUUCUACUCGUUUAAAUCCAAGUUCCUUCAGUAGUCCAGUCAACCAAACUAACUCAGCCAUAGUUCUAUACUUUGCCUUUGCUGAAGAUCGUGAUACUGCAUUUUGUUUUGUUUUGUUUUUUCCAAGAGAUGAGACUUAAAACUUCUGGAGGAUGGUCAGGAUGGGUGUUUGGUUUACAAGGUAAAGAAAACGGUGAAGGUGGAGUUUGUGAGGUUUUCUUUUUACCUUUCCCUUUGGAGGAGGAUGAAGGUUGGAUCAUGAAAUUUUCUGGAAGUUUUUCUGGUGGUCUAGAAAGAAUGUCUGCAAGAACAUUGGUUUUCCCUUUUAUGUGGAGGACAUUCUGUCACUAAUCGCUUUGACAUUGGACUUGAAGCCCAAUUCGAAUCACAAUAUGCUACAAGUUAUGGAGAACCAACUACAGCACAGAAUAAACCUUGUCCUGGAUCCUUUUUAAUGUAUCUGACUAUUCUAAGAGCAGCUUUAUAAUGCGACUUCUUGGGUCGUUGCAUAAACUGACUGGAUGUUGUACCACAAACGUCAUAUCUAGCCUUGUAUGAGUCAAGUACAAAAGCCUUCUAAUAAGCCUUUGAUAUAAUGAAACAUCUGUCAAUACCUCAUCAUCAUGAUUCAUUUGCACCAUCUCAUCUUACUGGAGAUGUCAAGUUUUGAUUUUGUUCUAAAGGAGUGACAACUAUCUUUCCUCCCCCUUACCUCGUGUCUGAAAUUAAUUCAAGAGCAUAUUUGCGUUGAUUCAGUACAAUUUCAAACUGUGAUCUUGUGAUUUCAAUGCCAAGAAAAUACUUUGAGAUCACCUAAAUCUUUCAUUUUGAAAUUUUGAUGCACAGUUCCUUUAAGCUCAUUUAUAAGCUUGGUAUCAUUUCCAGAAAUCAACAAAUCGUUAACAUAUAUCAACAUGACAACCAGCUUAUAACCUUUCUUCUUGAUAAAACGAGAAUAAUCGUACUUACUUUGUGAAUAACCAUUUAGAAGAAUAGCUUUAGUAAGCUUUAGAUUCCACUGUCAGACUUAGCAAUUGACAUACUCUAGUCUCUCUUUGAUUGCGAAAAUCGUCUGGAAGAGUCAUAUAAACCUUCUCAUGUAAAUCUCCUUGCAUUAUAGGCAUCCAUUUGAAACAAGGGCCAACCAAACUAUACAGCAAGAGCAAUGACCGUGCAAAUUGUGACUUGCUUCGCAACAGGGGAAAGUGUCAUGAAAAUAAAAAACCUGCCUGCUGAGUAUAACCCUUCCUAACAAGUCUGGCUUUAAAUCUUUCAACCGAGCCAUCAGAGCUGUACUUGACCUUGUAGACCCAUAUGCAACCAAUGGGCGUUUUACUAGGAGGUAAAGGAACUACCUCCCACGUGACAUUUGAUUCCAAUGCUUGAAUUUCUUGAUCCAUGGCCUUUAUCCAAUGUUUAUCCUUAAUUGCUUCACUUUAGGUUUAAGGUUCAAUAAUAUGGGAAAUGGAGGCAGCAAAAAAUUGUGUAUGCAAAGGUAAAUGAGCAUCAGCUAUACAAUUAGAUAUAGGGUACUAACCUUUAUGGAGUGAAGAAGAUAAAGAAGAGCAAUUUAAAUCUUUCAUCCAUGUAGGAUCCUUAAAAGAACGAGUAGUGCGAUGUAAAGACAGCUGGUAAGGUAGUAGACUACGAAGGUAAUAAGGACUGGUUGGGAAAUGGAGCUGAAGAACGACAAGGAGCUAAGGAUGAACAUUUCAAAUGGGAUUUUUCCAAUUCAAAGCUGAAGUAGGUAAUCUGUUAACAAUAUAACAAGCAGCAAGGAUACACUCGCCCCAAAAUUUGGUAGGUACAUUAGACUGAACUUUGAAAGCACAUGCUAUUUCUAACAAAUGUCGAUGCACACAAGAACUUUGAUGUAUUAUGCCUAAGAAGAAAAAAAAGGAGUAUAUUCAGAGUUAAAGAACUCAGUACUUAUGACUUCCAAAAGUUUUAACAACAGUUGAAAAUUGCGUGUGAACCAAGGCUAUAAACUGUUUCAAAAUGACAAUAGUGUCGGUUUUAAGCUUAAACAGAUGAACCAAAGAAAAAGGAGAAUCCGCUCGAGAAUAACUAAUAGGAAAUGGCAAUCGUGUUUGUUUAGUAAGAGGACGAACAUGGCAUGGACUAAUAUAGUCACUGUUCCAAAAUGAAAGAAACAUGGCCAAGUCCGGCAUGCCAAAGGAAAGACUGAUCAUGAGAUGUCAAAAAGGAAGAAAUGGGAGAAGAUACAAAAGAUGGCAAUUGAGGCUGUUGAUGCACCAGAAUGUAAAGAUCAUUCUGUUCUUUACCAAUCCCCUUCACUUGUCCACUGCAAAGUUGCCGUAAAAGGCAAAAAUCGGGAUAAAAGGAUACAAAACAAUGUAAGUCUCGAGUUAACUUGAAAACGAAAAUUAAAUUGAAAUGAAAGUCUGGGACAUGAAGGGCAUUGGUUAACUUGAUAGAGGAGGACAAGACAUAGGAACCCAUGUGAGUAAUAGGGACGGAUUUACCAGUGGGAAAUUGGACAAAUGAAGAAUGAAAAGUAAAAGGAACAAGAGAAUCCAAAUAUUGGCAAUCAGAUAUCAUGUGGUUGGUGGCCCUCGUCUCCAAAAUCCAUUGGAAAGAUGCAGGCCAAGAAACCAUACCUGCCAUGUGAGCAGCUACUCCAACAGUUGAAGUGAACUCAAGACUGAGUAAAUUCAAGAUCAGUAGAUACUGUGCCUGAAUAAACACAGGUGCAAAUACUAUGGUAGCAUUGUUAGUCAUAGUUGACCUUUGUUUUGUAAAUUUAAAAUCAACAGGAUACCCAAUAAGCUUCUAACAAGUUUCCCGUUUGUGACCUUUAAUCUUUCAAUGGUCACACACAUCUUUCAAUGGUCACAGAAUACAAUGUUGUAGGUUCAGAAGGAAAAGAUAUGCCAGAAGAAUGUUGUCUUUGAGCUUCCUCUUGAACAAGCACGGAAUUAGCUUAAUUAACAGAAGGUAAGGGUUCCAUUAACAAAACCUGACUUCCAACAACAGCAUAAGAAUCAUUCAGGCCCAUCAGAAACUGAAAUAACCACUGUUGUUGAAUAAGUUGUUGAUUCAUGCGGGAAUUUUCACAAGAAAAAGAACCAAAGCAUCGUAAUCCCACAAAAGCUUCAAUCGUGUAAACAAAACUGAAACAGAGUAAGUACCUUGAGCAUGGGAAGCAAUCUCACCAUGAAGAACCAUCGACUUUCUCAUAUCGUUCUUGAAGUUCUUUCCAUGUUGACAAAAAUAAACUGUGCGGUAUAAUUAUAUAAUUAACGUCGCUCAAAAUUAACAUAAAAUUUCAAUAUUUGUAAAUUCGAAUAAAGAAGGUGAAAUUCAAUUAUAUUACUUUAUAUACUCAGUGCUUUCUAUGUAAAUUAUUUUCAUUAUUUUAAAUAUAAAAUGUUUAUAUUAACAUGAUAAAAAAUAAAUUAAAUUAUAAAUUAAAUAAAAAAUAAAAUUCAGUUUUAGUUACAUUCAAAUACUCGAUUUUUGGGGUUUUCUGCGCCCUAAUAGUAGGAAAAGAAAAUUCUCAUCAAACCCUAAAGCCCAUAAAAGAAAAAGUGAGAAGUUUAGUUGAUCUAUCAGAAUCUCAAGCACUCACCCUUAAUUUGCAGUAAGUUGCGAGUCUGCAAUUCUUUAGACCCCUUUUCUCAAUUGAUUUUCUUCUUUAACCAAUCGUUUCUCUCGCGCUCUGUUUCUUUUAGGAUGGCCGAUGAACAUAUUUCCACAGUCCUGGAGCAGCUACGACGAAUCAUGGCCGACGAAAGAUUUCGGAACUCGGAGUUUCAGAUAAACUUGCUUGUAUGGAGACUCGAAGCUUUUCAAUCUAUGAUUCUUUAACAUGGGGACGGGCUAUUUUCGGUUCGGCUAUUGGAGCGUGGGAUUACUGUUCAUGCACUCGAUCAAGUGCUAUAUAACAUAGAAGAUGUAAUUAACGACGUCUUACAUUUAGGAGUAUCUACUGAAUUAGCAGCAGCAGGCCUUGAGAAGUUUGCUUCUACUCAAUCAAAAGCAGCAUCAGCAGAAACAGCCACUCUUUACAUCUUGCGCAAGAGGUUGGAAGAAUUGGAGGAGGUAUUGAUUGGUAAUCCGCAUGAAUCGCAUCCCUUGCACUCUAAACGAUCUUUUUUUGUAAAAUUGUCAAAGUUAUAUGGUCUAGAUGUGGUUAAGAAAGAUAUAAUAAAUGUAAUUUUGGGUGAAAGUUUCAGGGAUAGUAGCGACAGCAUUAAAACCAUCAUUAUUGUUGGCAUGGAAGGAACGGGGAAAACAUAUCUUGCGCGGUGCAUUUGUACUGAUUGUCAAGUUCUGGAAAUUUUUGACAACAUAAUUUGGGUGAAUGUUUCGGAUGAUUUUGAUUUAGGUAAAAUUGCAAGAAAAAUUAUUCUGUCUCUUGAAGGUUUGGAGCAUGACUCUUUGCGUCUCCUAACAUUAGUUCCAUUGCAAAGUCUGUUAGAUAGAAUUCAGCGAAAGAUUGUUAACAAGAAAUCACUUCUUGUUUUAGAUGGUGUGGGGAGAUAUGAUUGUGAUGAUUGGGAAGCACUUAGAGCUGUUUUUCAACAUGGCAUGUCGGGGAGUGGGAUUCUAGUGACUACUCAUGAGCACUCGGUUGCAGGAGCAAUGGAAUCAUCUUAUAAAUUUUGUUUGGGAAAGCUGUCUGAUGAGUUGUGUUGGAUGAUACUUCGUGAAGUUGGAUUGAAUGAUGAUACUCUUGAAUAUGCGGUAGAGGAUAUAGGAAGGGAACUUGCAAGGAGGUGUGAAGGACUACCCUUUGCUGCAAAGGUUUUGGGAGAUGCUAUACGACAUUAUGACUUUGGAAUAAGAGGAUGGGAUGUUUUUCUGAGAAAUUGUAUCUGGAAAUCUCCUAGAAUACCCAAAUAUAUGUCUAAAAUUCUAUCACUAUCUUAUUGCAAUCUACCUUUGUCUGUAAGACGGUGCUUAUCGUAUUGGGCUAUCUUCCCCAAAAGCUUUGAGAUUUCAAAAACUCUUUUGGUGCAACACUGGAUGGCACAAGGUUGUCUGUACUCAUCUGAUAAUUUAGAAAUGGAACUAAAAGGUGAAGAGUACUUUAAAUGCUUAGAAGCUCAUUCAUGUUUCCAAUAUUGUACCAGAGAUGGUGGUAUGCUUACUUGUAAGAUGCAUAGCUUAGUACAUGAUUGUGUCCAAUCUUUGUCCCCAUAUGAUUUAAUGAUGAGGUUCGAGUCUGUUAAACAGCUGACCUUGAAUUUAUCUUCUUGGACGGAGGAGGUCAAAGUUGUUGGCACUCAUCAUUUGGUAAUGAUGAUUGCUCAAGGAGCUGGUUUUCCCAUGGACAUUAGUGGUGCAGAGAAAUUGAGGACCCUUGUUGCUGUUACUCAAGGGUGUUUGAUAACUAGUCAAGCAUUAUCUAACUUAUUUAAACAAUCCAAACAUCUGAGGUUAUUGGAUUUGAGCUUGACUAGUGGGUGGCAUAAUUGUUUUGGGCCAUCCGGACAAGGUAAUAUACUAGAUGAAAUUCCGGUGGAAAUCUGCAGAUUGAUUAAUUUGAGGUACCUUAGCUUGGCUGGCAGCAAAGUAUUGAAGAUAUUACCAGAAACAUUGUGUGACUUGCAUAAUUUGCAAUCCUUGGAUCUUACUGGUUGUAGUAGUCUUAGAAAAUUGCCAGAUGGAAUGGGGAAAUUAAUGAACUUGAGGUAUUUUUAUACCUGGUGUUGCUCUAGUAUAACUUCCUAUCCAAAAGGGAUUAGCUGCUUAACUUCUCUUUGAGAAUUAACCAAUGUCAUUGCUAGAGCUGAUCACAAUGAUGCAAAGGAAUUCACUCUUGGAGAUUUUGAAAAGUUGAACAACCUUUGUGGACAUGUUCGUGUGAAACUGGUAGGGAAUGCGAUGGAUGCAGAUGAGGCUAUUAGAGCUAACCUUUGGAACAAGAAGGAUCUUGACCGUAUCAGAAUAAAUCUGGAUGGGGAUAUAGGGAAAGAAAGCCAAGACGUUAUAAAGAAAGCAUUAAACCCGCCUUCCGACUUGAAUAUAGAGUUCGUAGGUUGGUGGUUCUAGUCCAGAAAUGUAAGGAUGCUGCAAAGCAACAGGUAGUCUCUCUGUCUCAUUUUCUCUUUUGUUGUAGCUUUGAUGGUUCAAAUUCAGUAUUUACUCCUAUGAUUCAUUCAAACCCAAAUUUCAGUUGUGUUAUAGUAGUUCUAGUUUCUGUUGUUAUCAUCUGAUUAGAUGGAAUAUUAUGAAAUCUCUUAUAACAUUACAAUGACAAAGAUAUCGGCUUGUCUAUCACAUGAAAUUUCUCUCUUGCUAAAGCAUGCUCUGAAUGAAUCACUUUAAAACGGCAAGAUAACUUAGAUUAUCCUUAUUUUCUUUUGCUGGACAUACAUAUCCCGUGAGAGACAUUGUCGUUAUCGGUGGUACUGUAGUUAAAGUUGGAGUAUAUUUUUAGUAUUUUAGUUUUUAUAUUAGGAUUUAAUCAGUUAUUAAGAUGGAUUUUUUCUGGAAAAAACAUGGAUACUUUUUUCUAAAAUUUUUUAUUAACUCUUUUGAAAUUUGUUAAAUUUUUAAUUAUUUUUAUUAGUUUUUGAAUUUUUAUGAAUUAUAGGUAGGCUACCACACGAAUUGAUCACGUCAAUAUUGUUAAAAUUUUAAUAAUCUUUUUAAUUCAAAAGAAAGUAAUAUAACUAAAUUGUAAAGGUUAAGUGUAAAAGUCAAAAUGACAAAAUAAGUCAACAUUAAAAGAUUAAAUUUAUCACGAUGCCUUUUUUAUAUACUCAUAAUUAAUUAUAAUAAAAAGUUAACUUUAUUCAGAUAUAUUUGUUAUUUUAAAUAAAUAUUCAGAAUACAACUUGAAAAUAAUCUCAUGUUUAUAAUUAUAACACGAAAACUUUACUUACUAUAUAAUGGAAGAGUAUUUGGUAUAUUAACAGUGUGCCUUUUUUUAUUGCACAAGUAUGUGUAAAAGAUUGAUAUAUGUCUUUAUUUUUUAAUAUUUUAUUAUACUUUCUAAGACACUUGUCAAUCUUUUAACUUUGCUUAUAAAAUUUAAAAAUUCCACUAAUAAUCUCACCUAGCAAAAUGGAUUAAAAACAUUUAAAGUAAUUUAGUUGAAUUAUGAUAAAAGGUCAAUGUAUUCUAAAAUGCUAAAUGGCAUAAAUUUGAGUUUGUCAAAUUCUCUAGCAUUGGGAGGUAAGUCAAAUUGCAAACUAAGUUGAAUAUUUUUUGGCUUUUCAGUAAUCAUAUUCAUGCUAAUAUUUUUAGAUUUAAUUCUCACUUUCAAUAUUAAAAGAGGGUUCAAAUGCAACUUGGAGUCAACAUGAACAUGAUACUUUGAAAACCCUAAAGGGCACUUGCACUCUUGUUUUGGAGGUGAGGUUAAGAAGACCUACAACAAGUUUUAAUAGAAUUUGAUAUAGUUGAAAAAGAUUCAGAGGAAAAUGGUACCAAAAUCUACAGUCGUGGAAUACGAUGACUGUAUUAAAAUAUAUGAAAUUGGUUGAUGGUUUUAUUUAUUGUCUCUUAAUAUUUUAACUAAUCAAUUAAGUAGUAAUGAGAAGGACAUGACACUUAAUCAUUAUAGUUUCUAGUUAAAGUUUAGGAAGAUGCAUUGACAUCAAUUCACUAAUUUUUUAUGAAAAAUGUUUUUAACCGGUUCAUAUCCCCAAUACCAUUGAACGUUGAAUCAAAUGGUUUUGUUGAUUAGAGAAAGACACUAAGAAAUGUAGAGGAACAUGUAUGCGUAAGAGAGAAUUUGAGGCACAUUUAAUAAGUUAACUUUGGAAAUUUUAUAUGUGGAUAAUAGCAACGAAGAAAGAGACUGUUGAGAAUGAUCAAACUUGGAGCAUAUGUUUAGAUCCAUGUGGAGGUACCUAUUAGGUAAGUGAAACAAGCAAUUGAAAUGAUGGAGAGUUUAGUACACCGGUAUCGUACUAUGAUAAUUUAUGGUCAUUUUUAAUUAAUACAAGUCAAAAAUAAUAAUAUUUAAUAAACCUAAAAUUAAUGGGCAAAUAGUGAUGAGUUAUCCUAAAAUAGAAUUGAAGAGGAUAAGGUCCUACAAUUAAUAAUAAGAAAAGUGAAGACUCUUUGAAAAGAUUAAGGAUGUACUUUGAUUAAGAGUGGUUAUAAAAAAAAAAAUUGGGGGGAAGGGAUAGAGUGGAGUAAGGAAAGUGGUGUGAUUGCCCAUUAACAUAAGUAAGAAAUAUGCGAAUGAUUGCCCAUUAACAUAUAGAGUAGGUAAAAUUGACUUGUUUUUCUAGAAAGACAAUAGAUAAGCCUAAAAAGUUAUAAAAAGUAAUUGUUAAAAUAGUUAAAAUGAGAGGAAAAAAUAAGAUAUUUUUGUUUAUGAGAAUUAAGUGUCGUGAGUCGGGACGAAAAGAUUAAUCAUUGUUACGACAGUAAAUACCUUGAUUACAACGAAAAAGAUAAAAUACCAUUUUACUUUAUAGAAAAUUCUCAUGAUUUUAUAAAAUAUACCAUGAAUAUAUUAAAUCAUAUAAAAAGCGUAAUUCUAUAACUCAUACCUAAUUUAAAUACAGGAUGGUAUUUAGAAUGAUUAUAAGAAAAUGCUUGUUCAUGAAUGUUGUGAGUUUUCCGAAUCUUGGGGACAAUGUACCCUCUGGCUCCCGUCAGGAUUCACCUGGUAAUUUAUAAAAAGGAAUAAACAAUCACUUGGUAACUCACAACUCACAAGGCAUAAAAUAUAAUCACGUCAAGCAGCAAAACACAAACCUUUUUUAAUAUUCCAAUCUAAUACAAGUGAUAAUAUCAACUCUUAGAGCCCUAACUCUUAAAGUAUCAGCACAUAAUUUUAACCACUUACUUUUAAUAAAUACCACCAUCACUACCAUUAUCACCAUCGACAGAGCCUCUCAAUUCAUAUGUCCUGCAAAAAAUGGUGUCAACACUAACAAAAAAACCAAAAUUAUAUCAUUAAAAUAUAUUUGUAUUUCUUAAAAGGCAGAUCAUUCAGUUUUUCUGGACAAGUUUCCCUAUGCAAUCUAAUACAAGUGAUAAUAUCAACUCUUAGGGUCUGUUUGAUUGACGGAAUUGAUUUUCCGGAAAAUCAUUUCCAACUUUUCCAGCGUUUGAUUGGCGGAAAACAUUUUCCAUUUGGAAAAUGAACUCCAAAACAAGGGAAAAUGAGUUACAUUUUAGGGAAAAUGUCUUACUCUUUCAAUUUCUAUAAUUUUAGGCUUUUCCCACCUACCUCUAAUUACACAAAAUAUUUUCAGAUUUAAUUUACUAAUUUUGGCUUUUACAAGGUCAAGAUUUGACUAUCCCAUCAAAUGUCCCAAAUUUAUAAUUUGGUCCCUCUUCUCUUUUCCAUGCUUCAAUCUAACCCCUUCUUUGCUUGUUUUUGAUUUAAAGUGCCCGAAUUUUGUUCCUGUCAAUAUUUAAACACAAAACGCACCAAUUACCAGGGAUUAAUUUGAGAAUAAGUCGAGUUGAACACGUAAAUUAUGCAAAAUGAACAAGUUAUCAUUGACCAUUAGUGCUACGUCAGCACAAACAAACGGUGUUAGUGCAGAGAUACCAACCUAGGUGACAGAAUAUAAAUUCAGGUACCAAUUAGAUAAAAAAAAAUCAUACACCAAAUAAAUACUUUUGAAUAAGUUCGAAAAUAGACGACAAAUUAUCCUUUCUUUUCUCUUUUUAUCUACCUGUAAUAUUUGAAUAUGAAAAGAAGUUACACAACUUUUCAAUUUCAAUAGUAGUUAUUUAACUUUGCCUAGUUGAGUUUUACAUAAAAUUUCUUUCUUUCGUUGAACAUGCUCUCAAUGAAUCACUUCAAACCCCCAAGAUCCUAAUAUUUUGCAGAACAUAUCAAUUGAGAGGCUCUAUCGAUGGUGGUGGUGGUGUUAGAAUCCGUUUAUGCUGGUGGUAGCAUUUUGUAUUUUUUUUUAUCGUAUUUAUUAAAAAUAAGUGGUUAAAAUUACGUGUUGAAAAUUUAAGAUUUAGAGCAUAUCGCCACUCGUAUUAAAUUGUAAUAUAAGCAUCGAUUGUAAAAAGAAAAGUUUGUGUUUUGCUUGUACUGUCUCAUAAAAGACAUUAAGUAAUUUCGUUGUCGUGUUUAUAUUUUAUGCCUUAUGAGUUACCAAAUGGUUGUUCAUUCCUUUUUAUAAAUUACUAGCCGAAUCCUCUUCAGUGAAGGAGCUUGAAAAUUUUUUGGGAGGGUCGGAAUUAAAUUGUAUAUUUGUAUGAUGGUAAAAAUAGAAUUUUAUAAUUUUAAUAGCUUAUAUCUUUAUAAUUUUUAAAAGGUUAAAUCAAAAUUGUAUCAUUUUAAGAGGUCAAAGUAUAGUUUUACUAUUACUAAUUUAAAAUUUUAUAAAUUAUAAAGGGCCUAAAUUAAAAUUUACUAUUUUAAGGGGGCUAUGGCGCCUUGGGUCUCCACUACAUUAUGCCACUGAUCCUCAUGGAAGACAGAGGCUACCUUGACCCCCAAGAUUUAGAAAAUUGCCAUUUGACCUUUUUAAUUUUAUAAAAUUUUUAAUUUAGUUUAUUAAAAUUCUGUAAAUUUUCAUUAAACAAUUUUUAAAACUUUUAAUUAGAUCUCUCAAAUUCUUUUUGGAAAUUCUUAUUUUCUCAAUUAAUUUUUUAAUUAAACUAUUCAGAAUUUUUGAUAAUUCUCAUUAAACCUUUUUAAAAUUCUCGAAAUUUUAAUUAAAUUGGUAAAAUUUGAAAAAUUUUAGUGAAGGGAAUCCCUCCCACAUAUUGAUCAAGAAAGCUUUGAAAAAAUAUUAAUUAAUUAUAUGUUUGAGAGAUUAAUAAUGUACUAUUUGGCUCCCAACAAUAAUAAUUCACUCUUAAUUUUGCUUCUUUUCCCUUUUUCUUUUACUUGUUUUUGUGAAAGAUAUCAUAAUAUAUGUUUUAAAUAAUUAAUGUAAUAAUAGAAAUAUUAAAAAAUAUAGUUAAUAGUAACAAUAUUUUAUACAAGCACAAUGACUUAUUCAAUUCUCCAAUUUUACAAAAAGAGACCAAUAAGUGAUUAGAUGUAAUGACAGGUCACAUUGCAUUCCCAAAAGAACUGCCUAAGUUCGAACAUCAUAAGUAAUAUAAAAACUUAAACAAAGUCAUGUAACAACCCAUAUAUCAAGUAUCACCAAAUACCAUUUCAUUCUUAUUCCAUUGUUUAGUUUCUAUUUUCAAUCAACUGAAUAUCGUCCGAUGGAACUAUAGCAAAACGGGCUCAAAUACACGGGAAUAAGUUGGUCACACAAGUUGACAGUAUAUUAGGGCUGCUCAGACAAGUUGACAUUACAACAGAAUUGCUCACAUAAACUGAUAUUAUAUCAAGGUUAUUCAUCUGGGCUAAACCUUCAAUAUGUAUAACCCGAGAAUUUGAGACAAGCCCAAGAACUCAUCCUAUGUAAAAGGGGUGCCAAACCCUAGUGCAUAGUAGGGUAUGUUGCCGCCCCUUAGUGUUUUGAAUAAAGGGGAACUGUAGUAUCAUAUUAAAACAAUACUAUUUAAUUACUCAUUAUUCAAGUAAAACUUUUGUACUAUUUUCCUAAAAUAGGAUCUAUGAAAUGAUUUAAUUACACCUAUCGCUGUUAUUUUAUCAUAAAAUAGUGGUAAUUUGUUUAUAAGAAUAAAUUCUAUAUUCUGAAAAGCUCAAAGUUUUCGAUUUCUAUAUAGAGAAUUAACUUUCUCACUAAAAGUUCAUGAAAGAUUGGUUGAACUGGGCAAAAAAAUUGGUCGAAUUAGAUGCGAUUGAACUGGUUGAACUAAAAUAUUUUAAUAUAUUUUUAUUUUUUAUGAAUUUUUUAUGAUUUAUUUAAUUGAAUUAGACUAAUCAAUCAAACCAAUUGAAUCAAUUGGAUCAACAAACUAGUAACCUUAUUGGUUUGAUCAUCGAUUUAGUUUUUAAAACCUUAGAUUUCGUCAUACCGUUUCAAUUAUUAUACCUUAUAAAUAAAAUAUAAAGUAAACCAGUGGUGAAAUUAGGGGGAUUGGCAAGGGCCCUGGCCCUCCCUAAAAUGAUUUUUUUUUUCAUAUGGACCCUCUAAAAAAAUUAAAAUUUUAAAUUAAUAAAAAUAAAAUUAUACUUUGGCUCCCCUAAAAUAUAAAAAUUUGAUUUAAUCUAUUAAAAAUUAUAAAGAUGUAGUCUAUUAAAAUGGUGAAAUUGUAUUUUUCUAUCGUAAAAAUUACAAUUUAAUUUUAGCCCAUAAUUUUUUUUUUCUAAUUUCGCACCUGAAAUAAGCUAUAUUUGAUUAAAUUUAUUAUUUUACCUUACAUACAAAACACAAAAUAAACAUUUAACUAUACAAAAUUAAUUGAUGAAUUGUUUUACUCAGUUGAAAGUAGAACAAAUAAUUGAUCCAAGAGGAAAGUGAAAUUUAUCCUUUUAUACGUCGAACAUUAGCGAAAAGGACAAAAAAGAAAUUUUGGGUUAUUUGGCUUUUGUUUCCUGCUGCUCUCCUCAAUCCAUUGACGCUGUUUCACCCCCUUUCUCUCGAUUUCUCAAUGUUUCUUUUCCUGUAAUUUGUUGUGAUUUGAAGUAUAAAUCAGGGAGAAGUAAAAGCUAUCAUAAAAAUGGCGGAGGCAAUUCUUACGGUAGUCUUGCGACAGAUAACAACAAUCUUGAGUGACCAAGCGGUAAAAGAGAUGACGAUGUGGGGAGACCGCGAGGCUGCUCUCAAAAAUCUUGAAACAUAUCUGAAAUCCAUCCGAUCCGUUCUCAAAGAUGCAGAGGACCUUCAAAUUACAGACGAUGCAAUCAAACUGUUGCUAGAAGAUCUGAAAAUUGUAAUUUAUGAAAUCGAGGAUGUGUUGAAUUUAUGGAGCUGUAAAGUACGGAAGGCAGAAUCUGUUCGUGCCAAGGUAAAUUGUCUACUUGAAUUCAUUGCAUAUCGUCGUAGUUCUGAUAGAAUAAAGAAGAUUUGUGAAAAACUGAGUCCAUUUGAGCUGAAAAACAAGCUGGAUCUGGGCAAGAGUAAAAUUAUAUCUCCUCUGCGGAACAAAGAAAGUACUAGCUAUUGUGAUCUAUCAAAAAUUAUUGGUCGAAGCGGAAUAAAAACUGAGUUAGUGUUCCGUUUAGUUUNNNNNNNNNNNNNNNNNNNNNNNNNNNNNNNNNNNNNNNNNNNNNNNNNNNNNNNNNNNNNNNNNNNNNNNNNNNNNNNNNNNNNNNNNNNNNNNNNNNNNNNNNNNNNNNNNNNNNNNNNNNNNNNNNNNNNNNNNNNNNNNNNNNNNNNNNNNNNNNNNNNNNNNNNNNNNNNNNNNNNNNNNNNNNNNNNNNNNNNNNNNNNNNNNNNNNNNNNNNNNNNNNNNNNNNNNNNNNNNNNNNNNNNNNNNNNNNNNNNNNNNNNNNNNNNNNNNNNNNNNNNNNNNNNNNNNNNNNNNNNNNNNNNNNNNNNNNNNNNNNNNNNNNNNNNNNNNNNNNNNNNNNNNNNNNNNNNNNNNNNNNNNNNNNNNNNNNNNNNNNNNNNNNNNNNNNNNNNNNNNNNNNNNNNNNNNNNNNNNNNNNNNNNNNNNNNNNNNNNNNNNNNNNNNNNNNNNNNNNNNNNNNNNNNNNNNNNNNNNNNNNNNNNNNNNNNNNNNNNNGCAUCUUUCUAACACCAACAACAUUACUGCCAUCCUAAUAAACCAUAAGUACCAUUUCCACUCCAUCAUCAUCAUCAUCUUUCUGUUUUCACUUCUCUCUCAGCUAUAUGUUACUUUUUGUUAACUUCUAUAUGUAUAUAAUCUAAAGAAGCCUAAGCUUCUUAUUUAUAUACAAGCAGAACAUUUUGCAUCCCACUUAUUCAAUAUAAUAUAAAAAUAAUAUAUAAUUAAUUAAUUCCUCAAAAAUUGGAUCAAUCUAGGCUUCUUAUUUACGUAAAUUCCUUAUUGCAAAAACUCUUGGUAGAAAUUCGUUAGGAAAGGAUGAAUGGACCACAAGAAUGCUUAUCAACUCUUGACUUUGGCGUCCAAUGCUAAAUUUAUUUUAAAAUUUCUUCAUGGAGACAAGAUGGGAUGACAAGAAUGAUAAGUUUUAAGUCAUUUAAGUUUACACAAUUUUAAUCACUCAUAAAAACAAGUAUUGACAUUCUAUUAAAGAAUUUAAACAUGGCUUAACGUUGAUUUUAAAUCUAAUGUUGAUGUUAAUCUUGAAAAAAGAAUGGCCAAAAAAAAUAUGAAAAGUGAGAGGUGGACAUAAAAUAGUGUAGUUGGGGUUAUAAAAUUCUUCAUGUAGACAUAAUAUUUUUUUUAUGCCUUUUUUACACUUAUAUAGAGUUAGUCUUGACUUUGCUUUAUUAAUAGAAAUUUUAGGUCUUCAUUUUUUGUUUUAUUCAUGGACAUAAUAUUUUCUUAUUUUUAUUUUAUGGUCUAUGAUCGAGGUUUAUGACUAUCCCCUUUCAACAACGUCGUCUCAACUGUUCAAACAUACACUUGCAGGUAAAAUAAUACUUUUUAAAAUCACAAAUAUUUAAAAUAAUACAUUGCAGCUAUAUAAAUGCUUUCUUGUUUAAGAUACUAAUAAAGUAAUUAACAAAGUAAUUAUUAUACCUAUAAUAAUUCAAAAUGCCACUUGUUAUCUAAUGAAGUAUAGGGGUGUAAAUGAGACAUCCGUACCCGCAAGCUAUUCGAAUUUGGCUCAAAAAAUUUUGAAAUUGAUUCGGUAAUUAUUGAGCCGAGCUAUAGGUCGAUCCGGAUUCGAGCUUAGUAAUACUUGACUCGAGUAGUUUGAGAGCCUUAUUGAACUUUUUAUAUUUUUAUAUUAUUAGAUUACAUUAUUGCUAUUAAUAUAUAUUAUUAACCCUAAGUUUAAUUAUUGAGGCGAGCUCAAACUCGAGUACAAAAAUUGAUAAACAUAUUUAAUUUCGAGCUUAAAAAUAUAUGUUCGAUCGAGCAUCAAGCUUUGAAUUUCAAAUUAAACUUGAGUUUAACAGUAUUGAGUUCAAAUAGAUUCAAUUACACCCUACAAUAAAAUAUACCAACAAAACCUACAUUCCAUCUUUGCUAUAAAUUUUAUGUAUGUGUGUGUUUAACGUGAGUUCCAUCUAUGUCCAACUUGAUGACGAUGAAAGUUCCUAUGGUGUAAAAAGUUUUAGUUAUGUGGAAAAAUAAGGCCUUCUCUUCACACGUUUAAUAUGCUUACUUGUGUCGGUCAUUUCGAUCUUCACAUCAAUUUUCAAAAAGUUGGAAAACUUAUGUCUGCUUUUAUGAUUCUUUUAUGUGUGUGUUUAACGUGACUUCCUUGUGAGUUCCAUCUAUGUCCAACUUGAUGACAAUGAAAGUUCCUAUGGUGUAAAAAGUUUUAGUUAUGUGGAAAAUUGGUGGAAAACUUACGUCUUUUUCACUUGCUUUUAUGAUUCUUUUUACAUGAUAUUACUAUAUAAUUAAAUUGAAAUACUGAUAAAUUUGAACCCAUAUGAUGUAAGUCUAGGCAUCAUCUAAUUUAUUGAUAUUUAAUUAAUUAAUAUAUAUACUUUCAAUUAUAAGAAUUGAAACAUAACUUUCAAGUCAAUUGGAGUAUGCCCCUGUUACACGUCAAAAGAAGUAGAUUUUGAACUCAACAUGAACCUGUGAGAUUUGAUGCCUAAAAUAUAGGUAUAAGGUUUCAAUUCAUGGAAAUGUUGGAAAUCUUGGAAAUUUCUUAGUCUCCUCUCUUUGGAUGUUUUUGAACAAAAAUGUUUUAAGUCUCUUCCGAUGCUAAACUUCUGAUUGGUCGUCGGUUCACUGACCCUUUGGUACACAGCAAUAUGAAGCAUUGGCCAUUCAAGGCCAUUGCUGGUCCUGGUGAUAAGCCAAUGAUUGUACUACUAUAGAUUUGAAUAUUUGUACACAUUUGAUCGGCUCUUCGUAAAUUUAAAUCUUACAAAUUCGGAUAAUAUUUGAACUUUGAAUGUAUGUUUUGUUGGUGAGAAUAUAAAGUUGAUAAAGAUUUGGUAAAUAGAGUAAAAUAUUAUUUUUAUUAGAAAAAUUAUUUGGUACACUGCCAAUCGAGGUAAUUAAAACAUGUCAUUAUAAAUAAUAAAAUUAUGAUGACUCAAAUAUACGAACACGUCAAAAUUUAUGUACAACGAAUUAUUAACAUGUAAAUGUAUAAUACGGUACGCAAAAAUAAGAUAAUUGCUUGUUUUUUUAAUUGAAUUGUUAUAACAUAUUAUACAAAAUACAUUGUGACUUAAAGCAUAAAAUGAACUUGAUAUCAAAAUAUUAAAUUUUUUUUAAAAUUCAAUGAUACGAAUAAUUAUGUAAAAUAUAACAUGAUGCAAAAUAUCUUGAGAGGAAAAGAGGAAUAAAGAAUUGCAUUAUUUGUGAGGUUUUAAAAUAUUCCAGUUUUAGAUUCAAUUUUCUAGUAUGUUUGGUUUAAUUUUACAUUAGAUUUCCUUUUCAGUAUGCACUAGUGAACGCUUAGCAGUCAGUUUAAUUUAAUUCAAAGAGAUAUUGCAUAUACAUAAUAAUGGAUUAUGAUUUUACAUUAAAUUUCAUAGAAGAAAAAGAAAUAGAUGGUUGAAAAUGAUAAAACCAUAAGAUAAAAGAGCUUUUAUUCAAAAUGCAAAAAUCAACAAAAUAUUCAUUAUCGCUCAACUUAGCAUAAUUAAACAUUUAGGUGUGGAAACAAGUCACAAUUUGAGUAGCUAAACACAUUGCUUGAAAAUGUGAUAAGUAAGAAAAUUGCCCACAUUUGAGUAGCGACAUGUGGUGAAGCAUUUCCCAACGAGAGAAAACUAAGCUCUUCACCAGUAUGGAUUUAUGUAGAGGACAACAAAAAUUGUCAACAACACAACUACAUAAGAAACCAAAAAGCUCACAAAAAAAUCAUAAGUAUCUAUCAAACCAUCUUCUCCUUUAUCUUCUGAUACAAUUGAUAUCGCUGAUGGUGAAUCGGUUUUGGAACAACUUUUAUGCAAUAUAUCUCCACAACGAAAAGGAUUUCCCUCAUAACUGUUUUCAAUAAAGGUCCCAAAUUGAGCUUUUGGUUCGGGAAUACUACCUGACAAAUUGUUAUAUGCCACGCUGAAAACCUCCAAAGAGUUCAACUCUACCAAUUGAUUGGGGAUUUCACCACACUCAAGUUGUUGUAAGAAAGGUCCAAACUCUCAAUGUGCUGAAGUUUUGAGAAUGAUGAGGGUAUAACUCUGGUCAACUUAUUGUGUGACAAGUUUAAAGAAUGGAUUUCACUCAAGUUCCCUAAUUUUGGUGGGAUAUGACCAGUUAAGUUUUUGCAAGAUAAAUCAAUCCCAAUAAUAUAUGAAAGGAUGUUGCCCUUGUACGAAUAGAACCCACUCUUUGUUGUGAACUCUAUUACUUCUUCUAAGUAGCUGUCAGGGUUGUAAGGAUUUAUACCCCUUUCCCAUUUUCUCAUCACAAUGGAUGUUGAUUCAUCCUUUUCUAUAAAUGGAAGAUAGAACCCAGUUGCUAGACUCUCUUUCUCUUUCAGUGGAAGAGAUAAAUUUCCCAAACAAGAAGGUAUAGGACUAGAAAACAUAUUUUGAGAAAGAUCUAUGAUGCUUAAAGAAUGCAACUUGCAUAACUCAAUAGGAACUUUAUCAUGAAAAUGAUUAUCUUUCAGGAGAAGAACACUCAAAGAAGAAAGCGUGUAAAUCCAUUUUGGAAUACUACCUGUCAAAUUGUUUCCUCUAAGAUCUAAAGUCACUAUUGAAGAGUUAUUAUAAAAAAGCAAGUGAUAGUGUGCCUCUCAGUCUAUUCCCGUGGAGGUGGACAUGCUCUAUGUAUGGUGGAUUAAAACAUGACGGUAUAGAGCCAGAUAAAUUAUUUUGAGAAAGAUCCAAAAAUUCCAACCUAUUCAACUUUCAAAAUUCCAUUGGAAUAGAACCUUCAAAACCAUUGUUGGACAAAUUUAAUCUCCACAAAAAUGAUGCAUUCCCUAUCCAUCUUGGGAGCUUUCCAUGCAACUUGUUACUGAGAUCAAUUUCGCUUAGUGAAUUUGGAAACUCAAAAAGAAAUGUUCACACAAAGUUUUUUCCAACAUAUGUCUGUCAUUUGUGGGGUCUUGAAUUUAAUAUCAAUGGUUGAAUUUUCAUAGCUAAUAUGUGCGCAAAAGGCCUAGUGGGUGGAAUUUUAUGUCAGGAAAGCGUUUCUACAAUGACAUAAUUAAUUGCAUUACUUUUCAAAGAUUGACUAUUGACUUUGGUGAGCUUAUUAGGUUAAAUUCUGCUGCUGGUCACUGUUCUUUGUGAAAGUUGUAAAUUUAGUCUAUUUACUUCAAUUUGAUCAAUUUUAAUCCCUAUACAUUUUGAUUUUUAAAAUUUUAGUUGUGACCCAAACAAUAGAGUUAAAUCAAUUUAAUUAAAACCAAUUACUAGUCCUAUAUUAUGUGUACAAUUGUUGAUUUAGUCCAUACUCUCCAAUUGGAUCAUUCUAAGUACCUAUAUUUUUCAAAUUUUAAAAUUUCAGUCUUGAUGCAAAUGACAAUCCUUAGUCCGUUAACUAGAUUUUUAGUAACAUAUGAAAAUAAUAAGAUGAUAUGACAUUACAAAUAUGAUAAUAUUUUUGCGUUAAAUAUGUCAACAAUGACAUAAUUAAUUGCAUUAACUUUCAGACGUUGACCAUUGACUUUUGCUUCAACCUUGAGCUUAUAUAGCCCCUACAAUAAUUUAGGUUAUGGAAAUAAUCUUACAAUUAAUGCCUGAGAAAUUAUUAUAGAUCAAUUUAUAGUUUUAAUCCCUAUAAUUACUCAAUUGAAUUGAAGAUUCAGAUUUUCUUAUUUAAUUUGAUAUAUUUUCUUCUCUUAUUAAUGUUAAUGUUAUGGAUUAGUUUUUUUAAGACAACAUUAUUUUAUUCAAUGAAUAAUAUCAUACAAUUCGAGGAGAAAAUAACAAACACUCGUUGUACUCGUUAAAGGACAAGUUCCAUCAACACAACAAAACCUUUAACUUCAACAUUAAUAGAACAUUAUGGCAUGUUGAAAUCGGCUCUGUCACAACUCAAGCACAACAUAUCAGGAGUGAUUACAAGCACUUAAUAUGGUAAGAAAAUUAACCCCGGAUGGUCCAAAGCGGUGGGCAUAAAUCAGCAAAAGAACUGAGCAUCCACCAAACUAGAGGGGAUGCGGCGACAAAACUAACCCUAAAAUUACUCUCAAAAGCAAGACUAAAAAGCGUACUACAAGAGUAGACAAAAACUUCGAAAAGUAAAGACUUAUUAAACAAUGGAAAAAUAAACAAAAAAAACAUAUAAAACUUAAGAUAACAUGAGUCUAAACCGAGUCAUGAAAUUAUUUAUUAUUUUGAAACUCUCAAAACAUAAACAAAUUAAGAAGUCAACGAAGAGGUACCCACUUUCUAAAAGAAAGUGUUGGUGGUCGGUGGUGUUUCAAUGAUGAUAGGCAUUGUCACCUGUUCAUCACAACUUGUAAAGAUAACAAAAAUACCCACAAAAUAAAUCUGUAAAUUGAAAAGAACGAAGACUCAUGGAGUGAAUGAGAAGAAGAAAAAUAAAAAGGGUUAAUAGAGACAAAGCAGGGCGGUAACUAGUUCAGAGGCUAACACCGCUGCUAGGCUAAAAAAAGAAGAAGAAGCAAACAUGUUAUGGAUUAGUUAAAAUAACUAACAUCAUUGAAAAUUUCAUUACUUGGCUGAUUUGGAUUUUUUUUUUUAAAAAAUUGAAACUAGAAACCAUAAAUGAUCUAACAUUUAGAAACCAUAAAUUGGGUUCAAUUGCUUUGCUGUCCAACUCCAUCCAUCUAAAAUCGCAAGGAUGUACCCAUGUUCAAUAUGCAGUACAGACCCAAAAAUUGACCAUAUAAUGUGGCUCAAGAGAAUUUUCGAAUGGUUUUAAAGAAUUAUGAGAACACAAUGAAUAAAGUUAAGGCAUCAUUUAUUCAGCUUGCUAUAAUGCAGGUCAUUCCAAUAAAGAAGCAUUUUUUAACUAUAUUUUCCGUUACCCCAAUAACAAUGGCACAGAAUGUUCUCCGAUGAACAUAGAACUCACCAUUUUUAGGAACACGUGUAGUUGAGGAUGAGAAUUCGGAUCAACUGUAACUUCAAAUGGUGGAAUGAAAACAUUGUCCAGAAUAUUCUGAAAAGAUUUUUCAAUUCCCAUUUGCUUGUACACAUUAUACAAUCGUGGUGACUGCAGAAUUAAGUCAAAAUCAAGUGAAGAAGGUUACCUUUGACUUGAGAAAUAUAUCACAGAGAGAGAGAAAGAGAAAACAGUAAUCUGGAAAGAUGAUGCUUAAUAUGGACAUGAUACCCUAGAAACCGAUCGAUCUUAAAUUUUAAUUUCUAAAAUAUUAUUAGCUUGUGCAUACUUUCAAAUACUUUUCAUUAGAGUUACCAUAAGACUAAUUUUUCCAAUUUUAGAUGAUUCAAGAAACUAUUUGGGGGCAAUUCUUAAAUAAACAUGUCCAAACAGUAGUCAUUAACAAGAAAGCAUCCAAGAAAACCAGCAGUUAAUACUUAAAUUAACAUUAUCAAAUGGAGAUGUAAAGAAGAAAGAAUCCUACUGCAAAGCUAGAUAGCAGGAGAAUCACUAGAAUGAAGAGAAAUACUAUUGGCACUAUACCUGGAUUAACCAAACAGUAGUCUCACUAUAAAUUUCAUUGUUAAUAAACCAACUUGCCAAACUGGUCCCAUUCACUUUGUUUCCUUCCAUAUAUGGACACCCUGUACUCUGCCAUCUAGAAAAUAUAUAUAUUAUUCAGUGUAGUCAGAGGCGCAAGGAGCACUCUAGGUGCUAGAAUCCUUUUAUUGUACAAGGCACAUGGCGCACAAAAAAAAAAAAAAACUUGCUUAUGUUAAGGCACAUGUAUGCGUGUUUUGGUAUGUCCAUGUCUGUAUAUAUAUAAGCCGAAGAUAUAUAAUUAUAAUAAUAAACUAUAAAAGUGCUCCAGUCUGAAGUACAGAACAUGCCAAAUUUUCUUUCUUUUGUCAACCAUAUGCAUAUUUCCAUAUGAUGCCAUGCCUGGUGUUGAAUACUCAAAUAUUGAGAAGUUGAGAGUUCGAUAUUAUCCCUUUGUUACAAUUAAGAAACAAUUAAAGAGAUAGUAAAGAGAACUUCAAUUAGAAGGCCUUUUCCCCCUACAUGCACCAGGCAGGCGCUUAGCCUGAAAAGGUCAAAGGCCCUUUUACUGUCUGGUGAUAAGGCAAAAAACAUUGGACAAAGUUGGUGGGAGGAUAGAAUACUAAAAGAGCCCAAUGUUGUCACUUUUCUAAAGUAAGCUCAUAUGCCUUUUUUGUACCCAAACAAUAUCUUACCCUUUAAUUUGUACCUAAAGAAAUUAUUUCUAAUAGAAAGUUUACUUUUGUUAUGAUCAAUGCUGGAGGCCAAAACUGAUUUGGGCUAAGGAAUUGGUGGUGAGAGUUGGAAGGCAAGAAGAAAGAAAGUUCUUUUGAGUGUUAUAUUUUUCAAAAAAUACAAAUUGUUCAUUUUUUUUACCACAUCAUCAUGCCAGGUCAGCUUCCAUGUGGAUAAAGAAAAUUUUGGCGGCAUUGAAACAGAGGCUUCAUGGGCUUUUAGUAAUUUAGCCCUUGGAAGGAAUAUGACCAUCCAAAAAAAGGCAGUUGAUGCUUUAAGGUCAAUUAGCCGAAACAAUAACAACAAUUCCUAGGCUUCAAUAAAAUAAUUUAGACAACAAAUAAAGCUUGAAGGUUGAGUUUUGCACUGCAGCAGCAUUGGGCUUUACAAGGUGAAAACCCACAUUGCACAAAAAUAUCAAAGUUUCAGAUCUAUCAUAAUUUAAAAUUCUAACUAAACUAAACGCCAAGAAUGCUGAAUGCCUAAUCAAAAAACAUAAGAUUAACCCAAGGACCUAAUUGGGUAUGCUAAAAUUUGUCUUGGAAUGAAAUUAAUAAUAUCCUUACUAUUUCACUUUUUUUUUCUUCAUAUGUUUGGUGUGAGCAUGAUACAGAUUAGACUGAUUUUAAAGUAAAAGUAAAACGAUACCAAACCUAAACAUUUUGGUUUUUUUUUAAUUUUUUAUCAGAGCCCUGUUUGAUGCAUUUUUAGUUUUGUUUUCUAAUAACAAAUGGAAAGUUAAUUAAAAAAAAACCCUAAUCCAAUGAGUUCUUUUAUAGAUAUAAGAUAAGUCCUGCAAAGUUUUUGUUUUUUAGAAAUAAAAUUUUAUUUUUGUUUUUUAAUUCUUCAUACCUAUUUUAAUAUCUAAGUUCCGGAUUCCUAACUGCCCUUUCAAUUAUAUAGUAUUCAAGAUUUGAACUUAUAUUUUUCUAUAAAAAUAUAAUGUAUUUUAUUAUUGUAUCCUACAUUCAUUAAUACUUAGUAGAAAUAACCUAAUAAAAUGAUUUUUUUCAUAUAUUAAUAGAGAUAAGAUUCGUGCAAAAUUGUUGGUUGAAAAUUCAUUAGGAAAGGAUGAUUGUACGAAUGUACCAUCAUUAUAAGUGAGCUCAACGAUAAGCCUCCUAUCAAUCACCAGUGUGCAGAAAACAUUUGAAAUCGAAACACCCGUUCAUACAUCAUACAUCAUCAUAAGUGAGCUCAACGAUAAGCCUCCAAUCAAUCACCAGUCUACAGAAAACAUUUGAAAUCGAAACACCCCGGACAUCUCCAACAAAUCUGCCAUAACGUUAGCAUCUCUUCCAUUUUUUCUAAACAAAACCUCACUAAGCUCAUCAAAUGUGCCAAUAUUUCCAAGGCCUAGAUUUCUCAUUGAUACACCAAGAAAGCUCGACUAUGGAGUCGGAUUCAACCAUAAGCUUUCAGUCUAUAAUCCACUAGGAAUCCAAAAAGAAACACUCUCGAACACCUAAAGAACCUGAAACAUAGCAAUGACAUGACCCUUUGAAUUUCUAAGAACCUCACCUCACCACGUCGAGCUAAGAUUACCUAAUGUCGAACCUUCACGGUUAAACUUUUACCAGCCUUCACCUUACUCUUGAUAUGAUGAUUAUGGAUACUCCCUUCACAAUCCCACAAACACUCCCACCAAAUUGACUCAACAAAAUUUGCACCUAUAGGUUUUCUGUUUAUAUUUGAUUUUGUUCACACAUUGCCUAAAACUACUCAUGAUCCCUCUCCAACCUAUAAAUACGAGGAUAAUGCGCUUCAACGCGCUCAAACCCACGUCCUCCUACAUUAGCAACAAUACUCAUGUCAAUCGAGUUAAAACACAAUCAAUAGAUUUUUUUUAAAAAAAAUCUUUAAAUGUUAUAUUAUUAUAUAAGAAUUUGAAACAUGACUUCCGUAGGUUUUAAAUCUAAUGUUGACACUAAUCUUGAAUAAGUCAUUCCACUCCCAUCUUAACUAAUGGCCAAAGAGAUAUCAAAAGUGGGAGAUGGCCAUAAAAUUGUGUAGUUUGGGUUAUAAAAUUUUUGGGCAAACUACAUAUAUUAUCAUUUAAUUAUAUAUUUUUUUCAAUUUAAACACUUAAAGUAAAAAAUUUAUAAUUUAAGCACCCACAUUAUAUAGUUUAGUUAUUUUGAUCACUCCAGUUAAAAUAAAAAAUGGCAAACUGAAGCGACAAUUAAAAAAAUGUAUAAUAACAAAUUUAACCCUCAAAUUUUAUAUAUUAUAUCAAUUACAUAUUACAACUAAUUUUAUAAUUAUUGAUAUUGAAUAUGUCCCUCACUACGUUAGGGAUUUUUUUUAUAAUUUGUAUUUAAUUAAUAUUUAAAAUUAAUUUCAAAAUAUGUGAAAAUUUUAUAAUUAUUUGGUGUUAGUCCCUUUAUUAUACCCAAAUUUAGGAUUAAGCCCCUAUAUUUUAAUUUUGACAUAAUUUGUUUCUUUCACUUUUAUAAUCUCAUUAAUUAUUUCAAGUAACUAACACUUUUAACAAUAUUGCCAAAUAAAAUAAUGUCAUAUUUUUUUUUCUUAAAGCCAUCACUUCUAACUAAAUCAUGACUUAAUCACUUUCUAAUUAAUCAUACUAACUUAGAUUUUUCUUUUGUUGGAAUCAGUACGUUUAAGGAAAACCCACCUUAACAUUUGUAGAUGUCUUCAACAAUUUCCUAAGCACGAUACAAUAAAGCUUGGUGUGUAUAAUUUUGUUUUAUGGAAGCUCCAAAUUAUGUUGAUUCUUGAAUGAUACGGUCUGCAUGGGUUUGUUUUGGGUGCUAUUAGUGUACUAGCACAGUUUGUAGAGGAUAAAUAUGGGAGAUUAGUAGAAAAUUCUGAUUAUGUUUUACAUGUGCAACAAGAUAAGCUAUUGGCUUCUUGGUUACUUUCAACUGUUAGUGAUGAAAUCCUAGCCUAUCUUACUAGUGCUCGUACUAGUUAUUAUAUGUGGGAAACUAUUGAAAAGAAGGGUUGCGACUAAGUCCACGGUAAAAUUGUCCAGUCAUGUGUUGUAUUCACAGAAAAAGGGUCAUUUGUUUGUUAAAGAAUAUUUGUCUAAGAUCAAGUCCAUGUGUGAUAUGUUGGUUGCAACGGGUUGUUUGAUUUCAAAUCAAGAAAUGGUUAGCAUCAUUCUUGCAAGGUUGCCAGUUGAGUGUGAAUCAGUACGGGUAGUAGCUUCAGCUACUGGUGUGUCACUUGAUCUGUUGAUUGAGAUGCUGCUUGAUUGUGAAGCUCGAAAAUUGAGUUCUUGAAUAGUGUUCUCGUACAACCUAACAUAGCUAGUAAACAAGAUUGUGAUGAGGGUGAUCGGACCAAGGGUUCUGAUUAUAACAGUGGCUAUCAAGGGAACAAACAGACAUAUAUAGGUGGUUUUCAAUGCAAUAGAGGUUCCAUCGAGGUUGAGGCCGUGAGGGUUGUUUUUCUAACAAUCGGCCCCAAUGCCAGUUGUGUGGUAAAAUUGGACACAUUGUCCAAAAGUGUUAUUACCGUUUUGAUGAAAAGUUUUGCAGGUAUUGCUAGGAUGGUAAUAUGGUAUAGUGGGCUGCAUCUUGAUUGUUUGUUUCUCAUGCUGAGGCUAUAAUUUUAAUCAUACCUAUUAUUGUUUCUUGUGUCCUGCAAUUUCAUCAUUUGCAGGCUGUUUCACUAAUUGCAUCCUAUUUACAAGUUCCCUUGUGUUAUCCUCUGCGCUUGGGUGGUUCUCGCUCAUAUAUUAAUGACCAUGCGUCUUCAAUAGACCAUGCAUCUUCUGAUUUGUCAUUGGAUACAACACUUUCAGCAAAUGUAAAGCCGGUAGAAUUUCCGCUGUUUUUAGAAGGUCAAGACACGACAAGAGCAGCAUAUGCUGUGUUCUUGUUAAACAAGGUAAGCUUUUGCAUAUUAGUAAUUUUUUUUUCCAAGAUGAAUUAUUCUCCUUUGGCAUUUUAUAUUAUAUAAUUAGUCACUACAAAACAUAAAUAAAUAAUAAUACUCCAUUUUUACAAUAAAAAUUCACUAAAGAAAAUACAUUUGAAGUCUAUCAUUGCUUUUUCGAAUAAGAGUCGGUCAAGAAAGUUAUGCGCAAAUACUUAUAUCUUUAUUUCAGAUGCUUUCAAUUCUAUUGUCACUUAAAUCCAAGUACUUUAAAUUUGUCAAAUUAUUCAAUUUUGAAAUUCAAUCCCAAAUAUUGAUCAAUUAUAUAUAUUCAUGAUAUGAUAAAAGCAAAGACAUCUUUCAACAUUAACUUUCCCUUAAACAAAAAUUGGUUUUAAAGUAAAAAAGAAACAUAUAAAACCAGUCUAGCUUGAAUAUGAAUCAAUAUAUAAACACUAUACUUAUACCUUGGUUUGAGAUGCUUUCAAUAUUGUUGUCGCUUAAAUACAAGUAUUUCAAGUUUGUCAAAUUAUUCAAUCCCAAAUAUUGGUUAGUUAUAUAUGAUAUGAUAAAAUCAAACUUGAACAUACAUUGAUUUUUAAAGUUGAAAAUUACUUGUUAAUUUUUUUUCUUUCUUACCUAUAUGAAAAUUUUACUAAAGUAAAAGUUGAAUUACAACGGAUAAAAAGAAUGGAAAACUAGGUACCAAGCCUAGAAGACCAUCCUCAAACUCCACUAUACAAAUAAAAACUACUCAAACUCCACUAUACAAAUAAAAACUAACACCGGACCAAACUUAAUUUACCUCUUAGAUGACUUGAUCCUUCAAACUGGUUGUAUGAUAGAUCUAAAUACCGGAGAGAUGAAAGCUCACUCAAAGAUAACAAAAUGCUAUCAUUCAAGUAAUUGUAACUUAAGUCAAGGAUCUCCAAAUUACUCAAUGUGAAUGAUAGCUUUCCAAAGCCUGUAGAAGUGUUCUUUUAAACAUAUACAAGCAGUUAGUGACUUUUCUUCCAUAAAAUAAAAUAUAAGUAAUUGUAAAUUAACAAUGGUGAGAAUAGUGGAAUAGUAAAAGAUAUAAUUAAGGAAAAAAAAUAAAGGCACGACCUUCAUUUUCAAGGUUACCACCUAUGGCAUUUCCCGACAAAUAAAGUCUCUUCAAUUCCUCAAAAGGAAGAAACAUAGAGGCAUUGAGAUACCAGACAAUGAGAUUCCUAUUAUCCAUGCCGUAUUCCCAAUUGUCUUCCCAUUUUGUAGAAAUAAGGGAGAGUUGUAUGAGUCUCCUAGUGGUGGUGUUACACUCAAAUCCUUCCCAUUUACAACAAUCUGAACCCUUCACCUCAACCCAACUUUGCAAUGGAUUACGAUAAACGAAGAAAGGCUUGAGAUGCAAGAGAGCGAUUCUCUCAUGCUCCAAACAAGCAUCAGUAGUACACCAUCUGCAUCCUUCUAACACCAACAACAUUAUUGCCAUCCUAAUAAACUAUAACCAUUUCCACUCCAUCAUCAUCAUCUCUCUGUUUUGUAUACAUAUGGACUACAAUUCAAGUUUCAUGCUUAUAAUUAUACCAAAUCAAAGUUCAUGUAUCAAAUUGCACAUUAAAUCAAAAUUUAUGUAUACAUUUGAUAUUUAUCUCAUUUAUGGGAGAUUAACUUUCUAAUGGUAUUGUUUUGUUUACAUUAAUCCAAAUAAUAGGAAAUGAUGAAUUAGUUUAACGCAAAUUGUAAUUCUAUUAAUGUUUCUUCUCAAACUUUUGGUUGCUCUUAUUUACAUGUUUUAUUAAUUGAUAGAUUUAAAUUCUUGGAAUAUAUUCGGUUAGAAUGAAGUGCCCCGAAUCCUUAUUUAAAUAAAAUACAGUGUUAAAAUAAAAGAAAAGUAAAAUCCCUACAGAAUUAUACUUCUUUUAUUUUAUUUUAGAAUAAGGCUUUUUAAAUCUUAUUAAACUCCAUCUAUUUGAUAUUGAUUAGAAUAAAGAGUUUCACUCCUAUUAGAAUAAAGUUUUACAAGCCUAUAAAUAGACAUAGUCUACUCCUCUUGUAAUUAAUUCAAAUUCGACAUAGUGAAUUUUCUUCUCCUCUGCCCGUGGUUUUUUCCCGAAAGGGUUUCCACGUAAAAUUUGUGUGUUCUUUAUUUUUCUAUUUCUAUUUUCUUUGUGAUAUAUUAUCAUUACCGACAUUUAUUUUCACAAAUUGGUAUCCGAGCUUCUGGGUUGUUCAUCGCAAUCACUGUAAUGACGUCUUUGAAGUAUGAAAUUCUACUGUUGGAUCGCAACACCAGAUUCGCAUUUUGGCAGAUAAAGAUGCAGGCAGUUCUUGCACAGAUGGACUUAGAGAAAGCCCUGCUAAGGUUAGAUAAGAUGCCUUCAACAUUGAUGGAGGAAGAGAAGAAGCACAAGGAUUGAAAGGCGUUAACACAAUUACAUCUGCAUUUGUCUAACGAAAUUUUGCAGGAUGUGAUAAAGGAGAAUACCGCCGCUAGAUUAUGGAAGACGUUGGAACAACUAUGUAUGUCGAAAACUCUAACUAGUAAGCUGCAUAUGAAGCAGCGUCUUUAUGCUCAUUGUUUGGAGGAAGGUGCGUCUAUGCAUGAACACUUGACAGUGUUUAAAGAAAUUCUCUCAAAUUUGGAGGCCAUGGAGGUUCAGUAUGAUAAGGAAGAUUUAGGGUUGAUUCUACUUUGUUCGUUGCCCCCGUCUUAUUUAACCUUUAGAGAUACAAUUUUAUAUAAUCGCGAGUCUUUCACAGUUGAUGAGAUUUAUAAUUCUUUAACCUCGUAUGAUAAGAUGAUGCAUCUUAUGGUUAAAACUGACUCUCAAUGAGAGGGUCUCAUUAUUCGUGAGAGAUAAGAUCAGAAUAUUGAUGAUGAUCAUGGAAGGACACAAGAACGGAAUCCUCGUGGUAAAUCUAAAGGUAGAUCGAAGUUUUCAAACAGAGGUAAAACUUGUAACUUCUGCAAGAAGAAAGGGCACAUUAAAUCUAAGUGCUAUAAGCUACAGAAUAAGAUCAAAAGGGAGACUGUGAAUCAAAAUGGAAAACAACCAGAAAAUUUUGGUAAGGCUAAUGUUGUAGAAUACUACAGUGAUUGUGAACUUCUAGUCGCUUCUGUCAAUAAUUUUAAAGUGAGCGAGGAGUGGAUCCUUGAUUCGGGUUGCACCUUCCACAUGAGUCCCAAUAGUUAUUGGUUUACAACUUACGAAAUAGUGUCUGAAGGUGUUGUUUUAAUGGGAAAUAAUACUUCAUGUAGAAUUGCAGGUGUUGGAACAAUUAAAGUUAAGAUGCUUGAUGGAGUUGUCAGAACACUUAGUGACAUAUGACAUGUUCCAAAAUUGAAGAGAAAUUUAAUUUCAUUGAGUACUCUUGAUUCAAAAGGGUACAAAUACACAGCUAAAAGUGGUGUUUUGAAUAUUUCUAAAGGUUCCCUCAUUGUGAUGAAAGGAUAGAGAAAGACUACCAAGUUUUAUGUUUUGCAAGGUUCUAUUGUUACUGGUGAUGCAGCUGUCGUAUCCUCUUCCUUGUCAGAUGAUGAUAUUACUAAACUUUGGCAUAUGCGCCUAGGGCAUAUGAGUGAGAAUGGCAUGGCAGAAUUGAGCAAAAGUGGACUUCUUGAUAGGCAAUGAAUUUGCAAACUGAAGUUCUGUGAGCACUACAUUUUUGGGAAGCAAAAGAGAGUUUGAUUCACCAGAGGAAUCCAUAACACAAAGGGAACGUUUGAGUAUAUUCAUUCUGAUCUGUGGGGGCCAUCCAGAGUACUUUCGAGAGGUGGAGCUAAUUAUAUGCUAACUUUUAUUUAUGAUUUUUCCAAAAAAGUGUGGGCGUUCUUCCUGAAGCAGAAAAACGAUGUGUUUUUUGUAUUUAAGUCUUGAAAAACCAUGAUUGAAAAACAAACGGGAAAGUAAAUAAAACACCUCCGCACAGACAAUGGCUCAGAGUUCUGUUUUGAUAAGUUUAAUAAAUUGUGCAAGUCAGAAGGGUUCAUGAAACACUUGAUAGUUCAUCAUACUCCACAGGAAAACGGCGUUACAGAAUAAAUGAACAGAACGAUCAUGGAGAAGGUUCGAUGUAUGUUGUCAAAUACCAACUUACCAAAGUCAUUUUGGGCUGAAGCAGCCUCUACUGCAUGAUUUUUAAUCAACCGAUCUCUAUCCAUUGCCAUUGAGAAAAAGACUCCACAAGAGGUAUGGUCUUGUAAUCCUGCUGACUAUUCUGAUUUAAAGAUUUUUGGUUGUCAUGUGUGUGUGCAUGUUGAUAAUGGAAAAUUGGAAUUGAGAUCCAUUAAAUGUGUUUUUCUUGGUUAUAAAGCUGAUGUAAAAGGGUAUAAGUUAUGAUAUCCUAAAAAUAGAAAAGUUGUGAUUAGCAGAUAUGUUAUUUUUUAUGAAACUGCUAUGCUACCUAACUUAUCUCUUAAAGAAUCUCUCAAUAAAGAAAAUCAAAAGUAGGUGGAGCAUCAGAUUAAUACAGAAUCUACAACAGAGUCGACUACUGAAGCCAGUACAAAAAUUCAAAAUAGAGUUGCUCCUUCACCAUAAUACUCUAUCGCCAAAAAUAGAACUAGAAGAGAAAUUAGACCUCCAAAGAAGUAUGUCAAGUCUGAUCUAGUUGCUUAUGCUUUAAAUGUGGCUAAAGAUAUAGAUGUAAAAUAAGAGCCAUCUAAUUAUUCUGAGGCGAUUAGUUGUGAAGACUCAGAAAAGUGGAUGUUUGCUAUGCAAAAGGAGAUGGAAUCACUCCACAAAAAUAAAAUAUGGGAUCUUGUGAAACUUCCUAAAUGUAAAAAGAUUAUUCGUUGUAAAUGGGUGUUUAAAAAGAAAGAAUGGACUCCAAGAGUUGAAGAACCCAGAUAUAAAGCAAAGUUUGUUGCAAAUGGUUACAGUCAAAUUCCAGGAGUGGACUUCACAGAUGUGUUCUCUCCAGUUGUGAAGCAUAGUUUGAUUCAAGCUUUACUUGGUAUUGUGGCCAUACAUGAUUUGGAGCUUGAACAGUUAGAUGUAAAAAAUGCUUUUUUGCAUAGAGAAGUUAAGGAGGAUAUUUACAUGCAACAACCAGAGGGUUUUACAGUCUCAGAAAAAAGGACUAUGUUUGCUUGCUGAAAAAGUCUCUUUACAGUUUGAAACAGUCACCAAGACAGUGGUACAAGAGGUUUGAUUCAUUUAUGACUUCUCAUGAUUUUAAAAGAAGUAGCUUUGACAGUUGUGCUUACUUUAAGAAAAACAAUGAUGGUUCUUUUGUGUAUCCACUCUUUUAUGGUGAUGAAAUGUUGAUAGCAGUGAAAGAUAAAUGAGGGAUAAGAAAGGUCAAAGCCCAACUAAGUGAAGAAUUUGAGAUGAAAGAUUUGGGACCAGCAAAGAAGAUACUUGGUAUGGAGAUUCUCAAAGAUAGAAAAGUAAGUAAAUUGUACCUAAGUCAAAAGGGGUACAUUGAGAAAGUUCUUUGCAGAUUCAAUAUGCAGAAUGCUAAGCCUGUUAGUACUCCUUUAGCAGCCCAUUUUAGACUUUUAUCGGCUUUGUCUCCACAAUCAGAUGAUGAGAUUAAGUACAUGUCACAUGUUCCAUACUCUAGUACAGUGGGAUCUCUCAUGUAUACUAUGGUUUGUUCACGUCCAGAUUUAUCAUAUGUAGUUAGUGAAGUUAGCAGAUACUUGGUGAAUCCCGAUAAAGAACAUUGGAAAGUAGUUCAGUGGAUUUUAAGAUACUUACGAGGUACUACUGAUGUUUCCUUACAGUUUGGAAGAACUAGAGAUGAAGUCAUUGGGUAUGUUGAUGCUAAUUUUGCUGGAGACUUUGAUAGAAGAAGAUCUCUCACAGGUUAUGUCUUUAUAAUCGGAGGUUGUGCAAUCAGUUGGAAAGCCACUUUGCAAACUACAGUUGCUUUGUCCACCACUGAAGAUGAGUACAUGGCGAUUACUGAGGCUUGUAAAGAAGCUAUUUGGUUGAAGGGACUCUUUAGUGAACUCAAUAAAGGCUUUCAAAUCAAUACAGUAUUUUGCGACAGUCAGAGUGCUAUCUUCUUUACAAAAGAUCAAAUGUUUCAUGAGAGAACAAAACACAUUGAUAUUCGGUAUCAUUUUGUUCGUGAUAUUAUUGCUUGUGGUGAUAUUGUUAUGAGCAAAAUUAGUACUCAUGAAAAUCCUGCAGAUAUGAUGACUAAGUCACUUCCUAUAACCAAGUUUGAGCAUUGCUUAGACUUGGUUAGUGUUCAUUGUUGAAGUUAAACCCUUAAGGGGUUUUAUGGAAUAGGUGGAAAACUUGAUCGUUGAGAGUUCGCGAUGAAGAACUUGUUCAUUAAGAAUUCGUGUCAAUGUGGAGAUUGUUAGAAUUAAGUGACCCGAAUCCUUAUUUAAAUAAAAUACAGUGGUAAAAUAAAAUAAAAGUAAAAUCCCUAUAGAAUUAUACUUCUUUUAUUUUAUUUUAGAAUAAUAUUUUUUAAAUCUUAUUAAACUCCAUCUAUUUGAUAUUGAUUAGAAUAAAGAGUUUCACUCCUAUUAGAAUAAGGUUUUACAAGCCUAUAAAUAGACAUAGUCUACUCCUCUUGUAAUUAAUUCGAAUUCGACAUGGUGAAUUAUCUUCUUCUCUGCCCGUGGUUUUUUCCCGAAAGGGUUUCCACGUAAAAUCUGUGUGUUCUUUAUUUUUUCUAUUUUUAUUUUCUUUACGAUAUAUUGCUAUUAUCGACAUUUAUUUUCACAUAUUCUAAUUAAUUAGAUAUUUCCUUCCUUCCAAAAGCCUUUCAAAAUAGGUUUAGUUUGACCAAGAUACUCUUGUAGAAAAUUUUAGUUUUGUGGGAAAACGAAAAACUAGAUUUAUUUUUUAUUCUAAUUGGUUUCAUAUGCAAGGUAUAUAAACUUUUGUGUCGCUGCAAUUUUUUUCCAACAUAUGUAUGUGAUUUGUGGGGUUUCAAUUUUGAAUUUUUUUUAUAAUUUAAUUAAAUUGUGAAAGUAUUUGAAAGUUUUUAAGUUGAUACAAUGUUUAGAACUACCCCAACACCCACCCAACCCUUAAAUAGGAGGAUAAACAUGCUUCAGCACGCUCAAACUCACAUUCUCCUACAUCUAUGAUAAUACUAAUGCCAACCGAGUUAAGACUCAACUAGCCUUGAAUUUUGAAUUUUACUUCUGAUAUAUUUUGAAUUUUGAAAUUUUAAUUUUGACCCAAACAGUAGCAGUUAAUUUAAUUUGAUUAAAUUUAAUUACUAGACCUAUAUUAUGCGUACGAUUAUUGAUUAGUCUAUACUCUCAAAUUGGGCAAUUCUAAGUACCUAUACUUUCUGAAUUUUGAAAUUUCAGUCUUGAUGCAAAUGACAAUUGUUAAUCUAUUAAUUAGAUUUUUAGCGAGUAAUAUGUAAAAAUAACAAACUGGCAUAACAUUACACAUAUGAUAAUAUGUUUAUUGCACCGCAUUUGAAAAUAGCCGAAUUUAACAAAUAUCGUUAGUGAGGAUUGGAAAUUAGAGUCUAGGGAUUAAAUCCACAAGUUCAGUAAAUUACAAGAACUAAUGGUAGAAUUUAACCUUUAUAUAACCUUUAAAUUCUAACCGUGGUUUGCACACUACUCAGCCGACCAUUGGCUGUGGUGGGAACACAAACUGUUUGAAUUUGACAUCAGUGAUUGAAUUUUCAUAGCUAAUAUGUACGUUCCUUCAAUUUCUCCAUAGGAGGGAGUGGAAUACAUUAUAUAAGGUAAUAUUUGAUAUAUUCGGUAAAUGAAUAAUUGCAAGAUAUCUCAUUAUCUAGUAAAAUAAAUAAUGAAAAUUUUAUAAAUAAAUAUUAAUAAAAUAUUAUUACAUAUAUCAACAAUGACAUAGUAAGUUGCAUUAACUUUUAGAUGUUGACUAUUGACUUUUGCAUCAACCUUGAACUUACAUAGGCCCCUACAAUAAUUUAGGUUAUGGAAAUAAUCUUGCAAAUAAUGCUUGAGACAUCAUUAUACAUCAAUUUAUAGUUUUAAUUCUUGUACUUACUCAAUUGGAAUAAAGAUUUAGUUUUUUAUUUUCUUUUGAUACAAUGUCUAGAAUUAUCCAUAGCCCUUUUCCAACCCUUAAAUAAAUGAAUAAUGUGCUUCAGCGUACUCGAACUCACAUCUUCUUACAUUGACAAAUUGCUGAUGCCAAUUAGUUAAUGUUAAUGCUAUACUUUAGUUAAAAAUAACUAACAUUAUUAAAAAAUUCAUUAGUUGGCUCAUGUGGAUUUUUUUUCAAAAAAAUUGAAAUUAAGAACCAUAAAUUCUUUAAGACUUAAAAAUUAAAAUUAUGUGGUUAUUAAAAAAGAUUUAUUUUUUAUUAAAUUAUUAUUUAAAAUAAAUUUAUCUCAUCAUAAUGAUAUGAUUUUUUUCUUUAAAAAAUCCACAUUAACCAACUAAUAGAAUUGUAUAAAGCUGCCACCAAUCUCUUAGCAUGAUGGCAAAAGAUUCAGAGGCAGCCAGAAAAUCUUUUGAGGGGCGUGAAUAAAGUUAUAUAUUUUUAUAAUAGCAAAAGUGAAAUUUUAUUAUUAUAAUAGUUUAUAUCUUUAAUUUUUAAAAUAUUAAAUAAUUUUUUUCUUAUUUUUGAGGGGAUAAAGUAUAAGUUUAUCAUAUACUAAUUUUAAAAUUAUAAAAAGACUAAAUGUGAAAUUUUUCAUUUUAAGGGGUGGGGCCCUGUCAGGUCUCCUUGGCUUCACCUUGAUAAAAGUAUUAUGUAAUACGUAUAAAGUUUGAGUUUAAUCCCAAACAAUCUCAUUUCUUAUCCCUCAUUAUAAAAUAAUAAAAUAAAUAGAGCAAUUGAUAUGAGGAGACAAGUAUAAUAGGGCAAUUUUAACCUGGGCCAGAUUUCAAAACAAAACCCAAACCAAAUAAUAAAAGAGUCCAAAAUAAUUAAAACAAUCCAUCCAUUUUACAAACAAACCCAAAUUAGCAGCCCAAAUACAAAUUAAAACUCAAUAACCCAAAACUAACUAUAGCCCAAUUAGCUAAACACUUAAACGCAACAAAAAAAACCCUAUCCCCCUAAGCCUCCAACGCUGCAUGACCACCUACGCCGCACGUCGUCGCUGCCGCUCGAGGCUCGCCUAUCUUCGACCAUCCACGCAUCUGACACUUGCAAAACCAAGGCAACACGCAACAACAAAGGCCAAAUAGAGGAAACAACAAGGAAACAGACAAAAAAGGAAGAAACAAACAGUUUUGAUUCGGCUAUAAAAGCCCGAAUCUCACCCUUGUAAUUUUUUUGCGAACAUUAGAAAAUAAAAAAACAAAAACAACACUUUCAAGGUGAAUUUCUACUUUUAUUUCUGUUUUAAAUACUUAUUUGAUUCUAUAUUCAUAUUUUUAUUUUAUUUUUUAUAUAUAUACGAAAAUAAUAAAAUAAAAAAAGGAAGAAAGGGCUCACCGGAGACGCCCCGUGAUCGUGCCGUCAGAAGGCUCUUCUCCGUUGUUGCCAUCGGAUCCGAGAGGGGGUCGAGAGUCUUCCUCUUUCGCUUUUUUGGGUCGAGAGGGCUGGGCUUCCAAGGGAGCUGCGAAACGGGGGCUAAAAAUGCCCUUUUGCGCAACACCGACCACCGGCCACGACAGCACUACGACGGCGACCAUGGCCGGCCAAGGGGUGGGCUGAGAGAGAGACCAAGAGAUACUGAGAGAGUUCUCUGUUUUUUUAGAAAAAUGAAAGUUGAACCGUUUUUUUCUUCUUUUUUUUUGCUAUUUAUAUAGGGUAUAAUACGACGCCGUUUUGGACUUAAGCAUCAGUGGCCAAAACAAUGCCGUUUUGCAUCAGACCUGAAAAUCGACUCGAAUGCGGCCAGGAUCUGCGCGUUUUAGCUUUGAGGAGCUAUUUGCAUAUUCAGCCCUUCCGCUUUUGUAGUAUAGUGCAAUCUGGUCCUCGUUGUUUUUAUAUUUUGGCCGCAUAAUUUUUUGAUUGUUUUACUUUGGUCCGAGCUGAAACGCUGCGCAUAGGGGCUAGGAAUAUUGCCCAGUCGGUCCCUCAUUCCUUAAGCGCGCUCUAUUUCAGUCCCUAGCAACCCUUUUUUUUAUUUGUAAUUUAAACCCCAAAUUCUGGGUCGAUUUUAGUAUCAUCCUUAGUCCAUUUAAUUUAUUUGUUCACUAUUUUUUAUUUAAAAAACUCUUUUAUUAUUAUUUGUUUUAAGUUUUUUUAUUUAUCAUUUAUUUUAAAUUGUUUUACAUACUAUUUAUUUAAAUUUUUUAUAUAUUAGUCAUUUUAAACCAUUAUAUGUACAUUAUCUUUUAAAUUUUUAUAUACAUAUAUUUUUUUUAAAAAAAACUGUUGUAUGUUUCUUAUUUAUUUAUUUUAAACUGUUAUUAUUAUUCAUUUUAAGUUUUUAUAUACUGUUUAUUUGAAGCCGGUUAUUAUUUAUUUUUGAAUUGUUCUUAUAAAUUAUUUACUUUAAAUUAUUAUUUACUUUGAAAUUUUUUUGCAUAUUAUUUUGUUUUGUUUUUUUUAUUGUUAAUAUUAGUAUAAAAAUUAUAUACAUUGUGUGAUUAUUACCGCCAUGUGUACUAUAAUUAGUUUCUUCGUGUUUUCAUAUUAUUAUCACUCAUUAACAUAACAUUUUUUUCAUAAAUUGUUAUUUUAUGUUCUAUGUUAUCAUUCCAUUUCACUUCAUCACUUCGAAAGUUGCAUUCAAUUUGUAUUUACCCAUAAUAAACCGUUCUAUUUUGUCACAAAUAAAACAAAUGCACCUCGUUCAAGCAUUGUACUCACAAUUAUUCAAAACGGGGAAAAGUUUUAAAAUAAGACAAUAUUUCGCAUUUUGGAGAUUUGAGAAAUUGUACCCUAACUUACGGGGUUUCAAUUUUCUCGUUGAACCUAAAUAGCAAAAUAUCCUUCUAAUUUUCAAAAUUUACGAAAUUCCAAUAAAGUUAAAGGCUAGCUUAUUCUCAAGGGUUCUAAGUGUCGUGUCCUAACUUACGGGAUGUGACAUUUAUUAUCUCGAGACGAGAGGAUCUUUGACAUUCGUUUCAAUUUAUUCAAGCAAAUUCUUUUAAAUUAAAAUAGCGUUAACAAAAGGGGGAUCGUGUUUUAAAUUCUUUCGAAGUUUUUCAAUUUUUAACAUUUAGACAUUAAUUAAUCAAUUGAAUACCAAUUUUGGGCGUGACGAGGGUGCUAAUCCUUCCUCGCAUGUAACUGACUCCCGAAUCCGUUUUCUCAAAUUUCAUAGACCAAAAUCACUGUUUUGAUAAAUUAAAAUAUUUUAUUAAAACAACUAAAUUAUGAGGUGACCUAAUCACACCUCAUAAAAAAAAGAUUGGUGGCAACUCUCGUUUUAAUUUCCAUUUUCAAACCAACGUCGACCCUUUUAAAAAAAUGGUUUCAAUAUUAAGUUAUAAGUUGAAUGAAUUAAAAAUAUGUGAAAAGUGUAAAUAGAGACUCUUCAAUCUCAUUUCCUCUAAUGCUCUUUUUUUAAAUUUUUUUUUAAAUUUUUUAUGUACCUUUUAAAUAGUUAAUGAAAAUAAAAAUAUUUUGAUAAUUUUCACUUCGAAAUGCAAAAGCCAACAACAGUUUUUGACUACAAAAGCGGUGUGUUCUUCAUCACUUCUCAGUGGAAAAACACUUCUGCAAUGUAACAACACUUUUAACCCAAAACGGCUUUUUCACCACAAUAGAGAAUGCACCCUAAAAUUGUAAAUAGAAAAAAGAAGGAUCAAACAUUGUUUCUACCCUGUUUUUGUCUCCUCUUUGAAAAUACUUUCCAAAAAGUUUUAUCAUUUUUUUUUCUGUUUACAAAUUCCUUAUAGAAGUGCUUUCUUUUGAUCCACUUGCAUCAUUGUAAUAAGUUUGCAUUGCCUUCUAACUUUCUAUGUUGAUUACAGUUUAUUAAGUUUUCUGUUGGAUCUUAUAGUCAAAUUCCUUUACAUCAUGUAUGUUAAUUUGCUUAGCCCUGAUAAAUGUUAGAUAUAGGGUUAUCAGUGUCGAAACCACUUUUUUGGCGAACAAAAAUUAGUUGUUGACUUUAAAAACGAAAGUUGGAGUCGCCAUCGAUCCUUUAUUGGGGUGUGAUCGGCUCACCUUAAAAACGAUUUUGGUCUGCAAAAUUUGAGAAAACAGGUUCGGGAGUCGGUUACGCAUGAGAAAGAGUUAGCACCCUCUUAACGCCCAAAAUUGGUACCGAAUUAAUUAAUUAAGGUCUUAAUGCCGAAUAUCGAAAAUCUGUGAAGAAUUUAAAAAUACGAUCCUCCCUUUUUGUUAAUGUUAAUUUUAUAAAAGAUGCUUGGAUAAAUCGAAGCGAAUGCUAAAGACCUUUUUGUCUUGGAAUAAUAAAAUGUCACACCCAAUACGUUAGGACAUGACAUUUUAGUCCUCGAGAAUAAGCUUGUCUUUUGAUUUUCAAAGCUCGUGCGGUGAAGUUUAAAAAGGAUAUUCAAUUGCUUUAACUCAGAUGAAAAAUCGGAGCCCAAUACGUUAGGGCACAAUUUCUCAAAAUUCCGAGCAUUGAAUAUUGCCCUUAUUAUUAUUAUUUUUAAAAUCUUCAUCUCGAGAAAAUGACAUGUCAUAUCCAAUAUGUUAGGACACGACGUAUCGAAUUUUCGAGAAUGAGCUUUUUAUUUAUGCUUUAAUUAAAAAAGGAUACCCGGUUUCUUAGAUUCAACGAGGAAGAUUGGAAUCCAAUAAGUUAGGACACAAUCUUUUCGAGGAUCCUAAAUUCCGAGUGUCGCGUUAUUUUUGAAAAAAAACUUUUUGAAUAAAAAUGCUCUCGAUACUUGAAUGAUAUUAAACGUAACCUUUUAACAACGAAUAAAAUGCGACGGGACGAUAAUGUAUAACGCGGAAUGACGAUUUGUAAACAAAAUAUACUCUAACGAAUGACAAAUAAUCAAUAAAAACAAAUAAACAUUAUCAUACAUAUAAGAGCAAUAAUCACAUGUAAAUAUUAACAUCAACAUUUGAAAGCUAAUGACCUAAAAGCCUAUCGCAAAUACAACAAAUUUAAAAUAACUAAAAAAAAAGCAUGAGAGAAAAGAAAUUUGAAAUUAUCAACAUAUAUACACAAAAUACACGUAUAUAAAAAUUUAAAAGAAAUAAUUAAUAGGAAGACUUGAAAUAAUUUAAAAAUAGAAUUAAAAAUGAAUAAUAAUAUCUAAAUGAAUUUUAAAAUAAAUAUUAUAAGAAGAAAGUCAAAAUAAAUAAAACCCAAAAUAAUACACAUAUAUUAAUCUAAAUAGGUAAUAGAUAUAAAUUACGUAUUAUAAAAGAAAACUAUUUAAAAAGGGUAAAUUCUAUUGGAUUAACAUAAAAAUAUAAAAUAAUUUAUUAUGAAAUUAAAUAAUAAUAUAUGAUAAUAAUAUAAAAAAACUUAAAAUAAUAGUGCAUAAUAGAAUAAAAUAAUGAAUAUAAAAAGGUUAGAUAAAUUGAUAAAAAAUAAUACUAAUAAUAAUAAUAGUAGCAGUAAUAAUAAUAAUAAUAAUAAUAAUAAUAAUAAUAGUAAUAAUAGUAAUAAUGAUAAAUUAAUAUUAAAGUAAUUAAUUUGAUAGCAAAAAUAACAAAACAGAUUACUAAUUUGGAAUUAAAACAGAAAUUUAGGGGUAAGACGUGCAAUAAAAUGAAAUGAAAAGGACCUAAUUGAAAUUAAUUUAAAAUCAGACUGACUAGCAAAGAAAUUAAACGCACAAGUCUCACCUGGCAAUCAAGUCAGAUCAUCAGAAACGGCGUCGUUUCGAACGUUUGUCUCCUCAACUGACAGAAGGACGAAAUUGAAAGAAAUAUCGAAUUAUGUGGCAAAAUUAAAAAAGACAAAGAAGGAUUAAAAUGAAGUAAAUAAAAAACAGAAGGACCAAACAGGAGAAUAAGCCAUUGAAACAAAACACGCGGAUCCUCCCCGGGUCAAAUCGGAUCAUCGGGUCAACCAACACGGAGACGUUUUGAAGCCAUUAAAUCGGGCUUAAACGGCACCGUUUUAUUAUCGUUAAAAACCUAAAAAAAUAAAACCCUAAUAAUUUGUUUUGCCAUCCUAAAACAGAUCAAGAGCCUAGCCUUCUCCCCACCGGUCUCCACUCACGAACCCAAUCUGACUCCGAUUCAGACGGAGCAAACCAGAUUCCAAUGGCGUCUGCUCUGGUAAGACGCUUCUUCUCUCCCUCUUUUUUUUUCGUUUGGUGCCAAAGAAGAAAACAAAGAAUCAAAGAAAUAAAAGAGAAAAAAAAACGAAGAAAAUCACCUUUCGAAAAAACUUUCUGUUUUGAUUUUUUGUUUGUAUUCAAUAUGCGUAAAAAAGGAUUACAAUGGCCUUCUCCCUCUUUAUAGCCGAAUAUUCGAAAUAAAAUGAAAGAAAAUACAAAAAAUUCUCUCUGCUGCGUUGUUUUCGUCUUCUUUGCAGGUAAGGAGGCUAGCUGGCGUAAGGAGGUGGUGGACGUGGCACAGCACACUCGGGGAAGGCCCUGGUGGCUGCGGCGCUGGAAGGAGGGCUGUUGCAGCUAGGGUUUUCUGAUUUUUUUUUGGGCUAGGGUUGGGUUGAUAGUUGUAUUGGGCUAGGUAUUUGGGCUGGGUGUAGUUGGACUAGAUGUAUCUGACUUUGGGUUUGUACCGGGUCACUGUAAAUGGGUUUGGUUUUUGUUGUUAUUGGGCUGUGAACUAUUUGAGUUUUAAUUAAUUUUUAUUUAUUUGGUUUUUUAUUGUGGGCUGGGCAAAUUGGGUAUUACAAUCAGCUAAUUAGGAAAGACUGUGAUGAUAGUCACACCUUACAUCCAAAAGCAAAGCUUUUUUUACAUGUGUAUGUAAGGUUGCUAAGCAAAUCUGGUGAGCCUUCACUGCUGUUUUAAGGUUAAGUUAAUGUUCCUUUUCGGCAAAGAACAUUAUCGAGAUCACGGUAUUUUGAUCGCCUUUUGCUUCUUGUUAUUCGUUCUGAAACGAUUGCAUAAUCUUUACUGUGAUUGCAGGAUAUAGAGCAACUUUUGAAUUUCAUCGCUGUAAAGUGUUUAGGACCACGACAUGUUCUUGCAAAUUUGAAGAAGCUUCUAAGGUCUGUCCAGUCUUCAGAAUAUAUAGAUACCUGAAUUAAUUUUGAUUUUGUAGGAUCAACUAUAAUUAGCUACUUAUUAGAGUAUGAAUAGACAACCUCACCUUCUUCACACACUGACACGUGCGGAUUUUUUGCCAAUCCCAUUUCAAAGGAUCACACUUUUUUGUUGUUUACAGAAUCAUAAUUAAUGUUAAUUAAAGUGGAAUAUUUCAGAUUUCUGAUGAUGAGCAUAUUCUUGAGUAUUGCAGUAAAAAAAUGGGUGCGGAACUUAUUUGAACUUUGAAUGUAUGUUUUGUUGGUGAGAAUAUAAAGUUGAUAAAGAUUUGGUAAAUAGAAUAAAAUACUAUUUUUUAUUAGAAAAAUUAUUUGGUAGACUGCCAAUCGAUUUAUAAUUAUCAUGACGCAAUAUUAAGGGUAAUUAAAACAUGUCAUAUUACAAAUAAUAAAAUUAUAAUGACUCAAAUAUACGAACAUGUCAAAAUUUAUGUACAACGAAUUAUUAACAUGUCAAUGUAUAGUAUAAUAUGGUACGCAAAAAUAAGAUAAUUGCUUGUCUUUAAUUGAAUUGUUAUAACACAUUAUACAAAAUACAUUGUGAAUUAAAGCAUAAUAUAAUCAUGAUAUCAAUAUAUUAAAUUUUUUAAAAAUUCGAUGAUACGAAUAAUUAUGUAAAAUAUCACAUGAUACAAAAUGACUUGAGAGGAAAAGAGGAACAAAGACUUGCNNNNNNNNNNNNNNNNNNNNNNNNNNNNNNNNNNNNNNNNNNNNNNNNNNNNNNNNNNNNNNNNNNNNNNNNNNNNNNNNNNNNNNNNNNNNNNNNNNNNNNNNNNNNNNNNNNNNNNNNNNNNNNNNNNNNNNNNNNNNNNNNNNNNNNNNNNNNNNNNNNNNNNNNNNNNNNNNNNNNNNNNNNNNNNNNNNNNNNNNNNNNNNNNNNNNNNNNNNNNNNNNNNNNNNNNNNNNNNNNNNNNNNNNNNNNNNNNNNNNNNNNNNNNNNNNNNNNNNNNNNNNNNNNNNNNNNNNNNNNNNNNNNNNNNNNNNNNNNNNNNNNNNNNNNNNNNNNNNNNNNNNNNNNNNNNNNNNNNNNNNNNNNNNNNNNNNNNNNNNNNNNNNNNNNNNNNNNNNNNNNNNNNNNNNNNNNNNNNNNNNNNNNNNNNNNNNNNNNNNNNNNNNNNNNNNNNNNNNNNNNNNNNNNNNNNNNNNNNNNNNNNNNNNNNNNNNNNNNNNAUGGUCUUCUAGGCUUGGUACCUAGUUUUCCAUUCUUUUUAUCCGUUCUAAUUCCACUUUUGCUUUAGUAAAAUUUUCUUAUAGCUAAGAAAGAAAAAAAAAACUAUUAACAAGUAAUUAUAUAUAUAUAUCAGGUUUUCAAUUGCUUUCAAGACUCAAUAACUUGGAAACUCUCGAUUUAAGUCGGAAUUCUUUUAAGAAUAGCAUUUUGUUCCAUAUGAGAAAUCUUUCAUCCUUGAAGACUUUAAGAUUGAGCGGUAAUCAGUUGAAAGGAAGGCUGGAUCAUAUUCAAGGUAGACUAAUUUUACCUGUUUCUUUUUAACUUUAAAAAUCAAUGUAUGCUCAAGUUUGAUUUUAUCAUACGAUGAAUGUAUAUAACUAAUCAAUAUUUGGGAUUGAAUUUCAGGAUUGAAUAAUUUGACAAAUUUGAAGUACUUGGAUUUAAGUUGGAACGACAUUGAAAGCAUCUCAAACAAAGGUAUAAGUAUUUGUGCAAAACUUUCUUGACCGACUCUUAUUCCAAAAGGCAAUGACAGACUUCAAAUGUAUUUUCUUUAGUGAAUUUUUAUUGCAAAAAUGGAGUAUUAUUAUUUAUUUAUGUUUUGUAGUAACUAAUUAUAUAAUAUAUAAAUCAGGUUUUCAACGGCUCAUUAAAUUGGAAAUUAUUGAUAUAAGUUGGAAUUAUUUGAAGAAUAGCAUUCUUUAAAAUAAAUUCAUGUUGAAGGAAAAGUUGUUGCAAUAAGUCAUUUGAUUUUAUCAUAUCAUGAAUAUAUAUAAGUAAUCAAUAUUUGGGAUUGAAUUUCAAAAUUGAGUAAUUUAAGUAGGAAGGUAUCUCAAACAAAGUAUUUAUAUAUUGAAUCAAUUCAUGGGAAAGCUUGUAAAUUGGCUCUUCCUUCUCAAACAAUCAUUUUUCCUAACUUUUUAUAUCUUGAAUGAUAUUAACUAUACUCAUUAUUUUCUUCCAAUGAUAGAUGGAACACAAUGGAGGCUAACAAACUUAGAGGAACUUGAUUUGAGUGGUAAUCUCUUUCGGAACAACACAAUUUCCUUUCCUCAAGGGCUUUCAAGCCUAAAGUCUUUGACUUUGUACAACAACCAUUUGCAAGGCUCAUUAGAUACUAUAGGUACCAAAGCUAUAACUUUGUUUUUCUUGAUAAUUCUUUCUAGAACCUUUUAAAAUUAAUUGUUUCAAAUUUGAACAUUCACAUUUCACUUUUGAGGAUUUUCAUCUUCACUUCCAGUUUUAGAUUUACUUUUUUUUUCAUUUUUAUUUCAUUAAAAUAUUAAGUAGAAAUUAAAAUUAUUAACAUAAUGAUUUUUUAAAUUGUACGUGGAUAUGUAUAGGAUUGAGCAAUUUAACAAAUUUGAAGAAACUCGAUUUAAGUGGGAAUCAAAUUGAAAGCUUUCAAACCUUUAAAGGUAUGCAUUUAUAUUUAACUAAUUACCUAAAUUCUUACAUAUAAUUAAAUUUUAUGCCAAUUCAUUUCAGUGAUGAAAUUAUAUAAAUCUUUUGUAGAUGGUGGUAGAAAAUUGGAGUUGACCCACUUGGAAGAGCUUUAUUUAGAUGGAAAUCACUUCAAUACUAGUGUAUUUGCAUCCCUUAACAAGCUUUCAAAUUUGAAAUCUUUGAGCAUAAGUGAGAAUCAAUUGAAAGGAUCAAUAGAUAUGAAAGGUAAAAAUAUUAGUUUUUUAACAAGAAUAUAAUAAUGUUUGAAGAGAAUAUAAUGAAGUUGAUUUGUUGUUUUUGUUUUCCUAGAUUUGGAAGCAUUUAUCAAAUUAAGGGAACUAGAUAUGAGCUAUAAUGAAUUGAGAGAUUUUGUGAUCCACCAAGGUAUCAUUUAAUUAAUUUUCCUUUUUUUUUAAUUUAGAAAUUUAGUUUUGAUCUAUGAUAUUAUAAUAACAGUUAUUGUCAUAAAUAUUAAUAAAGUUAUAUCAUAUCAUACUUGAAAGUAAAAUAUGGGUUUGGUGAAACAUUUUCUAAACCCUCCAUUAUAAUGUGUUUCGACUUUGGUUUGAAACUAAAAUUCUUUAAAUUUUUCAUAAUUUUUAAAUAUUAAUGUUUAUAAUUAUUUUGUUUGUAUAACUAUGUUUUUAAAAUAAUUUAUUGAAUUUUUAUGAGAUAAAAAAUAAUUAUAACGAUAAAAAAUGAUAUUAUAAGUAAAAAUACAUAUAUUUAUGGGAAAAUAUGUAAUAUAACUAUAUUUUAAUUUCAUAUAUUUUUAAUAGUAUAAAACAUAAAAAUACAUAUUAGAGUUAAAUAAAUGGCAUUUUUUGGCCAAAAAUAAAUAAAUGUCAAUUUUGAAUAAUAUAAAAAAAAACUUCAAUUUUAUGAAAUUUAAACAUACAUUUUGAGGUGUUUAAACUUUUUUUUUUAACUUUUUAUAAAUUUCAAAAUGCACAUGUUGUUAAUUUUUUGGUUUUAAAAAAUGUGAUAGGUCUAUGUACUCUUUACAAAUUUGUAAUUUAAUUCUUGUAUUUUUAUUUUCGGGAAUUUGAUCCCUCUAUUUUUUAAAUUUUAAAAUCCAAGUUCAAUUGUUAACAUUGUUAUUUUUUUAAAAAAUAAUUUAUUGGUGUUGACAUUUUAAAAUAAAAGAACUUGGUAGCGAUGUAACUAAAAGAUGAUGUAAUGAACAUGGAUUUAAUAAAAUAAUUUCAACCGUAUAAAUAGUUAGACUUGAAUUUUGAAAAAAAAAAUUUGUAAAGAGAAAAAUAUGCACAUUAGAUUUAAAUAAAAAUAAUAUUUUUUUUAGUUUAAAAUUUUCUAUUUUAUAAUAGAACCAUUGAUUUAAAUAAAUGAGAUUUUGAAGAAUUUCCAAAAAAAAAAAACUAUGUAGGUGAAAUUUAAAUAGAGAAUUUGAUAAGCUGAAAUUCUCUUUUGGAAUUCAUAAAUUUUAAAAUUCAGAAGCAUGUAUUUUGACAAUUUUGAUUUAAUAUGGUGAAUUUAAUCAAAAAAUUAUUUAUUAGAUUGUAAAAUAUUUCUUAACAUUUAUAAUUGAGUACAAAGUAAAUUAAGUUUAAGGGAAAAUAUUGGGUACUAUUAAUGAAAUUCUUUUCUUUUAUCAAUUUUUUUUUAAAAAAAUCGGGGUGGUACUAUUAAUGAAAUUCUAAACUUCAUAAGUAGGAUUGAGAUAAUAACAAAUUUCUUAUAUGGUAUAGUAAAAUAUUAAAAAAUAAAUAUUUAAAAGAAAUAGGUUAGUGGCCAUUUUUUAACUUCACUUGUAGAGUUAAAAAACUCCAUUACCAGUACCAAAUACUAACAUUAAGGUUAAAUGCUAAUUGAUUUCAAACAUAUUUGAGUUUUUUAAAAGAAUAUUCUCAUAUAUUUAAAAGAAAACAACACAAAGUUAGAAGAUCUCAUCUUGAAGGGUAAUUCAUUUACCGGUCCUCUCACAUUACCGUCAGCUCCUAACUCUAAAGUGUCUUUAAUUGACAUAUCCCAAAACAAAUUGCAAGGUCAGAUUCCAACCAACGUGUGUUCACAUUUUCCACAUUUGAGCCACUUAUUCUUAUCCAAGAAUGCCUUCGAAGGUGAUAUCCCUCCUUGUUUGAGUGGCAUGAAGGAUUUAUCGAUUUUAGAUUUAUCAGACAAUCAAUUGUCUGGAAGAGUACCUGAAGAGUUAAUCACAAAAAACUCGUUGACCAUUUUGAGACUAUCAAACAACAACCUCAGUGGACAUGUGCUUCCUGUGAUUCUCAAUGCAAAUGGGCUGUCAAAAUUAUAUUUGGAUGGAAAUAAUUUUUCUGGGGAGAUGGCAAAUGUUGAUGUCUCUAUUUCUGAGUUUCCAACUUCACUAAGGGAAAUUAAUCUCGGAAAUAACAAGUUUUAUGGAAACCUCCCAAGAUGGAUGGGGAAUGUGUCAUUUUUGGAGAGAUUAGCUUUGUCCCAAAAUGGUUUCGAGGGUUCUAUUCCAAUGGAAUUUUGCAACUUGAAUCGCUUGGAAUUUUUGGAUCUCUCUGAAAACAAUUUAUUUGGCUCUAUACCGUCCUGCUUUAAUACCCUAAACAUAAAGCAUGUCCACCUGCACGGGAGUAGACUAAGUGGCCCACUACCAAUCGCUUUUUAUAAUAUCUCUUCACUGGUUACGUUAGAUCUUAGAGGAAACAAUUUGACUGGUAGUAUUCCAAAAUGGAUUGGCACACUUUCUUCAUUGAGUGUUCUUCUCUUGAAAGAUAAUCAUUUUCAUGGUGAAGUUCCAGUUCAGUUAUGCAAGUUGGAUUCUUUAAACAUCAUAGAUCUUUCUCAAAAUAUGUUUUCUGGUAUUAUACCUUCUUGUUUGGGAAAUUUAACCCUUUCAACGGAAACAAAUAAGAUUCUAACUGAUUCGAAAAUUAGUCCAAGGUUAACAGGGGACGGAUUAGUGAAAACAUUGGGAGCUCUCGGAAAUUAUUACUAUCCUGAAGGCUACUUAGAAGAAGUAAUAGAGUUCACAACAAAGAGUGGGUUCUUAUCGUAUGAGGGAAACAUCCUUACAUAUAUGACCGGGAUUGAUUUAUCUUGCAACAACUUAACUGGUCAUAUCCCACCAGAAUUAGGGAACUUAAGUGAAAUCUAUUCUUUAAACUUGUCGCAUAAUAAGUUGACAGGAGUUAUACCCUCAUCAUUCGCAAAACUUCAUCAAAUUGAGAGUUUGGACCUUUCUUACAACAAUUUGAGUGGUGAAAUCCCCAAUCAGUUGGUAGAGUUGAACUCUUUGGAGGUUUUCAACGUGGCAUACAACAACUUGUCAGGUAGUAUUCCCGAACCAAAAGCUCAAUUUGGGACCUUUAUUGAAAACAGUUAUGAGGGAAAUCUUUUUCUUUGUGGAGCUAUAUUGCAUAAAAGUUGUUCCAAAACCGAUUCACCAUCAACGAUAUCAACUCUAUCAGAAUAUAAAGGAGAAGAUGGUUUGAUAGGUACUUAUGAUUUUUGUGUGAGCUUUUUGGUUUCUUAUGUAGUUGUGUUGUUGACCAUUUUUGUUGUCCUCUACAUAAAUCAAUACUGGCGAAGAGUUUGGUUUUCUCUCAUUGGGAAAUGCAUCACCACCUGUCGCUACUCAAAUGUGGGCAAUUUUCUUACUUAUCACAUUUUCAAGCAAUGAGUUUAGCUACUCAAAUUGUAAUUUGAUUUUCACACCUAAAUGUUUAAUUAUGCUAAGUUGAGCGAUAAUGAAUAUUUUGUUGAUUUUUGCAUUUUAAAUAAAAGCUCUUUGAUCUUAUGAUUUUAUCAUUUUCAACCAUCUAUUUCUUUUUUCUUCUAUGAAAUUUAAUGUAAAAUCAUAAUCCAUUAUUAUGUAUAUGCAAUAUCUCUUUGAAUUAAAUUAAAUUGAAUACCAAGCGUUCACUAGUGCAUACUGAAAAGGAAAUCUAAUGUAAAAUUAAACCAAACAUACUAGAAAAAUGAAUCUGAAACUGAAAUAUUUUAAAACCUCAAAAACAAUGCAAUUCUUUAUUCCUCUUUUCCUUUCAAGUUAUUUUGUAUCAUGUUAUAUUUUACAUAAUCAUUCAUAUCAUCAAAUUUUAAAAAAUAUUUAAUAUUUUGAUAUCAUGUUCAUAUUAUGCUUUAAUUCACAAUGUAUUUUAUACAAUAUGUUAUAACAAUUCAAUUUAAAAAACAAGCAAUGAUCUUAUUUUUGCAUACCGUAUUAUACAUUUACAUGUUAAUAAUUCAUUGUACGUAAAUUUUGACAUGUUUGCAUAUUUGAGUCAUUAUAAUUUUAUUAUUUGUAAUAUGACAUGUUUUAAUUACCCUUAAUAUUGUGUCAUGAUAAUUAUAACUCGAUUGGCACCAAAUAAUUUUUCUAAUAAAAAAUAGUAUUUUAUUCUAUUUACCAAAUCUUUAUCAACUUUAUAUUCUCACCAACAAAACAUACAUUCAAAGUUCAAAUAAGUUCCACACCCAUUUCUUUACUGCAAUACUCAAGAAUAUGCUCAUCAUCAGAAAUCUGAAAUAUUCCACUCUAAUUAACAUUACGAUUCUGUAAAAACCAAAAAUGUGUGAUCCUUUUUUAAAGCUCUUUUUUUUUUCCUUUAAUGAAAUGGGAUUGGUAAAAAAUCCGCACAUGUGUCGUGUGUGAAGAAGGUGAGGUUGUCUAUUCAUUCUCUAAUAAGUAGCUAAUUAUAGUUGAUCCUACAAAAUCAAAAUUAAUUCAGGUAUCUUUAUAUUCUGAAGACUGGACAGACCUUAGAAGCUUCUUCAAAUUUGCAAGAACAUGUCGUGGUCCUAAACUCUUUACACCGAUGAAAUUCAAAAGUUGCUCUAUAUUCUGCAAUCACAGUAAAGAUUAUGCAGUCAUUUCAGAACGAAUAACAUAACAAGCAAAAGGCGAUCAAAAUACCGUGAUCUCGAUAAUGUUCUUUGCCGAAAAGGAACAUUAACUUAACCUUAAAACAUCAGUGAAGGCUCAUCAGAUUUGCUUAGCAACCUCACAUACACAUGUAAAAAGCUUUGCUUUUGGAUGUAAGGUGUGACUAUCAUUACAGUCUUUUCUAAUUAGCUGAUAACCCUGUAUCUAACAUUUAUCAGGGCUAAGCAAAUUAACAUACAUGAUGUAAAGGAAUUUGACUAUAAGAUCCAACAGAAAACUUAAUAAACGAUAAUCAACAUAGAAAGAAGGCAAUGCAAACUUAUUACAAUGAUGCAAGCGGAUCAAAAGAAAGCACUUCUAUAGGGAAUUUGCAUUUAAGGCAUCGUAAACAGAAAAAAAAAUGAUAAAACUUUUUGGAAAGUAUUUUCAAAGAGGAGACAAAAACAGGGUAGAAACAAUGUUUGGUUCUUCCUUUUUCUAUUUACAAUUUUAGGGUGCAUUCUCUACUGUUGUGAAAAAGCCUUUUUGGGUUAAAAGUGUUUUUACACUGCAGAAGUGUUUUUCCACUGCAGAAGUGAUGAACAACACAUAGCUGUUGUAGUCAAAAACUGUUUUUGGCUUUUGCAUUCAAAAGAGAAAAUUAUCAAAAUACUAUUAUUUUCAUUAACUAUUUAAAAGGUAUAUAAAAAUUAGAUUAAUUUAUAUUUUAUAUAUUAUUAUAUUAAAUUGUUUAAAUCUUAUUUAUUAUUAUAUUUAAUUUUUUCAAAAUAUUUUAUAUAUUAUCAAUUUUACAACUAAUUAACAAAAUAUUUUACUAGGGAAUACGUAUAUGUGAAUAUCUAUAAAUGGCAUGCCUGGAUAUGCAUAUCCUUUGAUAUCAAAUAUUUUGAAAAAAAUAUUAUCAAUUCCACUGAUAUAUUAUCAAUUCCACUGAUAUAAAGCUCUUUAUAUUACCAAUAUAAAUAUAAAUAUUUUGAAUAUAAAUAUCCAUUGAUAUAUUAUCAAUUCCACUGAUAUAAAGCUCUUUAUAUUAUAAAUAUUUUAUAUUUUUUUUCAAAAAUAUGGAUAUGCAUAUCCUUUGAUAUCAAAUAUAAAGGUAAUAUUUAUAGGAAUUGUUUUUUAAUUAGAUAUUUUUAUAUAUCAGUGGAAUUGUCAAAAUAUUUUCAUUAACUAUUUAAAAGGUAUAUAAAAAGAGCUUUAUAUUGCCUCAAGCGCAAGGCACAAAAUGAAGCGCUAGCCUGUGUGCAGUAAAGCGCAAUACGUAUAUGUGAGAGUUUUUGCAAGUCUGUGUGUCUAUAACAUAAAAGUUUAAGAUAUAUAGUAAACUCUAAAGUGUGGUCUGGUUUAUCCACAAAACUUGAAAUUUUUUUAUAGGUGAAUGCUCAAAUAUUGAGAAUUAUAGAGUUUGAUAUUAUCCCUUCCUUAUUAGUAAAGGUAUAUCAAAUGAAAACAGUGAAAAAUAAAAUAAAUUAUUGAGAAAUUCAACAAGGCAGGUUUUUCUAAUGCCCAUUGCCUUACAAAAAAAGUGUGCCUAGGUGCACCAGGCAUGCGCUUGAUCAAAUGGACCUCACCUGGAAGGGUCCAAGGCGUUUUGUUGUAUAAAACUAAGGCGUAGGCAUGCCUAGGCGCAUGCCUUGACGACACUGACCAUAUGUUGGCUUUAUUGCAAAGCAUUAGCAAUUCAAAACUACUAGCACAUUACCUAAUCUACUACUGCUAGAAUAGGACUCAAGUUCUUGCUCCUGUGCAGGUCCAACCAAGAUCUUUACAGGAUACAGUAAUGAAACUUGUGAUAUCAUAUAUUGUUGCCUUGCUCGAAGCUUCCUUUGCACAUUUUUAAGUUUAACACAACCCCUUUCUUCAGUGAGUAAUCUAUUUGCUUCCUGUGAUAAAAACAACAUAUAAUCAAUCAUGCCAUGCAUGCAAGACUACCAACCAUCUUAAAAAAGAGACAAAGAAGUAGGACAGCAAGAAGGGGAUAACCCUUGACUAUGCAAAGGAAUUCAUAGAAUGAGAAUCAUCUCAUCUAAGCCCCUCAACCACCUUCACAGGGGGUGGAGCUGCAAAAAGAGAUGUCUUAUUGAUCCAAGAGGAGAAUAAAUAACAUCUAAAGCUGAAUAAGAAGAAACCUUCAAAUGUAUCAUAAAUUCAGCAUUCAUGAUAAUAUCAAAAUGAAAUUCCAAAGCUAAUUUAAGCUAGAAUAAAAAUGCUUCACCUGUAAUCGCUUCCUUGCUACAGAAAGAGAGGUACCAGCAACCAACAAUGAUCUUACUUCAGUACUAAGCAUUUCCUCCUGUUUUUUAGCAUCCUCUGUUGCAACUUUGCAACGAGUUGACAUUUUGCCAUAACUACUUUCCUUGCCUCUAGUCUCUCACGCAUUUCCUCAAGCUCGUUCAGUUUAUUCAAAGACUCAUUUUUUACCUGCACAGCAUGUUCCCGCCCAUUAAUCAGUGGGCCAAUUGAUUAGGUCACAGAAGACAAAACUAAAUUACCACUCACCAGGUCCCCUUGAAGUGUCAUAUGGCUUUAACAAUUCAACGUGCAAUAUCUAGUAAAAGUAAAAUAAACAUAGAAGAAAGCAAAUGCAAUUCUUAAACGCCUUUAAAUGGACAACAUGAAACAGUUUAAGAGCCCUAUAAAACAGUAAAGUGGAAAAAAAAUCUGAAAAGGAAAAAGAAAUGAAUUGAAACAAUAAAUCCAUCAGGUACAAACAGCAACAAAACUUGAAAUAAGCUUUGGCUUUAGCCCAUUAAAGCCCGGGCAUCCAGCCAAAUAAACAGUGACUGCCAUGUCAACUUUUUGAGACGGUAGAAAAGAGAUCGAAAAUCUCAAUUUCCAAAAAUAAGGACAUAAGAAGUAAAAAAAUGCACUUAUUCUUACAGUAGAAGAGCAAAAUGAAACUAAAUGAAGCAUAAGGGAACUGAUGCGAAUUGACAUUGUCAUUUUUGGGACUAAAAAGAAUACGCAGAUUGAAUAUUUAAGAUUUGGAAGGGAAAAGUUCCAUUCACCAACACAAUUAUCGUCGCCCUUCAUCCUAGUAAAGCUUAAUUGACAAUUUUUCUGUCUCGUGUUCUUGCUAAAGCAUUUGAGCAACCCAACAGAAAUCAUUAUAUUUCAAACUGAAAUGAUUGGCUUUAUCAAUUUCACAACCUAUACCGCCCAACCUAGUAAGUAAUUUAGGUGCAGACACCAGAAAUCUAUUUCCUUUGCACUCUACAACUAAAUAGCCUACCACUUAUCAAUCAAACACAGCUGAAAACUUCAGUGAGGAAACAUUAUGAAAACUGAAAAAACUAUAACUUCAACUUGAUUCAUAGCUCGGCAAGUUCAGGGAAUUGGGACUUCUACCACCAUGAUCCAGUUCGAUGUGAAACAGUGAUCUAUAUCACGCAUAUCGGUUCCCGCAACAAGAGGUAAAACAGCAAAUUAGGUAAACGAUGAUCCUACUAUAUUUCAGAAUAGCAACAUUGAGCAUGAAAGCUAAAGUUAUAGCAUAUUAUGGGUCCUUGCUCUCUACAACUACAUAUAAAAUUACUAAACAAUAUUACUACAUUAAGGAUCCAGAAAAACUUUGUUUCAAUUGUUGAUCACUUGAUCCAACUAUUUUAGAAAGUUUAUUCUUCUUUUUCCUUUCCCUUAUUUUCUAAAUCAGGAAAAACAGUAGCACAUAAACUGGAUUACUACUCCAAGUUUCUAAAAUUUCAGCAAUAUCCCUUUAACCUUUUCACUCAAGUCACUACCCCCCCAAUUAACAAAUAUAUUCCCAGUUUCCCUUUCACUUCAAACCCCCUUUUUUUUUUCUCUACCCAAAUUCAGCUUAAGUUCAAAAACCCAAAAUUGGUUUGCUAAAAAUACAUAAUUUUCAAACACAAAGGUAACCUAAUUUUAAUCAGAAAAAAAAAGCAUUACCUGAAUUAGUGAAUGGAGUUUCUCUUGAAGACUUUGUUUUAAAACUAUCUUAUACUAUUUGCUUUAAAUCGAUUUUUAUUAGCUAUUUAAAACUCGUUUUCAUGUAUUAUUUAUUUUUUUAUCACUUAUUUAAAUUGUUUUACAUAUCUAUUUUUUAAACCCUAUUUUAUUAUAUUUUACUUAUUUUAACUUUUUUACAUAUUUCAUUAUAAAUAUUAUUAAUUAUCUAUAUUGAGUUUUUCAUUCCAUAUGUAUUACUUAUUUAGAUAAAUAUAUACUAUUUUGUGUAUUACUUAUUUUGAUUUUCUUCUUAUACAAUAUUACUUUAAAAUUCAUUUAGAUAUUAUUAUUUCACGUAGUAUUUAUUUUUAUCUUCAUUUUUUAUUUAUUUCAAACUCAUAUAUUGUUUAUUUUGAAAUUUUAUGCAUAUGAUUUAUUGUUUAUAUUGAUGAUUUUAAAUUUCCUUUCUUGCAUGUUUUUUUUAUUUAUUUUAAAACUUGUUAUACUUUAUUUGUGUUAAUUUGCUUAGUUUUUCUUUCAAAAUUAACUUAUAAUUCAUUAGCUUUUAAUGUUAGUAUUUGCACAAUAUGUGAUGUAAGAUUAUUGCUUUCCUGUAUUGCUUAUCUGUAUAUAUUGAUUAUUUGUCAUUCAUUAGUAUACAUUUUGGUUUACGAAUUGACUAAUUUACCAAAAAAAGCCAUUUUUUUAUAAAUUACCGAAAUAGGCCGGUUUUUUAAUUAUUUACCGGAAUGGGCCAUUUCCCCCGAAAUCGCGCCACGUCGAAGCGAUGUCAGGGGACGGGGCAGAAGGUCGCGUCCACGUCAGAGCGACCUACUGACGUGGAAGGAAAUCGCUCCCCUGAGGGCGCGAUUUCCUUCCACGUCAGCAGGUCGCGCUGACGUGGACGCGACCUCCUGUCACUUUGCGCGGUACCGGGAAUGCGAUUUUGACCCUGAUUUUUACGCCUAGGUUUUAUGGCUUUUAGGGUUUAGGGUGCAGGCUUUUUAGGAGUUAGGGGUCCGGGAAAAUUAUUUUUCGAGUUGACGUUUCUGGUUAAAUAGUGGGAAAUCGCUUAUACUAGGAUGCUAUUUAAGAAGAAAUUGUGAAAUAGUGGCCUCGUGGACGCGAUUUCGCUACAGUGGUCAUGUGAGAAAUAAUUUUUUUAGACGUUUUCUGAGGAAAUAGUAUAAAAUCGCUGAUACCAGGAUGCUAUAUGAGAAGAAAUUGUGAAAUCGCGCCCUCGUGGACGCGAUUUCGCUACAGUUGGUCAUGUAGGAAAUAAUUUUUUUUGACGUUUCUGAGUAAAUAGUGUCAAAUCGCGCCCUCGUGGACGCGAUUUCGCUACAGUAGCAAGUUUGGGCUGAGGUUAUAAAUUAGGCAGAGAAUUUUCUUAGAAUGCAUAACUCAGAGCAGAAACAUUUUAGGUUAGGGUUAGGGAAUUUAGAGUUUCAAAAUGAGUGAAUGUAUUAGUGCUGUUAUUUACUACGAUGGUGAGGUUUGCCACACCGAGAAUGGUGUUGUUUUUUUGUCGAAGAAUACGAUGCGACUGUCAUUUAGCCAAAACAUAGAUUUGACAGAACUCCGUAAAAGAAUUAGGCGUAAAAUCUUCGGAACCACGCCAAUGAAAGUUCAGUCAAUGACGUAUCGAUUUUGUUCUUCUGUUGAUUCGGUGACAUAUGACUCGUUCGACAUAAAAGGUGCUCGUAGCUUAGAGGCAAUGGUGCAGACUCAUCUUGCUAGCGGAGCAACUUAUAUUGAGUUAUAUGUACAAUUUACGUCACCAAAUGAUGUACUUUCGUCCGGUGUUCGAGAUGUAUACACGACCCCUGGCCGACACUCGGUUAGUGUGUUACAAAAUACGGAACAGCCCAUGUUCGGUAGCGGUGUCGAAUGCACAUCCCCCCAAGACACUCUGUCGGUGGAUGGGACAUGUACGUCGGUGGCUCGACGGUUGACGCUGGAAAUACGAGCUGGUACGUUCAUUCUCUUAUUUUAUUUUAUUUCAUAUUUUGGGAAAUUUAGAACGAUAAGCGAAAAUGAAUAUAUUCAGAUUAGCAGGGGACAUGACCCAUUUGUUUAGUGUUCUUGUUUUGCUUCUUAAGAUCCACACAAUCAAGUCUUGUGCUGGUACGUUCAUUUUCCAAAUAUUUACUUUACUUUUUGUUUCUGGGCUUAUUUCAUUUUAUGUUGUACUUUUUUCCCAGUAAUUUACUGCUUAAUAUAAAAGAAUCGAAUAUUUAGGUUAAAUUGUGGGUGGGUUUUUGCUAGUUUAUUGAAUACUCAAAUUGGAGCCAUGUAAAAUGUGGAAACUUUAGCUUGAUAGAAAAUGUGACCCCCUUUUUUUUUAAUGUAUGGAAUAAAAAUUUUUGUAUUUUGUGAAUUUUUUUUUAGUAAUUUGAAUUUGUAUGUAUGUUCAUUGGAAGUUUAGAAGCAAGGAGUUCUGAUCAUUAGGACUUUAUGUGAUUCAUUCAUUUUGAGUUAUAGUGUAGUUAGUUGUUGGAUUUAGUGUCACUGUUGGCAUCUUAUUUUAGCUGAUUUCCUUUCUAUUUGUACCGAUAAACCUCUAGAGGUUUUGAAAUUAGCAACUGAUUUUUUUUAUGUGUGAGAGUUUUUAUGGAAAUCAAUAAGCUAAUUACAUUUUGCAGGAUCAUACAGUCGGGUUAGUGGUUUUUAUGUCAUGCUGGCCUAUGGUUUUGAGAUGAACAUCAUGAAAUCUGUAUAAGAUGAGGGUAUUAAACUAUAAACAUAGCCGAGGUAGCGAUUUAUUUCGUAUCAUGCUAUUGGAAGUUUUUUUGGGGCGGCAAUGUCAACUAAAUUUAUAUUCUUUUGAUCAAGUCGAUUAUUUCCAGUUGCACAACUAGCUUGUUGGAAAUAUUUUCUUUCUUUGCUCCUGUCCUUUUCACUUUCAUAUUUUAUGGGUGGUGUGAUGAUGGGAAGAUUCAUGGGUGGCUAAAGCCAUCUUACUCACUAGAAGUGAGGCUGUUAUUUUUAGAAGUUAGAGAUGCUAUAUCAAUUGAGGAUGCCGUGAGCAAAAGCUUGCUAAUAAUAAGUGACUGUUCAUAUGCGUGGGUUCUAUCACAUGUUGAUGGAGUAUUUGGUGCUCUUUCUUCACUAAUUUCAUAUGUAUAGAUAUAAUUGUAUAACAUCUCGACGUUGAUUACUGUUACGAGGGGAAAAAAACACAGCAUGUAAUGAAACUCAAAAAGUAGGAAUCCUAGAUCCUUGUAUUCAUUCAUAGGCAUUUUACAACAUUUGAUUUAACUUGAGCAAGAUUCCGUUUUGGGCCUGGUCUUUUCCUGUUCGUUCCCUUGUUUAUAUAUGAUGAAGUUGGUUCAGCAUGCAGGAAACUCGACAGCAUGCAGGCCAUGAAGACCAAGUCGUGCAGGAGCUGCUGGAACGAGCUGAACUUUUCCUAUUUUGUUCAUCUAGUAAUCUUAAGUUAAUGUAAUGUACUUUAGUUCAUUUAGAACUAUGUUAGGUUUAUGAUUGAUGUAAUUUUGAUGACAAUUGAGCUGUUAAGUCAGCUUUGUUUAAGUGUGUAAGCUUAGUUUUUCAAGUUUCAAUGUAUUAGUGGUAGUAGGUGAUGAUUAGGUAUCAUUAUGCAGAUUUUGACAAGCAAAUUGCUUGGUUUAUGUAUUGGCAUUAUGCCAUUGUUCAACAUAUGAAUGAAAUCAACUUUGUUCAUCAAUAUUCUCUCAAAUUUCCUCAGCUUAUUUUCUUUUUUCUUCAACUCGAAAUUGUUUGUUUGCUCAGCAAGAUUCGAGGCUUGCUCGACAAGAAACUUGCUGAGUCUGUUUGAUUCUGCUGUUGCACCAACAAUUGGUAUCAGAGCUUAUUUCUUAAGGGACCUGUUAUACAAAUCCAUGGCUUCAUCAAGUUUUUCACCAGCUGCACCUCAAGUCUUCAAUGGAGAAGGCUAUCACAUAUGGGUGGUCAAAAUGAAGACCUACCUGCAGGCAUUUGAUCUGUGGGAGGUGGUCAACUCUGAUGUUGAACCAGAGCCACUUAGAGCUAAUCCAACAGUGGCUCAGAUCAGGCAGCAUGCUGAUGAAAGGACCAAGAGGCACAAUGCUAUGUCUUGCAUCCAAAACUCAGUGUCUGAUGUGAUUUUCACAAGGAUUAUGGCCUGUGAAUCACCAAAACAGGCCUGGGACAAGUUGCAGGAAGAGUUUCAAGGGACUGAGAGGACAAGGCAACAACAGUUGUUAAACUUGAGGAGAGAUUUCGAGAAUUUGAAGAUGAAGGAAGAAGAAACUGUCAAGCAAUAUUCUGACAGGAUUAUGGCUGUGGUUAACAGCAUCAGGCUCCUUGGAGAGCAGUUCAAUGAAGCUAGGAUAGUGGAGAAGGUUAUAGCAACUCUGCCUGAGAGGUAUGAGGCAAAAAUCUCAUCUCUCGAGGACUCAAGGGACCUGUCCACCAUCUCCCUGACAGAGUUGAUCAAUGCUCUAUAUGCUCAAGAGCAGAGGAGAGCAAGCAGACUGGAGGAGCACCAAGAAGGUGCCUUUCAGGCAAGAACAAAUACUUCCUACAAAGGCAAGAAGGCUUGGAGAGACAAGCCAAAGGAUGAUGCUGCAAGGAGAGAAGGUCAAACUUGCAAGCACUGCAGAAAGGCUGGUCAUUCAGAAGAAAAAUGCUGGUUUAAUCCAGAUGCUGUGUGUCAGCAUUGUAAGAAAAAGGGCCAUGUUGAGAGAGUUUGUAAGAGCAAUGCCAAAACAAGGCGCAAUCAGGCUCAACAGAUGAAAGCUGAGGCUCGAGUAGCUAAGGAGGACAGUGACCAAGAGGAGCAAGUCUUUACUGUGUCAUGCUCAGCUGCUCAGGAAAGGUCCUCAUCUGGUUGGCUCCUAGACAGUGGAUGCACCAACCACAUGACACCUGAUGCUGCAAUCUUCAAGUCUUUAGACAGAAGCUGCAGAACUAAAGUCAAGAUAGGAAAUGGUCAUUUUAUUCAAGCUGAAGGCAAGGGUGAUGUUCUGAUAUGCACUCUUACAGGUACCAAAGUGAUUUCAAAUGUGCUGUUGGUGCCUGAAAUUGACAGAAACCUGCUCAGCAUAGCUCAGUUGCUGGAAAAAGGUUACUUAGUUGUGUUUAAAGACCACCAAUGCCAAAUCAGUGAUCCAAGUGGAUCCAAACUGAUGGCAGUCCCUAUGGCUGAUAAGAGCUUUGUGGUUGACUGGACAAAAAAGUCAGACAUUGCCUACACAGCCACUUCAGAUGAAUCCAAGCUGUGGCAUCAAAGACUGGGACAUGCCAACUUCAGAUCGAUGGCCCGAAUGAUCAGAGAAGACCUGGCUGAAAACUUCAUCAACUCAGUAGACCAUGAUGAUGUAUGUGAAGUAUGUCAGCUAGGAAAGCAGGCCAGACUCCCAUUUCCCUCGAAUCAAGCCUAGAGAGCCUCUGAAAAACUCCAACUGGUGCAUACUGAUGUGUGUGGACCUAUGAAGACUGAGUCAUUAAGUGGAAACAGGUAUUUCAUACUGUUCAUUGAUGAUUUCUCGAGAUAUUGCUGGAUUUACUUCUUAAAACAGAAAUCAGAGGUGGCCACUGUGUUUUGGAAGUUCAAAACUGCUGCUGAGACUGAAACAGGCUGCAAGGUGAAGACCAUAAGGUCUGAUAAUGGGACUGAGUACACCUCAGCUCAGUUCCAAGCCUUCUGUGAUAAGGCAGGCAUCAAACAUCAACUUGCCAACACAUAUACACCUCAGCAGAAUGGGGUAAGUGAAAGGAAGAAUAGGAGUUUGAUGGAUAUGGCCAGGUGCUUGAUGAUUCAGAAGAAUCUGCCUAAAGCACUAUGGGCAGAAGCAGUUAACACUGCAACAUACAUUCAAAAUAGACUUCCAACCAGGGCUUUGGAUCAAAAGACCCCAUUCGAGGCCUGGUUUAGCUUCAAGCCAUCACUGGCUCAUCUGAAGGUCUUUGGAUGCAUCUGUUAUGCACAUGUACCUGCUGUUAAAAGGGACAAAUUGUCUGAAAGGGCUCGACCUGGUGUUUUGGUGGGCUAUAGCACUGUUAAGAAGGGCUAUAGGAUUUUAGAUCCUUCAACAAACAAAGUGUCAGUAAGCAGGGAUGUGGUAUUUGAUGAGAGGUCAUGUUGGAACUAGGAAAGACAUGAACCUGAAGAAGUUUUUGAAGAACUUGCAGCAGACCAAGCUGAGCCAGACCAAGAUGUCCCUGAAAUGGAUAUUGAUGAUGAACCAGUCAGAGGAACAAGGCCAUUGGCUGAAAUUUAUGAAAGGGCUCAUGUAGCCAUAGUUGAACCAAGCAACUUUGAAGAGGCUGAGGCUCAGCAAGGGUGGAAGCAGGCAAUGGCUGAGGAGAUCAGCAUGAUUGAGAAGAACCACACCUGGAAAUUGGUUGAAAGGCCAGUCAAAAGGAAAGUGAUUGGGGUGAAAUGGGUGUACAAAGCCAAGCAGAAUGCUGAUGGUACCUUGAACAAGCUGAAAGCAAGGCUAGUUGUCAAGGGGUUCAGUCAGAGGUAUGGCUUGGACUACCUGGAGACCUUUGCACCAGUGGCCAGGCUCGACACCAUCAGACUGCUGAUUGCCUUAGCAGCACAGCUUGAAUGGAAGAUCCAUCAACUUGAUGUGAAAUCAGCUUUUCUGAAUGGUUUCUUAGAUGAAGACAUCUAUGUUGAACAACCACAAAGGUUUGAAAUAGCUGGCAGAGAGCAUAUGGUCUACAAACUGAAAAAGGCCCUAUAUGGAUUAAAGCAGGCUCCAAGGGCCUGGUAUAGCAGAAUUGAUGGCUACUUGACUGAUCUAGGAUUCGAUCGAAGCAAGAGUGAGCCAACACUGUAUGUCAAGAAACAAGGGACACAAAUACAACUCAUUGUGUCCCUGUAUGUUGAUGAUCUUCUGGUGACAGGAGGAGAUCGAGUAGUGCUGGCUGAUUUUAAGACCAAGAUGCAGGAAGUGUUUGAAAUGUCUGAUCUUGGGGAGAUGUCAUACUUUCUUGGAAUGGAGGUGUCUCAAGUAUAGAAUGAGAUAUUUCUAAGCCAGAGAAGCUUUGCCACAAAGAUUCUGACCAAGUUCUCCAUGCAAAACAGCAAGGCAACUAAAACACCUAUUGCUGUUGGAGAAAAACUAUCGAGCCAAGGUGAUUUUAAGAAAGUUUGUGAAACAACCUACAGGAGUCUAGUUGGUUGCUUGCUAUACUUGACUGCCACUAGACCAGACAUUAUGUAUGCUGUAGGAUUGCUCUCAAGGUUCUUGCAUUGCUGCAAUGAGAAGCAUUUCCAAGCUGCAAAGAGAGUGCUGAGAUAUGUCAAAGGCACUUUAAACUAUGGUUUGAAGUACAGUAAAGAAGGAAAUCUGAAGCUGAUUGGCUACACUGAUAGUGACUGGGCUGGCUCGAUAGAUGACAUGAAAAGCACCUCAGGGUAUGCUUUUAACCUUGGUUCAGCCAUGUUUUGUUGGAGCUCAAAGAAGCAAAGUCUAGUAGCUCAAUCUACUGCUGAAGCAGAGUAUGUGGCAACAGCAAGUGCUAUCAACCAAGCCAUAUGGCUAAGAAAAAUAUUGGCUGACUUGAAUGUGCAUCAAGAGCAAGCUACUGAGAUCUUCUGUGACAACCAAUCUGCAGUAGCAAUUGCUAAAAAUCCAGUGUUCCAUGGAAGAACAAAACAUUUCAGCAUAAAGUUGCAUGUUGUUCGAGAAAUGGAGCAAGCUCAGGAAGUAAAGCUGGUCCACUGUAAUUCAGAAGAUCAACUUGCUGACAUUUUAACCAAAGCUCUUAGUGUCACAAGGUUUGAAUAUCUAAGAAAGAAGCUAGGUGUUUGCUCCAUGCAAACCAAGGAGGAGUGAUGAAGUUGGUUCAGCAUGCAGCAAACUCGACAGCAUGCAGGCCAUGAAGACCAAGUCGUGCAGGAGCUGCUGGAACGAGCUGAACUUUUCCUAUUUUGUUCAUCUAGUAAUCUUAAGUUAAUGUAAUGUACUUUAGUUCAUUUAGAACUAUGUUAGGUUUAUGAUUGAUGUAAUUUUGAUGACAAUUGAGCUGUUAAGUCAGCUUUGUUUAAGUGUGUAAGCUUAGUUUUUCAAGUUUCAAUGUAUUAGUGGUAGUAGGUGAUGAUUAGGUAUCAUUAUGCAGAUUUUGACAAGCAAAUUGCUUGGUUUAUGUAUUGGCAUUAUGCCAUUGUUCAACAUAUGAAUGAAAUCAACUUUGUUCAUCAAUAUUCUCUCAAAUUUCCUCAGCUUAUUUUCUUUUUUCUUCAACUCGAAAUUGUUUGUUUGCUCAGCAAGAUUCGAGGCUUGCUCGACAAGAAACUUGCUGAGUCUGUUUGAUUCUGCUGUUGCACCAACAAUAUACCUCCACUGUGCCAUUGUGUAUUUGUGUUCGAUUUUCAGUUCUGUCUCACAAUCCCUGUCAUGUCUUAUGAGUGAUUUUCUGGCUCUAAAUAUCUAUGAUAUAUUUGUGCAGGCAUUUCACUGAAGACUCAGGAACUCUAUGCUAUUGUCUUUGCUACUCGUUACUUGGACAUAUUCACUAAUCAUAUCUCGCCUUAUAACACAAUCAUGAAGCUAAUAUUCCUGGGCAGCUCUUUCUCAAUUGUAUGGUACAUGCGGUAUCACAAAAUAGUUCGUAGAUCUUAUGAUAAGGACCAGGAUACAUUUCGACAUUACAUCCUUAUACUCCCUUGCCUGAUUCUUGCCCUUCUUAUAAACGAGAAGUUCACCUUCAAAGAGGUAUCGACAUCCUUUUGUUUGUUGGAAUAUGAUAACAGUAUGUUCAUAUUAAUUACUGGUUAACUUAGAAGCUCCCUAAACUGUUUAUCUGUUUUAUAUUAAUUAUUCAUUAUUAUCCUUCUGGUUAUAUUUUUAUAUAUUGAUUAUUGUCUUAAAAAAAAUUGUUGAGCAGGUCAUGUGGACAUUUUCCUUGUAUUUGGAAGCUGUUGCGAUACUUCCUCAGCUUGUAUUGUUGCAAAGGACUAGAAAUAUUGACAACUUGACUGGACAAUAUGUGUUUCUCCUUGGGUAACCACUGUAUUCUUUAAAAAUCCUAAUCAGUUGCAAGUUUUCUAUUUUAUUACCUUGCAAUUUGCAUGAAGGACCCUUAUUUCCUGGCUCAGUUCCCUAAAAUGUUGCCUCCUUCCUGAGGAAACAAAAGAGAGAAAGUCUCUAAAUAGAGUUGCCAUCAUAUUGCCGCUUGGUUGCCACUGAUUUCUUUUUGAUGAAAAGUUGAUAUGAUUAUAUGUUGGACCAAAGUUAUCUAUUUUCAGAUGUGAUUAACUGCAGUUGAAUUUUGCGAGUAUGACUGUUCUUGUGUAACUUUUGUUAUGUGCUUUCAUGUCGUUUUUAGUCUUUUACACUGUGUUCUGUCUAUCUUUGUUUGCUAUUAUCCUAAGUUAGGAGACAAGGUGCCAUUAGGAGCAAUGUGACGUCAAAAUUCAUUUCCCUUUAGCCUUCAGUUCUACCUUUUCUUCCCUUUCUUUAUGUAGUUUUUGGGAGUUGGGGAUCACAGCGAUGAUAGUCGGUACAUGUGACUUGAAAGAUGCCUAAAAACUUCAAGAGCAUAGUGUUGUAUAAAUCUUUUGGAGAAAUUUUUUUGGUACAUUGAUGCCAACUUACAAUAACCCUUGCCACUACAACCGUGGCUUUGUUGGCUUAUGUAUGCACUCUCUUUGUCUUUAUAGGUCACCAAAUUCCUAAUGUCUAAUUCUUGGUUAUGGACUAAUAUAGUUGCUUGUUAUUGCAGUGCAUACAGAGCAUUGUACAUAGUGAACUGGAUUUAUCGGUACUUUACUGAAGACCACUUUGUCCACUGGAUAAGUAUGUACUCUUCUCUGUCUCCCUUCAUCUUUUACUCCAAGUCGGUAGCCAUGGGUGUAUGACGAGUGUGUCAAUAUAUCUACCCCAACACAUUUGUGAUAUACUAUGCUAUAUGUGUUAUUUCUAACACCUUGUUUACAUGAUUGCUGCCUUUCAGCUUGGAUUUGCGGUCUUGUCCAGACAUUGCUUUAUGCUGAUUUCUUCUACUAUUACUUCCAGAGGUAACCCCCUUUCUGACACUCUGGAAAGCACUUCAUACCUAUGUGAAUGAUUGCAACUUAUUUGAUUAUUAUGCCUGCAGCUUGAAGAACAACAUGAAGCUCCAAUUACCAGCUUGAGAUUUUAAUGGUGCAAGUUUUGUAGUAGCAUACAUAAACUUACAUCAUAUGGGUUCAAAUUUAUGAGUAUUUCAAUUAAUUUUAAUUUCACUAUGUUAUAUUGUAAUAUCAUGUAAAAAGUAUCAUAAAAGCAGGCAUAAGUUUUCCACCAAUUAGAACAUUUUGAAAAUUGAUGUCAAGCCCGAAAUGACCGUCACAAGUAAGCAUAUUAAACGUGUGAAGAGAAGACCUUAUUUUUCCACAUAACUAAAACUUUUUACACCAUAGGAACUUUCAUCGUCAUCAAGUUGGACAUGGAUGGAGCUCACGUAAAAAUAAUUUUUCAUAUAAAAACUAAAAACUAGAAAUUGACUUGUAAUAAUUCUCAAGGUUAAGGUUGACGUGGUCAAUAGUAAUGAACUUAUGUUUAAGGUUUGGGUUAUUUUUCUCAAUUAUAGAUUAGUAUUUUGUUCAUUGUAAACUUUGCUAACAAAAUUUAAUAUAUGACACAUAUCUGAUUUAAUUUAUUUUUAUUUUAUAAAACUUUCAUUAUUUGUUUUACUCAUUAAUGAAAUUUGGUGUGAAUACAUUAAAUAUUACCUUUUAUAUAUUUCACUCCCUCUUACUAUAUCUCAAUGGAGAAAUUGAAGGUCAUUCAAGGAAAUGGUAAUGUCCAUUUUCCACAAAACUAAAAUUUUCCACACGACAGAAACUUUCUUGGUCAAACAAGUUGGAUUUGGCUUCACCAAUAACUUAAUAAUCUGUACUAAAAUUUUCCACGCAAUAGAAUACGAACUCGUUCUCGUAAAUAUUUUAAAAAAUAAAAAAUUUAAUAUUAUGAGUUAACGAAUUAUCAAUUUAAUUAAAAAAAGUUGAAAGAUACAUUUUUUAAAAUUUUAUGAAAUUAUAUAUUAAUAUAAUUAUAAAAUUAUAGUUUUAACUUUAUAAAAUUUAUUAUUUAUCUUUGAUCUUGAAGAGAGACAAAGUAAAAUACCUAUUCUUGGAGCCAUAACGACAACUAGGAUUAUGAUUGCACAUUUUCUAAGUCUUCAUUUUUGUUAAUUAGGAAAGCUGAUGGGCAUCUCCACUAAGUUUCCACCCACAAGAAUAUACGUAUUAAUUUGUUUUUCUCAAUUUCCAUGAGGGGGGAUAUAAGCUUAAAGUUGACGUAGAAGUCAAUACUCAACAUUUGAAAGUUAAUGCAGUGAACUAUGUGCUUGUUGAUAUAUGAAAUGAUAUUUUCUUAACAAUUUCCUCCAACUAGUUCGUAGAUGGUGCUAUAUUACAUCACAAUGGGUAACCAAAUGUAUAUAAUUGAGAUUUUUAAGCAAAUAUUAUAUUUUAUCUUUAUCCAUGAAUAGUCUAAUAAUAAGGAUUAAUAUUUGGUACAUUGUCAGUGGAGUUUUUAAAUUCCAUAAGUAGGGUUAGAGGAUUGACACAUGCCAAUUUUUUAAUGUUGCUUGUGGGAUGCACUUGAAUUGUGGUUCAUAGAAGGAAAUUAUUAUAUAAAGGUUUAAUUCUACCAUAGUUCUUGUACUUUACUGAAGUUGUAGAUUUAAUUCCCAGACUUUAAUUUGAUAUUUUAGAUAUUUGUUAAAUUCAUAAAGUCCUACUAUUUCCAAAUUUGGUGUGGCAAACAUAUUAUCAUAGGUGUAAUAUCACUAAAAUUCAAAAGAAUGAGAAAUUUGUACAUAUUAUCAGAUGUCAAUAUCAAGUUGAGCAUUUCAAAAUCUAAAGUAAUAGUUCAAGUAUUUAUUUUUCCAUAAAACCAAAAUUUUCUACAUGAUGGCUUUUUUUUUGGCUAUUAGUUAAGAGGAAUUUUUUUAAUAACCCAAUUUAAUUAACUAAUUUAAAAAAUGGUUCAAGUAAAACUCAAGUCAUAUUAAAAAUAAUUAUUUAUAAAUUUUAUGUUUCAAAAACUAAUGAAUGUUCAAAGAAUAGUGAAUUAUUAAAGAGAAGUUAUAUGAUAAUGGAUUGUUUUAAAGUAGUGGUCUAGUAGAAAUAAAUAGUUUUUUAUAAAAAAAUAUUAUAUAAAUAAUUAAAUUUUAUAGUUACUCCUAUUUUUUUUAAAAAUAGUGAAUGUAAUAUUUUUUAAAAUGUUAAAUUAACUCAUGAUAUUAAUUAAAUCAAGAAAUUUUAUAAUAAUAGAGAUGAAAAAAACUAAAUUUUCAAAAUCAAAACCUAAAACGUGCAAGAAUAAAAGCAAUCUGAAGACUUAAAAUUUCCAUUAAUAAAACCAAAAUCAAAGAAGUAAAAUUUCCAUGAAUAAAACCAAAAAUGAAGACCUAAAUUUUCCAUUAAUAAAGCCAAAUCAAGACUAAGUUUGUAUAAGUGUAAGAAGGGUAUAAAGGAAACUCACAAGAAAGCCACAUGAAGAAUUUUAUAACUCCAACUACACGAUUUUAUGUCCACCUCUCACUUUUCAUAUUUUUUUUUGGCCAUUCAUUUUUCAAGAUUAACAUUAGCAUUCUUGUGGUCCGUUCAUCCUUUCCUAACCAAUUUCCACCAAGAGUUUUUGCAAUAAGGAAUUUACCUAAAUAAGAAACCUAGAUUGAUCCAAUUUUUGAGGAAUUAAUUAAUUAUAUAUUAUUUUUAUAUUAUAAUGAAUUAGUGGGAUGCAGUAUGUUCUGCUUGUAUAUAAAUAAGAAGCUUAGGCUUCUUUAGAUUAUAUACAUAUAGAAGUUAACAAAAAGUAACAUAUAGCUGAGAGAGAAGUGAAAAUAGAGAGAUGAUGAUGAUGGAGUGGAAAUGGUUAAGGUUUAUUAGGAUGGCAGUAAUGUUGUUGGUGUUAGAAGGAUGCAGAUGGUGUACUACUGAUGCUUGUUUGGAGCAUGAGAGAAUCGCUCUCUUGCAUCUCAAGCCUUUCUUCAAUUAUCAAAAUCAAUUGCAAAGUUGGGUUGAGGUGAAGGGUUCAGAUUGUUGUAAAUGGGAAAGAGUUGAGUGUAACACCACCACUAGGAGACUCAUACAACUCUCCCUUAAUUCUACAAGAUGGUUUGACAGUAUGGGAUACAAAACGGAUAAUAGGAAUCUCAAUGCCUGGUAUCUCAAUACCUCUAUGUUUCUUCCCUUUGAGGAAUUGAAGAGUCUUUAUUUGCGGGGGAAUGCCAUAAGUGGUAACCUUGAAAAUGAAGGUCGUGCCUCUAGUUUUUCCUUAAUUACAUCUUUUAUUAUCCCACUACUCUUACCAUCGUUAUUUUGCAAUUACUUAUAUUUUAUUUUAUUUUAUGGAAGAAAAGUCACUAACUUGUAUAUAUUUAAAAGAAUAUUUCUAUAGGCUUUGGAAAACUAUCAUCCACAUUGAGUAAUUUGGAGAUCCUUGACUUAAGUGAAAACUACUUGAAUGACAGCAUUUUGUUAUCUUUGAGUGAGCUUUCAUCUCUCUGGUAUUUAGAUCUAUCAGGCAACAAAUUUGAAGGAUCAAGCCAUCUAAGAG